AAGAGUGCGACAUUUCCACAAACAAGCUGUGAUCAAGUCAAAUGUGGAGCAAGUGGAAAUUAGGUGGGGUGGAAUCUGUUUUCGAAGGACUCUCAUCUUCUUGGCACCAAAGUAGAAGGAUCGUUGAACCAUGUUUGACUGGUUACUGGAUGCGUAUGAGCCAUCAGAAUGAUCAAUCACGUCUUCAUAUUCAUGAUGAGCACAUGUAAUUCUUGGUGGAUCUCGGGCAAACAAGAGCUCUCUCUCCCACACUGGUAUAAUAGAUGGUGCAUGUAUUACGCCUCUUGCCAUCUCCGCAACGGCGGUCAGGAACUGGAGAAAUCCAGGUGCAUCACACAUCGUGUGGUUUAGGCGCAAUGCAAGUAUGAAACCUCCACAUGUAAGACGGGUCACCUGCAUAUUGAAAAAGUUAGUUACUAGACUUUUUUCUUGAUCAUUCUAUUCGUGCUAGUUAACAAUUCCUUAGAAAAGACCAAAAAAACUAUCUAAAUUGGAUGAUCUAAUUAGGAAACCAAAAUUUCAUAAAAAUCAGGAAUAAAAUUCAAGAAAGAUGGAAUCUUUUCGAAAGAGUCUCGUGCAUGUUGUAGUUACUUGAAAAAGUCUUUAUAAUACAGAGGAAUUUAGACAAAAUGCUUAUAGAAGAUAGAAAAGCAAAAAACCUAGAAGAAGAACGGCAUAGGAAAACCUAUGCAAUAAAGGUGAUGUGAGACUGAUAGAAAACCUAGGACCUAUUACCAUGUAGAAAUGUAAUUUCCUCGAUCCGGUGUGUACACAAAUUUUACAAUAUAUAGGGUUAAACAUAAGGAUUGUCGAAGAAAAAUCAGUUUCGAAAAAUAACAAAAAGCGUCUCAUAAUCUUUUCUUUUCAAAACCACCUAAUGAACUUUCUUUAAUCAUAAGAACAAAGAGGCGUGGUAGUAUCGUAGAUAAGUUCAAGUUUGGGUGUAAUGGCAAUAUGAUAAAUUUUCAUUUAUGAAAAAGGUUGCCAAUUUUAUGAAAAAGUUAAAAACAGUUGCGAUGCCACCAAACUUCAACUUAUUUACAAUAUUAUUAGCGCUUUCCUGUUUAUGUCCUUAUUUUCAGUAAAAAUUCAUAUGUUGUUGAUUGCACUAAUUUCUUACAAAAAAUAUCCGGCGUAUGUAUGUGAUCUUAACUCAAAAAAUACUACUCUUACCCUUAACCUACUUCAAUUUUUUUUGUAAAGAAUUAAUGGCUAUGACCAAAUAUGAAUACGAAAACCUAAUUAACAUGUUAUUAAUAAUUAAUUGACUCACUUGAACCAGCAGCAAAGGACAACCAAUAAUUCCAUCAGAGCUUGGAAAAUUAAAUAAAAACUCCUCUAAGAGUGGACAAGGGGGUAGAAUUUUGUCUCCUAGUUGCUCAAGUGUGACAUCAGCAGAAGCCUCGACAAACAAGAUACCUUCACCAUUGCAAUCGACCAUGAGCAUUCUGUUAGGCCCUUCCCUAAGCCUACCAGCUAAAGGGUAGUAAUACACUAAUGCUCUACUUAAGGCUUCCCUAAUCACCUUAAUGGGAUUACGAUUUUCAUUAAGUGAAGGGUUGUCUUUGUAACACAUUAUGACUGGAAGCUGAAACCUCAAGCCUUCUUGGUCGUCAAUAUCUGAGAGAAACUUUGUUUCUCGAGGCGUUGGCUUUGCCGGAAUUAUAAGUUCCGGCUGCAAUCGUUUCACAUGAAGUACUGAGGAUGGCAUCAUUUCAGUAACGAGCUUAAGAACCAGCAAAAGAUCAAAGGAUUUGGAACUUUUAUUUUGUGGUAUGCAUGCUAACUAAAAGUUGAUAGCCAGUACUUAUAUAGCGUUAUGCAGAUGCUCUAGGGUUCCAUCCAAGUUUCCACACAUUGUGAAUGUGAUUCUUUUCUUUUCCAUUAAAAAUGUUGUUAGAAAGAAAGUUUAAAUCACGCAAUCAACAUGGGCUGCAGAAGAAAAAAAAACAAAAAAAAACCCUAGAUUCGUACGUAUACAUUAAUGCUGAAUUUCAUUUCAACGACAGAAAACUGUACACUAACAGAGAUAUGAGGACAAUGGUGAAGUGGCAUCCUCUAUUUGCAUAGACAUUAAUGCUGAAGUGGAAGAACUCCCAAAGAGAGAAGUAAUGAUGAUUUUCAUUUCAACAUCAGAAAACUGAAUACUAACAGGGAUAUGAUGACAGGUGUGCGGUAAAAAACCCUUGAUAGGAAUGGAAGGAAAAAUGCCAACGUCGUAUGUACCUGCCCCAAUUACAGCUGUCACUGUUGUAAAACAUCGAUCAGACGUCCGCUAUAAAGGAAAACGUUGUUAUUUUAUAAUAACUGGCAUACUACUAGCAGGGGAGAAUAUUGUUUCACAUUAUUAUUAAUUUUGAUUGAUCUGGUACGGUGACUACUCAAUUUUCUCAUGAUAAUAGUUUGUUAUGAUAAAGAAAGAUGAGGCUCCGUAAAAUUAAGAUUCAAUCUGGUAUUGUUUCAAAUACAUGAUUCAAUCUAGUUGUAUUUAUUUAAGAAAAUAGAAACAAACCCAAGAGGAUUUCAAAGAAAAGUGACGGCUUAGGGCAGAACAUCGCAGCUCAAACAUCGCUUAUAUACUUCAAUGAUUUAGGGUUUGGGUCACAAUACCACCUUACAUCUCAUUUAAAUUAGCUAGCUAACAAAAGCCUUCAAGACCCCAGUUGUUAGCUAAUAUAAACCUCACACCAAAGCAAACCUAUCUCAGCCCUACACUUGUAAUUUUGGACUGAGUCAACAUAUUGGCUGUUACAAAUUUAGAAAAAACUAAGCCAUUACUUUUGUUUAAUACAAAAAAUUGGACGCUAGAAAUCAGUUUAGGCAUCAACACUCUCCUUCAAAUUGUUUCUAGUUUUGACACCACGCACAUCCCUGAGGUAUACAAAACUCUCUUUUAGCGUACCCUUAGUAAAUAUAUCAACAAUUUGAUCCUCAUAUUUGCAAUAGAGUAAUUCAAUCACAUUAUCUGACUUACAAAGAAACUCUAAUAAAGUGAUGGUUCCUCUUGACAUGUUUUGUUUUUUAGUGAAUCAGAGGAUAUCUUGUCAUAGCAAUUACAAAGGUGUUGUUGAAUUUUAUUGAUAUAGCAUCUACUUUGAAAAAGUAGUUGGGUCGGGGAACCCAAACCCAAUAGAUAAAUAAUCUCAACUAAAAUUCCAGACGAGGAUUCAAGUAUGGUUUCAAUCAUACUACAUAAUAGUGAAGAACAAAAUGAAAUAGAGAAAAAUAACAAAAGACUCAUGAUAUAAUUCAUGGGCACACAACCAAUUAAAGAACCAUUGAGAAAUAAGUACUUUGACAAGACUCAACAAGACAAACAUCUACGACACUUGAAGUUUUCUCUUGUACUUUUAAUCUUGGAUGAACACAACGCACACAAAAGGUUCUCCUCACAACUAAAGAGAUUGCACUCAACUUCAUCACAUAGAUGGACACAACGUCUUCACACAAAUGAAUAUGAUGAAUAAUAUGAAAGGUACGAAGUGUUUCACUAAGAUCACUCUUCUAACCUAGCACUCAAGAACUUUGCUUUAAACCUUUUAUGCUCAAAUCUUAUAACCAAGCAAAGAUGAAUGAUAGGCUUGAUUUCCUAUGAAACCAACAGCCUUGAAUAAAAGAAACUGGAAUUAUGUACUAGAACAAAAUCAAAUUGGUUUUAUUUCUUAAAACUAGGCAAUUAAACUGAUCUUAUAAUCUUCAAGAUAUGCAAUGAUGUGAUUGUGAUUCUCGUUUCCUAUAUGAAUGCACAUGAUACUCCAAUAUAUGCCUUGAUGUGCACGUUUUCAAUAAUUAAACCUAGAAACUACGACACGCCUAAAAUAUAGAACUAAUAUAUUGCAGACCCAUUAAACUUGUCUAGGAAAUUAGCCAAAUACAAAAGCUUGUACUUUCACACUUGCAUUCAAUAAAGUCCUUAAGAACAAACCUCAACCAAAUUGCUUGAGAAGUAGCCUCCAGCACCAAGGAAGAACUUCACUUCGAAAAAUAGUCGUCUUUGACUUUGGGCUUAAUCAAGGGUUGUAAUUCCAAUUCUAAUGGUGAAAUUGGGUUAAGAUAAAAAAUACUUUUUUAUUUAACAAAUGAUAUUAUCUAUACUAAGGGGAGAGGGUGGGCUAAACCUCACAAUGUGUUAGCAUAAUGUGGUUCAAAUUCACUUUUAUCAAGAAUCGAACCUAAAACCUCUCAUUUACAAGUGAAGAGAAAAACCACUAAAACGUAGUAGUAAGUGGCAAUACUUUGGGUUAGUUUGGUAUUCCUAUGCUUUCUAAAAAAAAUGUGAUUUGUUGUCCUCUGAGAAUAAAAAGUUGUAAAAAAAAGUUAUUGAGUGUUUGGUAAAUUUUAUUUAUUUUUUAUUUUUAUUUUAUUAUUGAGUGUAUGAAUAUUUGGUAAACUUUUAUAUAAAUUGAUGUGAAUGUGUUAAAUAACUAGAAGGGAUAUGGUAUGUAGUGUGAUAUAAUAAUUGUAAAAGACAAUAACGUAGGGGCAAAAAUUAUAAUUUUGUAAAAUAUGUAGGGUUGUACUUGCUGUUUGAAAAUUUUAUUAAAUGAGCACUAAUUAAUCUAUUUUGACAAAAAUAAAAAGGCACUUUCUUUAGAUGACAAUUGUUAAAUUAUUUUGUAUAAACUUAGCAUCCAUAAAGCAUUUUAAGUUCGGAAAGGGAUCCUCGCUGGAUCCUUUUCCUGAGAAUCCUAAGGAUCUCGUGAUCGUGACCGUUCAUCGUACAUCAUGUGGUCAGAAAUCAUUUCAAAGUUUACAAUUUAAAAUUAAAUAUGAAUAGUACCUAACGAAAACUAAUCGCACAAUGUACGAUGAACUGUUACGAUCACGGGAUCUCAAGGAUCCCCAGGAAAAGGAUCUGACGAUGAUCCUUUUCACUAGCAAGAGCAUUUAAAUUGUAGGGAGUAGAAGACAAUUUUGAGAUCAAUCCCAAUCAUGUUUCGAAUUCAAGAGAGAAGUCAUUUUUUUUUUUUUUUUGUAUUCAUUUGAUUUAUUCAAUUUGAAACCCAAAUGUCUUAUUGUUGUGCUUUUCAGAAUACCUUCACCCCAAUCUCCUUGCUCUAUAUCUUGGGGAAAGAAAUAUAGAUUUCAAUUUUAAGCCAAAAUGCUUGGUUAUAAUGAUUAACAGAUUAAUUUUGUUGGAAUAUUUACAUUUUUGCAAUUUAUUUACAAUUGAGUUGUAAGGAAAGACAUUCACUAUUCUUCCAAGAAGAGGCCAAAUUCAGAUUCAUAAUUUGAAUUGAGAGCCCAAAUGCAAAGCGUGAGGAGACGGUGGCUAUCAACAACAGAGGAAGCAGAGAGGAAGUCGGAGAAUUGAUCCUGCCUUCCUCCUUGCGGUAUUUCAAAAUACAGUCUUGUGUAGGCAUUUGUUUCCUCUGUUCUACAUGGCAAAUUAUUGAUCCUCACAAAGGUGCACAACAAUGUAUUCCGAGUUGAUCCCUUGCAUUAUUUUAUUUUGUUUAAUGCUUCAACGUGUAACACAUUUUAAUCUUCCAUAUGAAUCCCUUAACAGUCGUUGGUAACUUAGAACCUGUCCUUUCCUCUCUUGACCUGUCAUUAGCUAAUAUAUCGUUUAAUUUCUAGGGCAAUUAGCAGGAAUGAUCACUUUUUGACAUUUGGCAAUAGAAAUGAUCAGGCGUUGUUAUGUUAUUAUUGUGUGGUCGAUAUGUGAUCAAAAUAUCGCCGAUAUUAAAAAAUGAUCAUUUCUGCAACCAAAUGUCAAAAAGUGAUUAUUCAUGCUAAUUGCCCUAAUUUCUAUUUACCAAAUACAAGAAUAGUACUAUUAGUCGGACUCCAGUAUUGCAAGUGCACAAAAAAAGGUCGAAGGUAGUACCCCAUAACUUGCUACAUGAGACAUUAUUUUUUAGAGACGAAAUCGACUCUUAAAGAUAGUGUCUAAAUUGCCUCAACUUAUAGUGUUGUUCUAAUUAAACAUCGGCAAAGAGCGAUUUCUACACCCUAAAAGAUAAGUAUUCAAUAUGUUGUUGAUUUCAUUUAAUCGAUUGUGGCAAUGAAAAUUCUCAUUAACCGUAUUUAUCUAUUGUGAAUUGUUGUAGAAGUAGCAGCAUCAACGUCGCAAAAUUUUUCAACAACAAACACCACUUGUAAAGCAUCCCUUUCUGAAUGAAAAUACGAAAGCUCAAUAGGAUGGCUAGUUAACACUUCAUAACGCUACCAAUAUGCUUCUACGUGAAAAGGACUAGCAGUACCCAUCUGAAGAGUAGCAACCAAAACAAGACAGGUCGCUUCCCCAUCCCUAACCACCCUAAUGCCACCAUUACCACUGCACUCGCGUAAACCAUAAUACAAAAUAAUAUUCACCCAACUGUGACCCAGAGGACUCCACCAUUGAUGCUGCACUGGCUGCUUGCCCCGACUACCGGUCACACAUGUUGUCCUUACUGCAGAAUACUAGUCCUCGACUACCACAAAGACCAUAUGAGCAUCAUGAAGGAAAGCAAACUAGUCCUUGGACAUGUCAAUCGCCAUUGGAAUAGCCUUUCUUUAAGGCUACGAGAUCGCAACAAACUUUUGUGAAAAGACAAGGGACUAACAAACUACAUGGAACUUUUUAUGUAGAGCCUCGAUGGGCAUGUACGUGCCCUGUUUUUCCUCAGUCUGUUUACUUGCUUGAAAUUUCAUAUACAGAAAUUGCUUUGCUUCCCUCUUUUCAUUUUCUAUUUGACGGCUUGGCUACAUGGACUUUUUUUUUCUUGGGCAUGUGACUUUCUUGUUGUUCAAAUUUGUGUGAACAUUGUAAUUUACUUUCUGUAUUUUCGGUUUGGUAGGUCGCUUAAGCUCUACUUGAACCAGUGAAACUUGCUCGGUGAUAUGAGUUCGAAAUACCUAUUAAUCAUAUAAGCAAACCCAAUUUUAACUUGCAAGUGCAUAAGACGAAUAGUAUUAUAGUAAGAGUAAGUAUGAAGUCGUUCCCACGAGUAAUGAUUUUUACUUUAAUUUGAGUCUCAACUCAAUUCAAAUUCAACAAACUUUUAAUACAAAUAGGGCUGAAAAUUUUACCUAGAAUGAACGAGCCAAGGAGAUCUCAAAACCCUAAAUCAUGAGUAGGUGGGAAGAAUAUUUGAGUGCUUGUAAUUGUUUCUCCAUAUGCUUCUACGUACAGUAAGCAAGGCUCCUAUCAUUGUGUGUGAUUAGUUUACUUUUGUGUUCUCGAUCGCAUAUAUAUAUCAUUUGCACUUAUUGGUUUGAGGAAAUUAAGGCUCAUACUUCGUGACAUUUUCAUGAUUCUUUAAGAAAUCCAUUGAAAUCUUACUAAAUUGUCUAACAAAUGAGCAAUUUGAUUGUUACUGUUGGAGGAAAGAUUAGCAGUUUUCAAUUACACUGCAGAAAGGAAGAAUACAAUAGAAUAUGGGAUGUGCUAUUCACACACCUUAUUUUACUUCUCACACACCCCUGGAUAAUUUAUGUCCGUUGAUCUUCUUCAAUUCAUCCGAUCUGACGAUUGAAAAUUAAAAAGGUAUGUGAGAAGUAAAAUAGUGUGUGUGGAUAUCUGAAAUUUACUUAACUUUAUUGCUUUCAGAUUUUUAUUACAACACUUGGCCAUCUUAUGGGGAUGCCUAACCCAAUUUCCUCCAUCAAUAUUCGGUUCUUCAUCAAGCUAUGCAAACUCUUUUGAGAAUUCAACUUAAUUAUAAGGAAUAUGAAACCAGCAGCUCUUUCAACUACUUGUGAAUGAUGUCCAAAGGAAAUCAAAACCAAACUAGACUCAAGUGUUCAUAUAUUCAUUGGAGUUGAAUAUGUUAAGGAAUCUCCUACAUCAAAGGAGAUCAGUUCGUCAACAACACAAUUUGCUCCAUCUACCGCACAAUCGGCUCCUCCGUAUGAAAGUCAACUAUGAUAUAUGCUAUGCUGUCUUUCCUAUUCUAUUUGAAUAGGAUUGAUUCAGUCAUUCAAGUAUGAUUGUAUUUACCAUAUUAGGAUUGUAUUCAAAGUGUAUAUAAUCAUAGACCUGUACCUAUAAACAUAUCAAUGAAAUAUACCCAUUCUAUAUGGUAUCACGAGCCCAAAAACUCCAACGAGCAAUCUUUUUUUUUUCUGAUCCCUCUCUUCCCUGUCUUCAUCCAUGGCCACUGACGCCUCUACAACCAACCCUUUACCAGAGCUCAACUCCACUACUCCCACCUUGAUCACAAUCAACGCUACAGCCCAACUACCUGUGAAACUCACACCCACCAAUUACCCAUCCUGGCGUGCUCAGUUCAACGCCCUCCUUUACGGCUACGACCUCAUGGGUUAUGUGGAUGGUUCUAAUCUCUGCCCAUCAACUGCUCAAACCGUGCUUCGCACCUUUUGGAUUCGGCAAGAUCAACUCCUCCUUCAUGCGAUUCUUGCUUCCGUCUCACUGCAGGUCAUCUCCCUUAUUGCCUCUGCCAAGACAUCCAAGGAGGCUUGGGACAAACUUCUCCAUCUCUUUGCUAGCAAAGCCCGUGCCCGUGUUCUUGGUCUCAAAGAACGCCUUACUCUCCUGCGCCGUGAGAACAAGCCUGUCUCUGAAUAUCUGCAAGAAGUCCGCGUUAUUGCAGAUGAGCUUGCCAUCAUUGAUGUCCCCCUCUCUGAUGACGAUCUCCUCCUCUACAUUCUUAAUGGUGUUGGCUCUAACUUCAAGGAAAUUGCUGCGGUAGUUCGUUCCCGCGACACCUCAAUCUCUUUUGAAAACCUGCAUGACAAACUGGUUGAACAUGAAGCUGCUCUCAAGCGUGAUGAUACCGUUGUUGCAGCCCCAGUGAUCACUGCCAAUGUCACUCAGACAUCUCGCUCCCACACCUCAACCCGUGGCUACCGCUCUCACAACUCCAACUCCAACCGUGGGUCCUUUGCCUCUCACAAUCCUUCUCGUGGUUCCUUCGGGCACCCUCACACAUCUUCCAUUGACACCAAUUCUCGUAGUUCCUAUAAGCCCACCCAACAAUCUUUCACCGACAAUGGGCGCCGCUCUACCAACAUGAACAACACAGGUUAUCGUGGUUUCUGUCAAUGGUGUGGCACUCAAGGUCAUAGUGCCAAACGCUACCCUCAACUCCAAUCUGGACCUCACAGUCCGCAAGUGGCCAAUCCUACCACCCAUGGCUGGUCCACCUCUUCUCCAACAUGGUUGCUUGAUUCCGGUGCCUCUCACCAUGUUACCACCAAUGUCAACACUCUUUCUGGUGCCUCUAUAUAUGAUGGUCCUGAUGAAAUAAUUAUUGGUAAUGGUUCAGGUUUGAGUAUCACUCAUGUCGGUUCAACCACUUUACCCUCCUCAUCCUCCCAAUCUUUCAACUUAUCAAACGUUCUGUGUGUUCCUUCUAUGCAAAAAGACAUUAUUUCUAUCUCUAAAUUUAAUAAACAAAAUAAUACCUCUAUUGAACUUUUUCCUGAUUUCUUUCAUGUCAAGGAUCUGAGCACGGGGGUGGUUCUUCUUCGAGGCCCGAAUAAUGAUGAUGUGUACGAGUGGUCUCCUAAAUUUUUUUGUCAACCACAAGCUAUGGUGGGUGUGGUGGUCUCUCCCAACCUUUGGCAUCGUCGUCUUGGUCACCCCAGCCACCAAACUCUCCAACAAGUCCUUCGUAUGUCUUCCAUUAAUGUGUCUUCCAAGUUGUUCGAGUCUGUUUGUCAUUCAUGUCUAUGUAAUAAAAGCCAUCGGCUCCCGUUUGGUACUUCGUCUCUCACCAGUCAUGGUCCAUUAGACCUCCUUUAUAGUGAUGUUUGGGGCCCUGCUCCGUACUCUUCUAUUGAUGGUUUUUCCUACUAUGUUAUCUUUGUUGACCAUUUUACAAAAUACAUAUGGCUCUACCCUCUCAAAAAGAAAUCUGAUGUGUUUUCCACUUUUGUCACCUUCAAAGCGCUUGUCGAAAAUUACUUUAAAAGAAAAAUCACUAGAUUAUACACUGAUGGUGGGGGCGAAUUCAUCAAACUCCAACAUUUUCUCUCAUCCAAUGGCAUCACCCAUCUUCUUACACCACCUCACACUCCUCAACACAAUGGAGUCGCCGAACGACGACAUCGUCAUAUUGUUGAAACUGGUCUCACCCUUCUUCAUCAAGCUUCUUUACCUCUCACCUAUUGGUCUUAUGCCUUUAAAACAGCUGCCUAUCUUAUCAACCGCAUGCCUACUCCGCUUCUUCAUAAUCUCUCCCCAUUCACUCAACUUUUUGAUGAACAACCCAAUUACUCCCGUCUUCGUACAUUUGGGUGCUUGUGUUUUCCUUGGUUACGUCCUUACAAUUCCAAUAAAUUACUCCCUCGUUCCCGCCCAUGUCUCUUCCUUGGUUACUCAUCUAAUCAAAGUGCUUUUCAGUGUCUUGAUCUUUCCUCCAACAAACUUUUUAUCUCUCGGCAUGUUCAAUUCGAUGAGUCCACUUUUCCUCUUGCCAACUUCCCUUCCUCCAUUCCCCAUGUCACUGUUGAUAACUCUCACACUUGGGUCUCCUCUCUUUCUCCAGUUACUCAUAUUCCUGUACACUUCCCCACCAGGCCUGUUGAGUCGGUUGUUUCUUUGCUGCCACCACAUGUCACAUCAUCAUCAUCAGAAUAUGCCCCUGUCUCAAAACCGUCACCAUCCGCUGCCCCGGCCCCUAUUACUGCUGCUACCACUCCUCUCUUACCGUCACCCAACCACCACGCCUUGGCCCCUACCUCUACCACACCUCUAUUCACCCCACCACAUUCUCCAGCCCAAACUGACCACGUCCAGCCACCUCUUCCCCUCAACCCCGUUUGUACAUACACUAGAAACCCUCAUAGGACUGUUGUCACCUUUUUAUCCUCUGACCCACACCCCCCAACCCCCCCGUACCUCAUGUGCUCCCCGAUCAUUCCAUGAUCACCUGUGCCAAAUCCGGUAUCCACAAACCCAAUCCUCGAUAUGCUAUGACUGCUACUAAACAUCUCAUUCUCUCAUCAGUUGAACCGACAUGUGUUUCCCAGGCCGUCAAUGAUCCCCUUUGGCGGCAAGCAAUGUCCAAUGAGUUCAAUGCGUUAAUUCGCAAUGGUACAUGGGAGCUCGUUCCUUCCCUCCCCUAUAAUAAUCUUAUUGGUUGUAAGUGGGUGUUUCGUAUCAAACGGCAUCCUGAUGGCACUAUUGACAGGUACAAGGCACGCUUAGUUGCCAAGGGUUUUCACCAACGCCCUGGUGUUGAUUUUUCAGAUACUUUCAGUCCGGUGGUCAAACCUACUACCAUACGCAUUGUUUUGCAUCUUACCGUAACUCAUGGGUGGCCAAUUCGUCAGUUAGACGUUAACAAUGCUUUCCUUCAUGGCACCAUCCGUGAAAAUGUCUAUAUGAUCCAACCGCCUGGUUUUGUUGACUCUAAUCAUCCAUCUCAUGUGUGUAAAUUGAGGAAAGCCCUCUAUGGCCUCAAACAGGCUCCCUGGGCAUGGUACAAGGAAUUACACUCAUUUCUGCUCUCCCAUGGCUUUGUCAAUGCCAUCUUUGAUGCCUCACUUUUUCUCUUGAAAAAUGGGACUGCUGUAAUUUAUGUUUUGGUUUAUGUUGAUGAUCUUCUUAUUACAGGCAACGAUUCCUCACUUGUAGCAAAGUUCAUCCAACUAUUGGCAACUCGGUUCUCCGUCAAGGACCUGGGCUCAUUACAUUACUUUCUUGGUGUUGAGGUUCUUCCCACAGCCACUGGCCUUUUCCUCUCUCAGCACAAGUACAUUCAUGAUCUUCUCGUCACUGCCAAGAUGGAUGGUGCAAAGGCUGUCAGUACGCCUCUCUCCACCACUAACUCACUCAUGCUCCAUGAUGGCUCCUCCCUAACGGAUGCCACUCCCUACCGUCGUCUUGUUGGUGGUCUUCAAUACCUAAGCCUUACAUGCCCUGACAUCUCCUUCACAGUCAAUAAGCUCUCUCAAUUCAUGCAUUCUCCUUCCGAGACUCACUGGCAGGCACUCAAGCGUCUUCUUCGCUACUUGAAGGGUACCAUUUCCUUUGGCCUUCAUCUUUGUCGUCGCCCCUCUCAUCGUCUCUAUGCCUUUUCUGAUGCUGAAUGGGCUGGUGACCGUGAUGAUCGCAAGUCUACGACUGGCUAUGUUGUCUAUCUCAGUGGAAAUCUCAUCUCUUGGAGCUCUUGUAAGCAGCGGUCUGUCUCUCGUUCCUCCACCGAAGCUGAAUAUUGGGCCAUUGUUGCCACCACUGCUGAACUCAUAUGGAUUCAGUCCUUACUGCGUGAACUUGGCAUUCCUCUCCCCACAACACCGGUUGUUUCUUGUGAUAACAUUGGAGCCAUGUUCUAUUGUGCUAAUCAUGUCCUACAUUCUCGUAUGAAACAUAUCAAUAUUGAUUUUCAGUUUGUCUGGGAUCGUGUCACUCGUGGUCUUCUUCAAGUGUCUCAUGUCUCCACUACUGAUCAGCUUGCUGACGCUCUCACCAAGUCCUUGCCACGUCCUCGUUUCCAUCUCCUUCGUUCCAAGAUCGGUGUCUCCGAUGGUGCCACCGUCUUGCGGGGGCGUGUUAAGGAAUCUCCUACAUCAAAGGAGAUCAGUUCGUCAACAACAUAAUCUGCUCCAUCUACCGCACAAUCGGCUCCUCCGUAUGAAAGUCAACUAUGAUAUAUGCUAUGCUGUCUUUCCUAUUCUAUUUGAUUAGGAUUGAUUCAGUCAUUCAAGUAUGAUUGUAUUUACCAUAUUAGGAUUGUAUUCAAAGUGUAUAUAAUCACAGACCUGUACCUAUAAAAUAUCAAUGAAAUAUACCCAUUCUAUAGAAUAUAACAAUACGUAAAAUUCCAUCACUAAGAAGCCAAAUUGUAUCAAGACUUUGUAACAGCAGCACGAAGGUCAGGAGUCGACUUGGAGGAGAAGAUCGCGAGCGGGUUUGGCUAGCAUUGGUUAACCGAACCCCCAAUUCCAUGUUCAUGGCUAUCGGCUAAUCCUUCACUCUUAUGUUCGGUGUUUAACUUCCGAACAUUGAACUUUUUGUCAAAUUUUGUGUUCAGCAUGUUAAAAUACAUGAUUCGAUCUAGUUGUAUUUUAUUUAAGAAAAUAGAAACAAACCCAAGAGGAUUUCAGAGAAAAGUGACGGCUUAGGGAAGAACAUUGCAGCUCAAACCUUACUUAUAUACUUCAAUGAUUUAGGGUUUUGGUCACAAUACCACCUUACAGCUCAUUUAAAUUAGCUAGCUGACAAAAGCCUUCAAGACCCCAGUUGUUCUAAGCUAAUCUAAACCGCACACCAAAGCAAACCUAUCUCAGCCCUACGCUUGUAAUUUUGGAAUGAAUCAACGUAUUGGCCUUUACAAAUUUGGAAAAAAACUAAGCCAUUACUUUUGUUUAAUACAAAAAAUUGGAAGCUAGAAAUCAGUUUAGGCAUCAACACUCUCCAAAUUGUUUCUAGUUUUGACACCAAGCAAAUCCUUGAGGUAUACAAAACUCUAUUUUAGCGUAGCCUUAGUAAAUAUAUCAACAGUUUGAUCCUCAUAUUUGCAAUAGAGUUAAUCAAUCACAUUAUCUGACGUACAAAGGAUCUCUAAUAAAGUGAUGGUUCCUCUUGACAUGUUUUGUUUUUUAGUGAAUAAGAGGAUAUCUUGUCGUAGCAAUUACAAAGGUGUUGUUAAAUUUUAGUGAUGUAGCAUCUACUUUAUAAACGUAGCUGGGUCGAGGAACCCAAACCCAAUAGAUAAAUAAUCUCAACUAAAAUUCCUGAUGAGGAUUAAAGUACGAUUUCAAUCAUACUAUGUAAUAGUGAAGAAGAAAAUGAAAUAGGGAAAAAGAACAAAAGACUCACGAUAUUCUUAUACGUGGUAAAACCCCACACACAAUGGGGAAAAUUCAUGGGCACACAACCGAUUAAAGAACCACUGAGAAAUAAGAACUUUUACAAGACUCAACAAGACACACAUCUACUAAACUUGAAGUUUUCUUUUGUACUUUUAAUCUUGUAGCACACAUUCCUUCUUUUGCUCUCUUCUGGAUGAACACGAUGCACCCAGCAAGUUCUCCUCACGACUAAAGAGAUUGCCCUCAACUUCGUCACAUAGAUGGACACAACUUCUUCACACAAAUGAAUACGAGGAAUAAUAUGAAAUGUAUGAAUUGUAUCACUAAGUUCACUCUUCUAACCUAGCACCCAAGAACUUCGCUUUAAACCUUUUAUGCUCAAAUCUUAUAACCAAGCAAAGAUGAAUGAUAGGCUUGAUUUCCUAUGAAACCAACAGCCUAGAAUAAAAGAAACUGGAACUAUGUACUAGAAUAAAAUCAAAUUGGUUUUAUUUCUUAAAACUAGGCAAUUAAACUGAUCUUAUAAUCUUCAAGAUAUGCAAUGAUGUGAUUCUCGUUUCCUAUAUUAAUGCACAUGAUACUCCAAUAGAUGCCUUGAUGUGCACGUUUUCAAUAAUUAAACCUAGAAACUACGACACGCCUAAAAUCUAGAACUAAUAUAUUACAGACGCAUUGAACUUGUCUAGGAAAUUAGCGAAUACAAAAGCUUGCGCUUUCACACUUGCAUUCAAUAAAGUCCUUAAGAACAAACCUCAGACAAAUUGCUUGAGAAGUAGCCUCUAGCACCAAGGAAGAACAUCACUUCGAAAAAAGUCGUCUUUGACUUUGGGCUUAAUCAAGGGUUGUAAUUCCUUUAAUUCUAAUGGUGAAAUUGGGUUAAGAUAAUUAUUAUUUUUUUGCUUUAUUAUUAUUUUUUUAACAAAUGAUAUUAUUUAACCCUAAGAAGAGAGGGUGGGCUAUACCUGACAAUGGGUUAGCAUAACGUGGUUCCAAUUUGCUUUUGUCAAGAAUUGAACCUAAAACCUCUCACUUACAAGUGAAGAGGAAAACCUCUAGACCGUAGUAUUAAGUGACAAUACUUUGGGUUAGUUUGGUAUUCCUGUGCUUUCUAAAAAAAAAUGUGAUUCGUGUUGUCAUAUGAGAAUAAACAGUUGUAAAAUAAAGUUGUUGGAUGUUUGGUAAUUUUUUUUGUAAAUGUGCUUUUAACAAAAAAAAUCAGUGUCAGAGUGUUUGGUAAAUUUUUCUAUAAAUUUUUGUAAAUGUGUUAAAUAACUAAAAAGGAUAUGGUACGUAGUGUGAUAUAAUAAUUAUAAAAAACAAUAACGUAGGGACAAAAAUUGUAAUUUUGUAAAAUAUGUGGAGUUGUACUUGCCCUUUCAAAAUUUUAUUAAAUGAGCACUAAUUACUAUGAAAAAAAAAGGCACUUUCUUUAGAAGCAUGAUAGACCCUACUUUUGUUUUUCUAUGCUUUUCUACUGUUAUUGACAAACACACUUAAUAUUUCCGAUUUUUUAACAGCACUACAAUCCUAAUCCAGCCAUUUGUUACAAUGUUUAGAAUUUUCUCAACCAAAUGGCUCAAAUGUGUAGGGGGAAUACUAUGAUCUAGUUGGCAUUCAGUGACUUGCUUGAUUUCAUUGAUUAGUGAAUAUGUUCUGGAUUGUUAAAUUAUUUUGUAUAAACUUAGCAUCCAUAAAGCAUUUUAAGUUAAACCAUAUUCACUAGGGAGAGCAUUUAAAUUGUAGAGAGUAGAAGACAAUUCUAAGAUCAAUCCCAAUCAUGUUUCGAAUUCAAGAGAUGGGGUCAAUUUUUUUAUUUUUUUUUUGCAUUCAUUUGGUUUAUUCAAUUUGCAACCCAAAUGUCUUCUUGUCAUGCUUUUCAGAAUAUGUCAUACAUAUUCCCCUUCACCCCAAUCUCCUUGCUCUAUAUCUUGGGGAAAGAAGUAUAGAUUUCAAUUUGAAGCCAAAAUGCCUGGUUAUAAUGAUUAACAGAUUAAUUUUGUUGGAAUGUUUACAUUUGCAAUUGAUUUACAAUUGAGUUGUAAGGAAAGACAUUCACUAUUCUUCCAAGAAGAGGCCAAAUUCAGAUUCAUAAUUUGAAUUGAGAGCCCUAAUGCAAAGCGUGAGUAGACGGUGGCUACCAACAAUAGAGGAAGCAGAGAGGGAGUUGGAGAAUUGAUCCUGCCUUCCGACUCGCGGUAUUUUAAAAUACAGUCUUGUGUAGGCGUUUGUUUCCUCUCAUCUACAUGGCAAAUUAUUGAUCCUCACAAAGAUGCACAACAAUGUAGUCCUAGUUGAUCCUUUCCAUUAUUUUAUUUUGUUUAAUGCUUCAACGUGUAAUUAGUUUCAAUCUUCCAUAUGAAUCCCUUAACAGUCGUUGGUAACGUAGACCCUGUCCUUUCCUCUCUUGAACCGUCAUUAGUUAGUAUAUCAUUUAAUUUCUUGGGCAAUUAGCAGGAAUGAUCACUUUUUGACAUUUGGUUGCAGAAAUGAUCGUAUGUCGUUAUGUCAUCAUUGUGUGGGCGAUAUAUGAUCAAUAUGUCGCCGAUAUUAAAAAAAGAAAAACUAAUGAAAAUAGCUUGAAAACUUUGAGUUUUAACGAAAAUGACAAAAUACAGGGUAAGGUGAAUAGUACCAUGAUUGACUUUUAGUGUAAAAAUAUAGUUUUUCGUUAAAAUGAACAGUACUGUGAGCUUUUCGUUAAAGUUCCCAUUAAAAAUGAUCAUUUCUGCAACCAAAUGUCAAAAAGUGAUUAUUCAUGCUAAUUGCCCUAAUUUCUAUUUACCAAAUAAAAGAAUAGUACUAGUAGUCGGACUAGAGUAUUGCAAGUGUACAAACAAAGGUUAAAGGUAGUAUACGAAAGCUCAAUAGGAUGGCUAAUUGAACACUGCGUAACGCUACCAAUGCUUCUACGUGAAAAGGACUAGCAGUACCCCUUUGAAGACUAGCAACCAAAACAAGACAGGUCCCUUCCCCAUCCCAAACCACCCUAAUGCCACCAUUACCACGGCACUCGCAAAAACCAUAAUACAAAAUAAUAUUCACCCAGAGGACUUCACCAUUGAUGCUGCACUGGCUGCUUACCUCGACUACCGGUCACACAUUCUCCUUGCCGCAGAAUACUAGUCCUCGACUACCACAAAGGCCAUAUGAACAUCACGAAGGAGAGCAAACUACUACUUGGACAUAUCAAUUGCCAUUGGAAUAGCCUUUCUUUAAGGCUACGAGAUCGCAACAAACUUUUCUGGAAAGACAAGGGACUAACAAACUACAUGGAACUUUUUAUGUAGAGCCUCGAUAGGCAUGUACAUGCCCUGUUUUUCCUCAGUCUGUUUACUUGCUUGAAAUUUCAUAUGCUAAAAUUGCUUCGCUUCCCUCUUUUCAUUUUGGAUUUGACGGCUUGGCUACAUGGACUUUUUUUUUCUUGGGCAUGUGACUUUCUUGUUGUUCAAUUUUGUGUGAACAUUGUUAUUUACUUUACUUUGUUUUUGGUUUGGUAGGUCGCUUAAGCUCUACUUGAACCAGUGAAACCUGCUCGGUGAUAUGAGCUCGAAAUACCUAUUAAUCAGAUAAGCAAACCCAAUUUUGACUUGCAAGUGCACAAGACCAAUAGUAGUACAGUAAGAGGAAGUAUGAAGUAGUUCCCACGAGUAUUGAUUUUUACUUUAAUUUCAGUCUCAACUCAAUUCAAAUUCAACAAACUUUUAACACAAAUAGGGCUGAAAAUUUUACCUAGAAUGAACGAGCCAAGGAGAUCUCAAAACCUUAAAUUACGAGUGGGUGGGAAGAAUAUUUGAGUGCUUGUAAUUGUUUCUCCGUAUGCUUCUACAGUAAGCAAGGCUCCUAUCAUUGUGUGUGAUUAGUUUACUUUUGCGUUCUCGAUUGCAUAUAUAUCAUUUUGAACUUAUUGGUUUGAGGAAAUUAAGGCUCAAACUUAGUGACAUUCUCGUGAUUCUUUAAGAAAUCCAUUGAAAUCUUACUAAAUUGUUUAAAAAAAGAGCAAUUUGAUUGUUACUGUUGGAGGAAAGAUUAGCGGUUUUCAAUUACACUGCAGAAAGGAAGAAUACAAGAGAAUAUAUAUGGAGGAUGAGUUUUGAACGGGAACUGAACUUUACUUGACUUUAUUACUUUCAGUUUUUUAUUACAACACUUGGCCAUCUUAUUGGAUAUUUAUAAUAACAUUCAGACCUUUUGAUAAUAGCCAUAAUUCUUGGAUUAGUUCCAAGAGACACAACUCUACAUUACAGAAAGUGCAUUACGUUUAACACUUACAUCUCCGCAAUGGCUUUCAGGAACUGGAGCAAUCCAGGUGCAUCACACAUUGUGUAGGCGCAAUGAAGUAUGAAACCUCCACAUGUAAGACAGGUCACCUGCAUAAUGCAAAAGUUAGUAACUAGAAUUUUUUCUUGAUCAUCAUAUUCGUGCUAGUUAACAAAUACUUUAGAAGAAAAGACAAAAAAAGGGUCUAAAUUAGAUGAUCUAAUUAGGAAACAAAAGUUUCAUAAAAAUUAGGAAUAAAAUUCAAGAAAGAUGGAGUCUCUUUGAAAGAGUAUCGUGCCUGUUGUAGUUACUUGAAAGAGUCUUUAAAUACAGAGGAAUUUUGACGAAACGCUUACAAAAGAAAGAAAAAUUUAGACAGAAGACGAAGAGAACAACAUGACAAUAGGCAAAAACCCUAGAAGAAGAACGGCAACAGAAAGCCUAGACACUAAAGGUGACGUGAGACUGGUAGAAGGAACCUAGGACCUAAUUAGGCAGAUACCAUGUAGAAAUAUAAUUUCCUUGAUUUGUUGUGUAUAUAAAUUUUGCAAUAUAGAGGGUUAAACAUAAGGACUGUAAAAAAAUAAUGAAAAGCGUCUCAUAAUCUUUGCUUUCCAAAACCACCUAAUGAACUUUCUUUAACCAUAAGAACAAAGAGGCGUGGUAGUACCGUAGACAAGAUCAAGUUUGGGUGCGGUGGCAGUAUGAUAAAUUUUCGGUUAUGAACAGGGUUGCCAAUUUUAUGAAAAAAGUUAAAAACAGUUGUUGUGCCACCAAACUUCAACUUAUUUACAAUAUUGUUGGCGAUUUCUUUGUUUAUGCCCUUUUUUGUUAUUAAAAUUUUCAUAUGUAGUUCAUUGCACUAAUUUCUUACAAAAAAAUGUCUAGCAUGUGUAUGUGACCUUAACGCAAAAAAACACUACUCUUACCCUUAACCUACUUCAAUUUUUUUUAUUUUUUUUUGUAAAGAAAUAAUAUGGCAAUGACCAAAUAUGAAUACAAAAAACAAUUUAACUUGUAAUUAAUAAUUAAAUGAUUCACCUAAACCAGCAGCAAAUGACAACCAUUAAUUCCAUCAGAACCUAGGAAAUUAAAUAAGAACUCCUCUAAGAGUGGACAAGGGGUAGAAUUUUGUCUCCUAGUUGUUCAAGUGUGACAUCACCAGAAGCCUUGACUAACAAGAUACCUUCACCAUGGCAAUUGGCCACAAGCUUUCUGUUAGGCCCUUCCCAAAGCCUGCCAACUAAAGGAUAGUAACACACUAAGGGCACGUUUGUUACACCUCCUUAAGAGGGAUUAGCUUGGACUACCUUAAGUAGGACUAUAAUCCUACGUUUGGUGGGUUGUGGGACUAAAAUAAAUAGGACUCGCCUUGACUACGAGUCCCUGCGCGCUUCGCUAAAGCUCUCAGCCUAAUCCCACGCUUUCGCUUGGUAUUAAUAAGGACUAGAAGAAGGAAACUAAGCUGACAUCCAAUCCCCACUUUGGCUUGAUAAACCCCCCAGUGCUCCACACUCCGCCUUCUUCUGCGAAGCUGUCAUCAUGGCCAGGCCAUCGGCGGCAACCCACCUUCAUCUUUUGUGAGACCAAGAUUCGGUGUCGUCGAGGGAGGACGACGACAAGCUUGAAGAAGAAGAGAUCGUCGACGACCAAGAUUCGGCGUCGUCGAAGACACAGAAAGGAAUAGCGUUGCAGUUACACACUCUAGAGCAUUCUUGGACCUUCUGGAGUUCUAGUUUAAUUUUGAGUUAUGGGUUACUUUUGUUUGGUUGGUAGGAAAACUUAUAUGGAUUUGGCGUUGCAAUGUGGAGUUCAGGGUUUAAUUUUGAUGUUAAUUUAUUCAUUUCCUUUUAUUUUGGUUUAAUUUUGAGUUCUGGGUUAAUUUUGUUAGGGCCUCAAAGUCUAUUUCUCGAAGGAAUAUACAGUGUGUUUUACAUUGCCCAUCAUCUUUUCCAGUUCUGGGCUUAGUUUUGAUGUUAAAUUUCUUUAAUUUUUUCUUUUUUGGGUUUAAUUUUGUUUGUUUGGGUUUAAUUUUGUUUAAUUUGGGUUUAAUUAUGAAGUUCUAGACAUUUUGAUAUCAUAUCGAUUGCAUUCUUAAAAAUUGGAAACUAUGAAUUUGGCUCAAUGUGGCGUUGCAUUUCUUAAUUUCAUGUUCUCUUAUUAACAAAAAAAUUGGGUCAACAGUUUAGUCUGACACUUAGUCCGGCACUACACCAAACUCUUCACUAUUUUUAUCCUAUUUAGUCUAAGCCAAGCCAAUCCAGCUUAGUCCCUGAAGCUAGUCCAGUCAAAGAUAGUCCGGUGCAACAAACGCACCCUGCUUAAGGCUUCCCUAAUGCUCUGCUUAAGGCUUCCCUAAUCGCCUUAAUGGGAUCAUGAUUUUCUUUAUAACCACUAGUAGAAAAAAUAGCUUGUGCGACGAUAUUUUGAGCAACGAAUAAUAAUUUGUCGCACAAGAGGCACUUGUGCGACGUAAAAACAUAUUCGUCUCACAAAAUAGAAAACAUAUUGAAAAAUAAAUAAAAUUGUGCAACGAAAGAAAUCGUCGCGCAAGAAUACUUAGUGCAACGAAUAAUUGUUGUCGUCACGUAAAGUCAGCCAGAAAACGCGAGGUAAUUUUUUUUGGUGCGAGAAACUUGCGCGACGAAAAGUGCUUUUGCGCUACCAAUUUUUCGUCGCGCAAGUUCCAGUAAGCUUUGACCAUUUAAUGCAAGUGAAUCAGAGGACAUUUAAUACAAAUGUUUGAGCGACAAAGCCUUCGUCGCGCAAAGAUCUUAACUUUGCUAUAAAUAGGCGCUUCUAUUGUCCUUAUUCUUCACAAUUAUGUUAUCCUUAAUCUUCAUAAUUAUGUUUGUGCUGAGAUGGCGGAUAUAAAGAACGAUAAGAGUGUGCGCGUCGGCAACCCGCAUGAUUUGAGAAAGCAUUUUGAGUUUGCUCAUGCUAUUGUUGUAGCUAUGGGGAAUAAUUGCCCCACUGUUGAGUGGCGUUCUUGGAAAGAUGUGCCCGGGAAUUUGAAGAAGGUUGUGAUGGAUGAACUAUUUGUAAGUAUAUUAUUGAUGGAUCAAUAAUGAAGUUUGUGAAAUUUUUAGUUAUAUGUUGGAAUUAAUUAUUUGCAUAUAUAUGUAACAGUGUAAGUAUGUUUUUGAUGAUGAACAGAAAGAACAAUUGAUGAAGUUGCUAGAGGAUGCGUUGGAGGGAGGUUACAAUCGGUGGCGUUAUCAAGUAUUGCAGAAUGGGGUAGGAUCAUCGAAAUAGUAGUUUAAAAUUUAUGUUUUGUAUGACAAUAUUUAAAUUUCAGGUUUUUUUUUAUUUUUUUAUUUUUAUAAUUUAUGUAUUUGGACUUAAUUAGGUUCCAAUUCCUGUUGUGUUUUUUUUAUUGAGACCUAAUGUAAGCACCCUAGCUAUCCUCGGUUUAUAUGUGCUUUUAAUCUUUAAUGAAUAUUGUACUUAUGUUGAAAAUAAUUGUAUGGAUUAAGCCAUUAAUUAUUUGUAGAAUACAUAUUUAAGGUAUUGACUAUUUAUAGAAUAAUAUUUUAGGUAUUAAUUAUUUAUAGAAUAAAUAUUUAAAGUAUUAAUUAAUAUUAGAAUAGAUAUUUAAGGUAUUAAAUUGUUUUGUGAAUAUUUGUUUGUAAUUAUAAAGUUUACGUAAACAUAGAUAUCUAUGUUUACGUAAAUUUUGUAAUUACAUUUAUAAGUAUCGUCGCGUAAGAUAUUUUUGCGCGACAAAUACAUGUAUUUGUCACACAAAGCACGGUCAAACUACGUUCAAACCAACCAAUUUAUUGCGUAUUUAUGACGCAUUUUACGCGACGGACUUAGAGGUUUGAGUGUCAAAUAUUUCGUUGUGCAAAGGUGUCCUACUGCUAUAUAAUCACAGUUUUAGAGGCGUAGUUUUCAAAUUUUUUUUGUUUCAAAAAGAAUGGGCGAUUAUGGAGAAGGUUCUGGCAAAAAAAAAGUUGUUGUGGGAUUAGAGAGGUAUAGACGGAAGCAAGUGCCGUACUUUGAAGGCAAAAAUAUGGUUAAGGCGUACGCCGAAUUUAAGUAUGACAUUAGAAAUUUGGUGCAGAGGGAUUGUUCUGCCGAGUUUGAGUCUUGGAAAAAGGUUCCUGAGGAGUUGAAGAAGUCCAUGCUGGGAGAGUUAUCAGUAAGUUUGUGGUAAAUAAUUAACAAUUAUUUUUGUUAAACGUAAUAUUUUUUAAAUUACUAAUUUAUUAUUAUUGGCAUUAAUGUAGGCUCAUUGGGAUGUUGAUGAAACCGAUGAGAAGCAACGGAUUUAUGUGAAUGGGCUUUUCAAGCAGAGUUUCCGGCAGUUGAGGUUUGAUGUGUUGCGGGAGAAGGAGGAGUGAAGUUGAUGAGAGUUGUUUUUUAUUUUUAUUUAAAAUAAGAUUUUGUGGACUUUAUAUUUAAUUUAACGAAUAAAUAGAUGUUAUGUGGAUGAGUAUUAAUAUUUGCAUUAAUUAUAAUUUCUAUUUGGGAUAGUAAAUUAGUUUUGUUAAUUAAUUUAAUGUUUAAUUAGGUUUGAGUUUUUGAUUUAUAAUAAAAUAAAAAUUUACAAUGCAUACAAAUAAAAAAGAAAAACAUAAAAAAAAAAUGGAUUGCACGACGAAUGUUCCUUUUUCGUCGCUCAAAGUUAUCUUACGCGAUGAAAUACGUAAUUCGUCACGCAAAAUCGUUCGUCCUUUUCAAUCUAAAUUCAACCAUGUGCAGAGGCAAACUGCAAAAAAAAUGCAAAUUGUGCCUCUGCACUCAUCCCUUCGAUUUUGCUCAAUCCGGCAUUUCCAUUUUUUCUCAAUUUCAUCAUCUAAUACACCCUCUAUCUUCUUCUCUAGGUUGAUCGAGCUAUCUCGAUGUGUCUGGUAAGCGUUUUUUGUAAUUACUGUAAAAGUAUUAAUAUAAAUUCGAACUAAUGUCAUUAAUUUCGUUGUCUAUAGGGAUAUUGUGUGUGCAUAGUGAUUGGUGGAGAACGAUUGAGAAGGUAUUUUGUUCGUUUUAUUUUUUAAACAUAUAAAAUUAAUUAAAUUAUGUUGAACUUAGUUUGUUAUGUUUAUAUUGUGUCCUAAAAUUAUAUUUAUAUUAUGUUGUUAAAUUUGUACGUGACGUACAAAUAUGUGUUGUGAUGUACGGAGUUAAUUGAAAUUAACUUUGUACUUGUUUUUUAUUUUUAGUAAAACUUAGUUUCCCGUUUGAGGAUUAGUUGGAUUUCGUGCAUAGAUGUGAACGCAUGACUGCGGUCUAAGUAAUUCUUGAAUUGUCCCAUUAUUUGGACAGUUUGGGAAUGCACAGUUAUGAUGCAUAGUUUAUGGUUGAAGGAUUAGGUUUUGGUUGUGGAGAUUUCGGUGUCAUUUUUGUACGUUUUUCAAGUCGUACACCCGAAGAACUGCAUCGAGAUGUUGCCGAAAUUCAUCAACGUCGAAAUCUAAUCUGAUGUAGCUGUAAAUUACGUGACAUGACUAUGCAUUCCCGAAUGGGAUAGGGCCCUUACCGAAGGCAUAAGGUGACAUUAUCAUUUUGUAUGAAGUUGUUGUGAUUGUUGUAUUGUUAUUGUGGUUCCAGGAAUUAUGGACAUGACAUGGAUACAGAACCCGAAUAGAUGCGCAGAUGAAUACUUGGAUGGAAUCGAGGAUUUUAUUGACUUUGCACAUACACACAACCCGGGUGCAACAAGAAUCUGGUGUCCUUGUAGAAGGUGUAACAACACGUUAAGGGAGAUAAUUGAAAAUGUUUGAUUUCAUUUAGUAAGGAACGAAAUGAUUGAGACAUAUAAUACUUGGAACCAUCAUGGGGAACAAUUAGACAAUGCUUCGUCUUCAAACGCCACAAUAGUGGAUAAUGUUGAACCUAUUGUGGAUCCUAAUGAACAAGUCAUGGAUAUUAUAAAUGAUGUUUUUCCAUUUGCAUCAACAAACACUAAUCAGGAAGGGGAAAAUGACGUGCCUACAUCAAUGGACAGUGCAGAGUUAGAACAAUAUGAAAAACUAUUAAAAAAUGCCAACCAAGAGUUAUACCCAGGGUGAGAGAGCUUUUCCAUUCUCACGGCCAUUGUGGAACUAAUGCAUGGAAAAAUAAAGUAUCGUAUGUCGAACCAGUGUUUCGAUUACUUUUUGGGGGUUUUCAAGAGAAUGUUUCCGAAGAAUAAUUGUUUGCCGAAAGACUAUAGACACAUGCAAAACGUGUUGAAUGGUCUUGGAUUAGGUUAUGAAAAAAUUCACGCUUGCAAAAAUAAUUGUAUUUUAUUCUACGAAGAGAAUAAAGCAUUAGAUAAAUGCCAUGUAUGCAAUGAGUCGAGGUUCAAAAUGACAUCUCAGAAUAGAACGACUAAGAUCCCACAAAAAAUUAUGCAUUAUCUGCCCUUGAAACUUAGGAUGCAACGAUUGUAUAUGUCGACGCAUACUGCCACAGACAUGAGAUGGCAUAAGGAAAAAUGGGUAGACGAUGAUGUGAUGUGGCAUUUUGUAGACGGAGAGGCAUAGAAAGAGUUCGAUCGAACAUUCCCCGAGUUUGCUGAUGAUUCUCGUAACGUUAGAUUAAGACUUGCCACUGACGGAUUUAAUCCGUUUGGGGUUUUAAACCAACACCAUAGUACUUGGCCGAUUUUCGUAUUUCCGUAUAAUUUGCCGCCCAGGAAAUGUAUGAAAAAAGAAUACAUGAUGAUAACUCUACUGAUAACUGAGGAUCCUGGUAGGUCAAUCAAUGUUUACUUAUGGCCGUUGGUAGAUGACCUAAAAGAUUUAUGGACACACGGCAUGCGCAUAUACGAUAAAUGUACUGGCAUGAUGUUCACUUUGCGUGCUGCAGUGAUGUGGACUAUGAAAGAUUUCCCCGCAUAUGCAAUGGUUUUCGGGUGGAGCACUAGGGGUGAUAUGGCAUGCCCUGUAUGCAAGGAAGACGUAACGUCUAGUUGGCAUGUCGAAAAAGUUUGUUACCUUGGUCAUCGAAGAUGGUUGCCUUGGGACCACAAGUGGCGAGAGAAGAAUAAAGAGUUUGACGGGGAGAAAGAACAUUGCCUCAAACCCAGAGAAUGAUCCGGUGCUCAAAUUUUGGAACAGCUUAACCGUUCGAAUUUUGCUCAUUUCGGGACCAAUGUCAAUAAGACAAGACCUUUUACACUUAUGAACUGGACGCACAAGUCUAUGUUUUUUGAGUUCCCGUAUUGGUCCAAACUAAAAUUGAGACACAACCUCGAUGUUAUGCAUGUUGAAAAAAAUGUAUUUGACACAUUGGUCGGCACAAUUCUAGAUUUUGAGGGCAGGACAAGGGACACGAUCAAAGCUCGUCUUGAUUUGGAACGAAUAGGAAUACGACGGGGUUUAUGGAUGAAUAAGGACAAUGAUAAAGCCAGAAGGGAUAUUGCAUUUUUUUCAAUGAAACCGAAUGACAAAAAAGAAUUUUUGAAGUUUUUAUCGUCUGUAAAGUUUUCCGAUGGGUAUGCUUCAAAUAUCACAUGUUGCGUGAACGUUGACGGGAGUAAAUUAGCUGGCCUAAAAAGUCAUGACUGCCAUGUGGUUCUGCAAUGCCUACUUUCUGUGGGUAUUAGACAUCUCUUGCCAGCCGAUGUAGUGAAACCAAUCAUGUUGUUGUCCAGUUUUUUUUUUUUUUUUUUUUUUUUUCCAAUUAAUGUUAAGAAUGUUGCAAAAAAUUUACGUUAAUCAGUUGCGCCAUGACAUUGUGCAAGUUCUAUGCAAGUUUGAGAUGAUAUUUCCUCCAGCUUUCUUCACAAGUAUGAUACAUGUGAUGGUUCACUUACCAAAUGAGGCAUUGCUUGUUGAACCAAACAACUUUCAAUGGAUGUAUCCAAUAGAAAGGUAUAUAUUCCCUGUCUUUUUUAUUAAUCAAUAUUAAAUAUAUUAAGAUUAGUAAUAUGUGUAUCAUAUCAUUUUCUUUUGGUAGGCUUUUCGGAGACUUGAAGAAAAGUGUAUGAAACAGAGCGAAGCCCGAAGGAUCCAUUAUACAAGCUUGGUGGCAUAUGAGGCGCUUACAUUUUGUGGAAUGUAUUUAAAGGAUGUUGAGACAACUUUCAAUUGUCUUCCUCGCAAUAAUGACGGGGGUGUGAGAAAGGAGAAACUUUCAGUUUUUGCCUAAAUCGCUUGACCAUUAGGAGAUCUGAUUUUUGGCGAGUCAUUUUCCAAGAAGGAUAUGGAGGUAGCACAUUGGUUCGUACUCAAAAAUUAUGAUGAGACACUGUCAUACCUAGACGAGCAUGAAAAUAUGAUGAAUCAGGCACAUCCUUCACAUUUGUAUGCCAAGAAAUAUCGUGAAUUGGUUCCGUAGUGGUUUCUCGAAUAUGUAAGUUUGAAGUGUUUUGUAUUUGACAUAUAUAUUGUGCCAAUUAAGUUGCUCAAACUAACAAAUUUAAAUGUUUGUCUAAUAUUAGGUGAAUCAACUGAAAGCAUCGAAUUCCCCCGCGUACAGUGAAGAGUUAUAUAACUUGGUGUUCGAACCAAUACGCGUUGAAUUGUACUCGGGUUGCUAUGUGAACGGCGUCAAGUUUUUAGCGGGUGCACGAGAUGACAAGUUGUGUAUGCAAAACAACGGAGUUCAUGUCCUCGAGGGAGGUGAAAGUACAGACAUUGAAUUCUAUGGUAAACUAACAAGUGUCGUGCAAUUGCUUUACAAAGACCGGUGCCAAGUGAUCCUAUUUAAGUGUCGAUGGUUUGAUACAAACCCAAAUAGGCAUGGAAGUGUGAAAAGAGAUCAUGGAUUACUAUCAGUUAACACUACCAAAACUUGGUACGAUGACAACUGUUACAUCUUAGCAAGCAUGGCAAAACAAAGUGUGUAUCUAGAUGACCCUAAAGCCGGGAAGGGUUGGAAAGUUGUUCAAACGAUGGAUCAUAGGAACGUGUAUGCUAUACCAGAACAAGACCAUACUGACAAUGACAUCGACAAUGUUGCUGACCAACGUCUUGAAUCUUUGAUGGAAAGUGAUGCGGAAACACUCUGAGAUACUAAUCUUAUCCAAGAACCAUUUCAGAUAGAAGGAGUAUCUUCAAUCGAAAUAUAGAUUCAGUCGAUCACAAUUGACCUCAGUAAUAUUCCACGAUACGAUGGUCCAGUGCGCACAAACAACGAUGGUGACGUACCUAUCGAUGAUGAGGAAUGGGAAGCUGAAAAUGAUGAUAGUGACGAAAGGGAAAGUUAUUAUAGUUCGAAUGAAGAUUAAGACAAUUUAUUUGUAACUUUUUUUGUAAAACACAUGAAAUGGUUAAUGUGUGAUGGAAAAAUGGUAUGAAUGAUUCCCAUUUUAUAUGUGAAAUACUUUGUAAAUAAAUUUGGUAUGUUUGUAUUUUAUAAUAAAUUGUAAACAAAAUAAAAAAAAAUUAAAAACCAUUUUAAAACAUAAUUGUGUGACGCAUAACAAUUUUUGGUCGCACAAGCUAGGCCUGUCAAUUCUUGACACGACAACCAAAAUAUUAAUUUAAUAAUUUUAUAACCCUAAAAAAAUACUAUAAUAAUUAUAUAUAUUAAUUUAACAAUUUUAUACCCCUAAAAACUAUAAUAAUUAUAUAUAUAUAUUAUAUUAAAUUUAAAAAAUUGGUGACCACUAGAUCGGCUUAAAUAAACAUACCAUUCAACUUCUUAAGUGUUAUACUUAUACAUACAAAAUAAAUAAAUUUAACUCUACUUAUUAAAUAUAUAUAUAUAUAUAUAUAUAUAUAUAUAUAUAUAUUGUAUAUGGUUUGAGAGAGAAUCAUAAGUCAGGGGUGAGUCAUACGAACUCAGGAUCGGUAGAGAGGGAAGUUUCUCAAAAACCUAGGUUAGAAAAUGGAGCUUGCUUACUUUUGCCCUAUGCUAGAGUCGAAUUUUCAAAGUCAUUCAAAUGAUUCCCCAAAUUCUAAUUAUUAAAAAAAAUGAGAUCCAUUAUACAGGCUAAUCCGAUAUAGAAAAAGGCUCCCUGGCUUCGCCUAAAUCUGUAUCAAUAGCAAUGGCAAGAUCAACUACUGAAGGGGUUGUGGCACCCAUUUGGCUUUGUUUGCAUGACUCUAGGAAUUGAUCUGAAAUGGUAGCCUGUUGACCGCAUACGUCAAAAAUCGCAAAAAAACAAACAUUCAGAGAUGAAGUAACGGGAUAAAACUUUUCGACAGUUAGAAACGAAAAAUCAUGAUUUAACAGUUAUUUUAACUCCGAUUUUGAUGAUUUUUUAAAACUAUUUACCCUAUAUGAAUACAAUGAAUGAAUUCGAUCUUCAAUUUAAACUAUUUACACUAGUGGAUAACACAAAAUCUUAUGUUAUACUUAAUGAAAGUAUAAAUAAACUCUAAAUGCCAGUGAAUCUAUCUUUUUGAUGUGAUAUGCAUUCUACAGAACUAAUUUGAACGAUCCAACCAUCAAACUUGUUUGUAUAUGGUUUGAGAUCGCAUACACCAAAAAUCACAACAAAAAAAAACAUUCAGAGAUCAAGUAACGGGACAAAACUUUUCCAUAGUUAAAAACGAAAAAUCACGAUUUAACAGUUAUUUUAACUCCGAUUUUGAUGAUUUUUUACAACUACACUCCUUGACCCUAUAUGAAUACAACGAAUGAAUUCGAUCUUCAAUUUAAGCUAUUUACACUAGUGGAUACCACAAAAUCUUAUGUUAUACUUAAUGAAAGUAUAAAUAAACUCGAAGUGUUAGUGAAUCUAGCUUUUUUAUGGGAUACGCAUUCUACGAAACUAAUUUGAACUAUCCAACCGUCAGACUUGUUUGUAUAUGGUUCGAGAUUGCAUAAGCCAAAAAUCGCAAAAAACAAAACUUUCAGAGAUCAAGUAAAGGGACAAAACUUUUCGACAGUUAGAAAUGAAAAAUCACGAUUUAACGGUUAUUUUAAAUUUACGCGGGAGUAUUGCGCGACAAAUACAUAUAUUUCGUCGCACAAAGUAUAUUUGCACGACGAAAUAUUGUAUUCUUAGCACAAGUGUCUGAAAUUUCAAUUAAGGCAUUUUUUUUACAUGGAAAUUUUUAAAAAACUUGCACGACGAUUUUUGGCCUUGCGAGACAAAGGCUCUGUCGCGCAAGAUUCUAUAUUUUAACCCCAACUCUCCUUCUUCCCCUCACUUCUCUCUUCUUCCUUUUUCCCUGCGCGAUACCCUCUCUCUCAUUCCUCUGUAUCUCCAUCUGUCUCUCCAUCCCUCUCUCCGGCCGUCACGACUUCGUCUCCAAGAGGUAAUUUCCUCUUCAAUUUUCAUUAUCAAUUUUCUUUAUUUACAAAUUGGGGGUUCGAAUUAGGGUUUUUUGGUUUUUUUUCUUUUUCAAAUUGGGGGUUAGAAUUAGGGCAGUUAGGGUUCGUAAAUUGUGAGUUACAUUUAGGUUCUUAAAUUAGAGUUUUUAGGGUUCUUAAUUGGGGUUAGAUUUAGGUCUUAAAUUAGAGGACCGAUUUUGGGCAGUGAGGUUAGAUUAGGUUUUCUUAAUUUGGGGGGUUAGAUUUAGGGUGCUUGACUGGGGGUUAGAUUAGGGUUAUUAAAUUAGGGUUUUUUUUAAUUUCAAGUAUAGGGUUCGAAUUAAGGGUUGUUUUUUAAUUUAAGUACAUGGUUCUUAAAUUAGGGAUUUGUUAAUGUUUUCAUGUGUUCUAUGCAUCCACAACAUUGCACUUACAUGUUUCCAUAUGCAAGAAUCCUUUUAUUUAUUUAUCUUUAUAUCGUAUAAUUCACCUUUUCAAUUCUCUUUUAUUACGAUGAUAUGAAAUAUAUUUAUGUUUGUGGUUUUUAUGUUGGAAUUUAAGAUAUUGUAGGAUGUGUUCUCUAUUGUAGGUUUGAAAGAAAAAAAAUUGAAUUGCACUGUACAUUUGUGGAAUAAGUUUUUAGAGAUUUGCAUUGUAGACUGCCAUGAUUUCUUCAUAUAUGAUGGGGCAUCAGCCUUUGUUGUUGCCUUAUUAAUAUGAUAGAUGGUUGCGUUGCUUGUUGAAUUCGGCCUCCCAAUUUUGAAGUUACAGUUUUAGGAAUGUUAUGAAUGGAUUCUCUCCUGAGUCAGGCUAUACUUAAUUCACCAAGAAGGACAAAAAAUGGGAAAUGUAUAUGUAAAAUAUGUUUUCAGCCAGAUAGGGCAAUGUCAUGGUGAUUAGGUAUAACAAACCAAUAGGAACACAUUAAACCAAAUGAAAUAUGUUUGUGAACUCCAUUAUUAUUAUUAUUCAAAGAUAUGGGAACCCACAUGAUAUAAGCAAUUCUGGAUUUUACUAGUAAAUAAUGAUAUGCUCUCUCUUACAUUAUUAGUUUGUUGUGAGGUCUUUAUUUAAACAUAAGGUAGUAAGGAUAUCCAAGGCACCUCACAUUUGUUUGGUUUUAGGUAGUAAACUUGUAAGGAUGUCAUUUAUGCUAGUUUCUUCUUAUAAGUUAUAAUUGCUGGGUCUAUAUCCUAUCUGAAUUGAUUAGUUUGUGUAUAGUAUAUUAGUUUUAAGUUUUGUUACUGCCAAACUUGAAUUGGGUAUAGAAUUAGGGUUUUUAAAUUUUGUUUUAAAUUUAAGUUCAAAUUAUUAGCAUGUGUACCGUAAGUUAAAUCUUUGUAUACGAAACAAAUUGAUUUCCAAUUUUGUAGAUGUCACACCUCAUUAAAACCCGGAGGGCGAUGACUUCUACACCUAGUCCAAUGGCUACACCUAGUCCAAUGGCUACACCUAGUCUGUCGACUACACUUACUACUGCCACCACUGCUCUGGUAAAGAUGGACCAUAGGCCGGUCAAUCCGGUUGACCCAAUUGGUCCUCCAGUCCCACAAGCGUAGGCAUUGUCGACUUCUUCAGUGGCGUUGCCUGUUAGCUUCUGACGUACUCACUGGCACCCUCGCAGUACGGACUAGAUGUCGUCAUUGGGAUCCACAACCGAUGCCUCGGGUACACGACCAGAUAUACAAUCCUAAUUCACUCCCUCAUUCCCAUGUUAAUUGAGUUUUGUUAUUUUAGGUUCAAUUUGUUAUGCCAUGUCAUGUAAGGAUUAAAAAGUUUCCAUUGUUUUCUCUUUUUUUGUUUGCAAUUUCUUCACUUUCAGAAAUGGGUUUGUCAUGAAAUCGAAAUUGUGUGUAUUCCGUAAUUCAUUUCUGUUAAUUUUUAUGUUUUUGCAAUUUUUUUGUUAAUUUAUGUGUCAUUUCUUAGUUACUCAAUAGGUUUUUCACGGAAUUGAAACGGUAGUGUUGUGGAAGAGAUUUGAUGCUGAGGAAAUGGCAAAAAUGUUUAACUAGGCAAUGAAAACCUUGGUAAUUAUAAUGAAGCGAAGUUUUUAGAGUCAUAGAAGUUUCGGUUGUGACUGUAAGAGUCUUACAAAUGUCAAUGUGGAAGAGGUUAUAUGGAAUUGUUUGCUACGGUAGUUCAGAAUUCUUUGCCAAGCCUGUUGCCAGCAAUGUUUUUGAGCCUGUGUAUACAAGCUCGAAAAUUGGCCAUCUUGGAUGGCAGUUGUCGCCAUUUUUAGAAGUUUGUUAUGGUAUUUCAAAACGCUCGAAUUGGAAAUCAUAUAUACUAAAACUCAGUUUUGGAGCACUAUGGAUGACCAGUGGUCUUACGUUUUUGCCCUUAUGUUUUUGCUUUGUUUGCCUUGCUGUUUUCUGUUUGCUGCAGUGAAAAGUCUAUUUUGCCCAUUCGCUCCACGCGUCCGUCAUCCUUGAUUUGUUCCAUUCGUUUGUGAAGUUUCUUUUCGGUUUAACCCUCUGCUUCUGCUGCUCUCUCUCUUUCUCUCAUCCCUGCUUUGUUCUCACUGCUCAUCUCCGAUUGUUUGCUGUUCUUAAAUAUUGUGUUGAUUGCCUCGAAAAAUAUUGGGGGGAAACUUCCUGAUUUUCGUCUUUUAAGCUAUCUUAUUUCUGCUAUCUGACUUGAAGAGGGUUUUACAACUAGUAUGUUCUAAUUAGGAGAAAGGAAAUAGUGGCCUCAACCAGAGAAGUAGCUGUGAUGCUCAAUAAGUAACUUUUAGGAGAAAUAGAGGAAGAAAAUGUAUGUGAAUGUUAACUGAUCAGUUUUGUUAUUUUAGGUUCAAUUUGUUAAGUUAUGUCAUGUAAGGAUUAAAAAGUUGUCAUCCUUCCAAACCUUUUAUUAAACUGUUGUGAUCAUUGUGUUAACCUGUGAUUCAUUUGCUUCGUAAAAUGUCUGAGGCACAACAUGCUUAGAUAUGUUACAAAGGAAUGCAGUGUGAGCAGGUGACAACCUUUGAUAAGGCACGUAGUUGGAUAGUGGAUGCCUUGGCUUGUAAGUGACAAAGACUUAGAGUCUUGCUGAAGGGUGCCUUUCAUGCAUGAGAUUACGUCAAGGAGCAGCUGGAUUGGACUGAUGUUGUGACACUUCUGGAGCAACACUUUGGAGGGAUUCCUCUUCAACCUGAGUCGCAGUGUCACCUCCUGAAUCUGCUUGACACCUCAGAAGGAUGCCCGCUCUGAUGUUGUUAUCUCAUAUGUUGUUUAGGAUUGAGACUUGUAAUGGUUGUCUACAUCGAUUGGAUUAAAGCCUUGUAUAUAUUACGUUGGAUUAAUUCAAAGAGAAUUUGAGUUUCACAAGUACCCAAAAUCCAUCGUAUCAAAGAGAAUUACAAAAAAUUGCUUGCUUUUUUUUUUUUUUUUAAAAGCUUUCAAGUACAGGAUACAAUGGAUUCAUGUUUUCCUUGCGUAGUUGUAUGAUUCAGAUUACUAAUUUUAAUAUUAUGAGGUAUAUAUGUAUUUGUGAUGUUUUCACAACUGAGUGUUUAAUUAGUUGAAUUCAUUGGACUGACGCUAGAUAGCUUAUCUCAUUCCAGGGCUUUAACUAUUGUGGGGACAUUGCCAGGUAACCGAAAGGAACAAUACAACAACAACAACAACAAAGCCUUUUUUCACUAAGUGAGGUCGGCUAUAUGAAUCCUAGAACAUCAUUGCGCUCGGUUCUGUGUCAUGUCUUCUGUUAGAUCCAAGUACUCUAAGUCUUUUCUUAGAGAACAAAAAGAAACAAUGUAGAUGGAAAAUGAACUCUUUUGAUUUUCGUACAAGUCGAAUUCAUGGAUUGACCGUGCCAUAUGUGCACGAAGACAUAUUCAAGCGCUCAAUCAAUCACUUGUUGGUUGUGAGAAUCUUUCCACAACAAGGGUAUGUGAAACCAAUACUUCUUGACUCCGCUUUGAUUGCAGCUUGGUUUACCAGUACUUAACUGCCAUUAAAAUUGCAUUACUGUUUAUGAAUAUCGUAUAGCCCUCAUCUAGUGGUGCUUUGGAUAUACUGUUGUUGCCAUCUAUGUCUUUCGGAUCGCCCCGAAAAUUUACUUGCUGUCGUCUUUGUUCUUUUACAUCUUAUUUGAUUAAAGUUCAACCAUUCACAAAAGAUGCAUAAGCUUGUUAAUGAUCACACAUCCUCUGUUUGGAUUGUUUCACCAUUAGGCCAUUUUUUUUUUUUUUUUUUUUGUAUCUUUCUCAGAAAAUACUUUGUUUUAAUAUUAUUCUACUUACUCUUCAUACAAGCGCCUGGAUACUAUUAACGGUAAUAUACUGAAAACAAAACACUUCCAUUGUCCGAGGCUCUCAAGUGUCAGCUUGAAAGUACAAAACAGAUUUGCAAGAGCAGCUUGAGGUGUGUUGCUUUUGCUAUCGUUUACCUAAACCCGAACUUAGUGGCCAAAUAAUAUUCUAGCUAGCUUUCACUUGUGAGGAUGUAAAAGGCAAAGUCCCACCCGAACUUGUAAGGAGGGCAACUUCCCAUUUCUAAUUGGUUCUUGGAUAGAACCUCAACAUUCAUACGGCCCAUUUCCUAAUCAUUGUCGCUGCUUUCUAAAAUAGGUUCAAAAGAAGUUGCAGAUGAGAAAUGAAGCUCAAGAGAAGUUGCUAAAUGCUAAUAUACAAGGUUCUAAAAAACGUUAGGCGCUAGUCGGGCGGUGAACUAGCGCCUAGCGCCUAGGCGGCUAGGUAGGGUGUAGGCGGGCGCCUAGGCGGCCUAGGCGGAUUUAGGUAAAUUUCUUAUAUAUUAUAUGAAUUAAUUAAAUUUACUAUAUUAGAUGUAAAUAAUUAUUGAAUAAUAUGUUAUUUCUUAUAAAAGAACAUACAUAUGUGAAUGUUUUAUGUACAUAUAUAAUAUGCUUGCCUAGGAAAAAAAAUAUUAUCUAAAUAAUUUAUAAUUUUAAUUUAUAUAUAUAUAUAUAUAUAUAUAUAUAUAUAUAUAUAUAUAUAUACAGAGGGAUCCCCAUUUUUUGAAAAAAAUGGGGAUUAGGUGUGGGGCCCACUUCACAUCUAAUUUUAACGAUCCGAACCGUCUAUUUUGUUAGUCUCGAUUCAUAGAUCAUCCUUGCAAAAUAUUAGCUAAAUUGGAAAUGUUUAAGACAUCUAAUUGGGUUCAAGGAAAUGAAAGAAUACUUUGUUAUAUAAGAAAAUAUGAAAUUUGAUAUUGAUAAUUAAAUAGGCAAAUGGUUUCGGAUUGAAUUGAAUUUUUGCAAGGAUGAUCUAUGAAUCGAGACUAACAAAAUAGACGGUUCGGAUCGUUGAAAUUUGAUGUGAAGUAGGCCCCACACCUAAUCCCCAUUUUUUUUCAAAAAAUGGGGAUCCCUCCCCUUAAGCUCUCUGUAUAUAUAUAUAUAUAUAUAAAGCCCACGCAAGUGGGUGAUGAUGACACAUACAUAACAUUUAUAUAAAAAGCCCACGCAAGUGGGUGGUUUUGAUAAUUAAAGUUGUCCAUCCUAUUUCACAUCACCCAACCCCUAGACCUCAGUCAUCAUUAGUUUUUUAUCUUGGAAAGUGAAAUGCCAUCAUCAGUUUUUCACAUCACCCUAUUUCGUUUCUUCUUAUUUGCCUUUUCAGAAUCUCAAAAUUUUAGUCUCUUUCUCUGUCUCUCAUUCUGUUUUCCAGAAACCUCUAGCACUCUUUUAGUCUCUCUCUCUCUCUCUCUCUCUCUCUCUCUCUCUCUCGUUCUUUUUCCAGAAACCUCUAGGAAAGCAACCAUGGCUAUAUUUAGAUGCAGACACAUAUGGGAGUUUCGAUGCAGAUGCGAGAGUUAGAGUUGCAGAUCCGAUGAGAGUUCGAGACGGGAAGAGUUGCAGAGCCUUCAACGCCGACAAGAAUGGAGACCGUGGAAACUAAGAGAGAUGAUCGAAGCCGAUGGCCUAGAAAACCUCUCGAAGUUGCAGCGGGUGAGUGCACUGCAGUUGAGGAAAAAGAGACGAAGUGGACGACGAGACUUGGUUUCUGAAAUUGGUUUAAAAAAAAAAAAAAAAAAAUCACUCAGCUCCGCCUAGCCGCCUAGCCCGCCUAGGCAACCACCUAGAGCACAGCCGAUUUUUCCGGCCGAUUUGCAAGAAAACGCCUCGGAUGGUGACCGCCCAGCGCCUAGGCAGCCGCCUAGGCCGUUUUUUAGAACACUGCUAAUAUAUUAUCAAUUUUAGCAAGAAAAAAAAAUUGGCUUUUAUUAUUUGUAAUUUUUUUUAACCUUUUUUUUUUUCGUAGACAUAGUGCAUCGUUUAUUAUUCAGAGUUUUGUUUAUCUACACCCCAUCUCCUAUCAAAGUUCGCUCACAUCUCUAUCUAUAUUUCAUCUAAACAAAUGCAAGUUUGGUACACAAAUAAAGAAGGAGCAGGUGUUGUAGCUAUCAAAAGACAUCUGGCUUGUUAAGCUGGUAUGAUAUGGAUUACCGAUUGAUGCUCUCCUUGGAAGAAAUUUAACUGUAAUUUGUGGACUUCCCCUUAUUAUCUCUUCCUUCUCCGAGCUCGGGUUAUGGAAGAAGGAGAAGAACCCUGGAGAACUCUGUGACAGAAUUGACGCGUGAGGGGAUGAACUUCACUUGAUGAAGACUGAUCAAACUGCAUCAAGCUGCCAAAACUUCUCCAGUUGUGACAAUACUCAAAUCAUUCUCAAGAAACGGUUACAUAACAUUAAUUUGCAUGUAUCAAAUAAUGUGCAUUAUCCUUGACUAAUUAACUGGAUAUCAUCGUUCAUACAGUUAAUUAGCCGACGCUUGGAGUUUUUAUUCCCUUUUCGAUUUUCGUACAAGUAGAAUGCAUGUGCAUGGAUGGACGAUGCAGUAAGUACGCAAAACAUCUAUUUGUUGGUUGUGAAAAUCUUUCUUCAAACCGGUGAAAGGAUCAUGAAAAGUUCAGUUUUAGUGGUUAUGGGAAAUUAUGACACCUAAGCCAAGGUUUUGAACAUUGGUCUCUGAUAGGAUUUUCACCACCUGCAAAAGUAGGAAUAAAACCACUUUAAAAUAUUUGCAAGAGAACAAAGUUAUUGAAGUAUAAACAACUCAAGCAAGACCAUUUUCCAUAGGGAUUGAUAUGAAUAAAUUGUAUUUAAAACCAAUUCUUAGCUAAUUAACUAUUUGACACAAGAUUUUGAAAACAUUUGAAAUUGUGAAUUAUAAUGUAUACUUUUUUUUUUAAUUUUGUAAAGAAUGAUUAGGCGAGAUUAGCUCUUCGUGAACAGUCGUGAGCAAGGCACCAACCCUCUCUUGAAGGAGAAAGGACCGUUACACCCAGAAACUCCCCGCCCGUCCCUUCUCUACUAGAUUUUAUUAAUAAUAUGAAGAAAAAAAGAAAAGUAAUACAAGUGGGGGACCAGGCCAAUACCCACUAAAAACAAUUUUAAAGCCAAACCCUAACAAGAAGUAGAAAACUACUAGAAACAAGGAAACCGAAUUACAAAAAGACAAGGUAAAACCCAUCCUAACAAAAUCGAAAAUUGGGGCGAAGAGAAAGAUUAUGAUGAUACGCGACAAUAGCACAAGGAGGACAAAAGUCCCACCAAUAAACCCCAGGAUGGUCCACUCCAAAAUUUACCAAACAGUCAGUCACCCAACUCCCUUCAUGAAAAAUUUAUGUGUAACUCUUAUGCACAUAGAAGAGUGCAACGCUUGACAAUUCAACCAACGAACCCUCAAACGUCAGGGAACGCGAUUAUGAGAAGCAGAGAUGAAAAGAACAACCAAUGAUGGAUUACACUGAAUCCAAAGGGAACACCAACUCUUCUCCCAAGCUAAGUUUACCGCAUGAAUUACAGCAUGCAAUUCAGCGUCAAAAGAGGUGGCCACCAUUAAAGAAGUAGCAAAACACCCUACGCAUGAACCAAAAUAAUCACGAAAGAUAUCGCCAGUACCAGCCAAUCUUAGUAAUCCAUGAGUUGCACCAUCAGUAUUCACCUUGACCCAAUGUAGAGAAGGUGGUUUCCAUAAAACUUCAAAUAACACGAGGUGACCUGGCAGGACAACCAGACAAACCUAUAGCGAGAAGAAUACAAAGUUCUUCCCAAGAUUUUUUCAUGUUUCCCUUGCUAAGUGAAUCAAUUUCAAGAAGCUGACAAUUAAUUGAGCAAACAAUAGCAGUAAUGGAUGGUUGAAUAUCAUUAAAACAAAGCUUAUUAUGUGAUGUCCAAAGACAACACAAACAAGCCCCAAUUAGGCCUCCACCAUAGAAGUUGAAUUUGAGAGCCAUAGCCUUUGUGAUUAGGAUAAGUGAAAAAGGUCAUAAUAUCAUCAAAAGGAGAAAUCACCCCAAACCAAUUUAAACAUGAAGACCAAACUUGACAUGAAAAGGAACCACUACUACAUUAAACACUUUGCACGACGAAGAGUAUUUGUCAUGCAAAGCAUUUCCAGGUCGCACAAAACCUAUGGCGACACAGAAAUCGUCGCGCAGAAUUUGUCGUGCAAAGGUCGUGAAGAAAGACCUUGGGUGACAAAGAGUGCAGUUUCGUCGCGCAGCAAAACGAUUGUGCGACACUUUACUGCUUGUCGCAAGAAAGGUAUACGGACAAAGGUUUCGUCCCACGAUACAAGAGGGUACAAGUGUGCUUUGUGAUGAGAAAUUUUUGGGAACGUCUAUGGUUUGUCUCGAAAAUGUUUGCAUGACGAAACAUGUAAGACAUGCGUCAUUUUGCACGACGAUAUAUCUUCACUGCGCAAGUGUAAUUUUUAAGUUAAAAAAAAUUAAUAAAUAGAAUAAAUAGAAUGUUAUUAAAAAAUAUAUUUCAUACAAUUGACAAAAAAAAAACAAAUUAAUGAAUAGAAUAACAAUUUAUUUAUAAUAUAAAUAAAAAUGUACGUACAAAUACAAAGUUUAAAAACAAAGUGGGAAAAAAACUACGAAAAAAAUGAGGCAUAAUCUAUGGGCAAGUCGUUCAGAGGUGCUUGGUAAUCUUACUGGUGGAAGGGAGUGGGGUUGGGGAUAAGGUUGGAGGUUAAUGGGUCUAAUUGCUGUGUAUGCUCGGGGUGGAGGGGCUUUGAUAGCGGUGGUGCAGAAAAAUCGAGGAGACGAAUGUUGGAGGAACUGAGGACCUGUACAAUCAAUGACAUCUGAGUCUUGUACGAUGCGAGCUCAGUCCUCAAGCCAACGACUUUCUGCGUCAAAGCCGUAACCUCGCCCUUCAACUGCGAGGAUGAAGAGGCUCCACUCCCCCGCCACCUGGCAUUUCCUAUUCCCCGACAAUAUUUCCCUGGCCUCCGAUCGAAAGUCUGGUCCAACAUCUCUAUAAGGAUGUGAAACCCCGCAUCCUCAGGGGGAUUCACAGACUCGAUCGGCGUGUAUGGGGGAAGCUGGGAGGAGGACUCCUAAAGGACUGACUGACCCUUCUCCACCAAUGCACUAUGCUGCUCCGCCAUUGGUGCUGCCCGAUGUCACUCAUCAUAUCCUAUUGUGAUACGAUUGUUGGUCACCCGGGUGGCCUUUGCCUUCUUCAAUUGCCGACAAGGUCCCUAGGUGUUUUUCUUGGUUGCAAAGAAAUGAAAAAUUAACGUUAACCCAAACUAAUAACAAAUCCUACCAAAAUUUCGGCAGAACCUCUCUAUAAUUAAAACAUUUCCCAACACCCUAAAAAUAACAUAAACAAUAUAUGUAUCCAACACAAUGAUCACAACUGUUUAAUAAUGAGUCUAAAACGAUGACAACAAUAAACAAUAUAUAUAUAAUAACUUUUUAAUCCUUAAAUGACAUAACUUAACAAACUGAACCUAAAAUAACAAAAUUAAGUUCACAUGGGAAUGAGGGAGUAAAUUAGGCUAGUAUACCUAGCUGUGGACCCAAGCCAUCGGUUGUGGAUCCCGAUGGCGACAUCUGCUCCGGAGUGCGGGGGCGCCGAUGAGCGUGUCGAGCGCUAACAUGUAGUGCCACUGAAGAAGUCGAAGAUGCCGAUGCCUAUGAGACUGGAGGACCAACUGGGUCAAUCGGAUUCACCGUCCUAUGGUCCAUCUCAACCAGAGCAAUGGCAGCAGUAGUAGGAGGCGUAGUCGUCGGACAAGGUGUAGUCGGCAUUGCCUUCCGACUUCUAAUGAGUUGUGACAUCUACAAUAUUGGAAAUAAAUUUGUUAGAUUACAAAGAUAAAAAUUAUCGUACACAUGCAUAAUAAUUUCUACUUAACUUUAAAACGAAUAAACCAUUACAACCCUAUAUCUAACUCACUGCCCUAAUUUUAAACCCAAAUUUCAGAACCCUAAUUAUAACCUCUAAUUCAAAAUCAACUAACCCCCAACCUAGGAGCCCUAAAUCUCACCCUGUAAAUCUGAAACUAGGAUGAAGAUUUUCAAACAGAAGCAGUAAUGCAACACAUGGACAGCCAUGUCACAUGCACUGUCAACCAAGUACAUUAAUUAGGAACGCCAGUUUUAGGUCGUGUAUGAAAGUGCUUUCAACCUGUACAUUGGUCAAAAGUGUUUUUUCUAGGAAUGUGUGAAAAGUUUCAUAAAUAAACAUAUGCUCCUAUCAACUUUACACAGGACACACAAAUGAAGUACUUUGAUCCUAUUAGACGGGGGAUGGUGAAAAAGCUAGGACAUAAGGGUAGAGUUCAAGAGAGUAGAAUGCGUUUAGGAACGUGGAAUAUAGGAACCUUAACGGGAAAAUCUAUGGAAGUAGUGGAAGUUAUGGUGAGGAGAAGGAUAAAUAUUAUGUGCCUACAAGAAACUAAGUGGGUUGGUCUUAAGGCAAAGGAUCUAGAAAACUCAGGGUUUAAGCUUUGGUAUUCGGGCACAAAUAAAACGAGAAACGGUGUUGGCAUCAUUGUGGACAAGACCUUGACACAAGAUGCUGUAGAUGUCAAGAGGGUAGGAGAUAGAAUCAUGGCAAUCAAGAUUGUAAUAGGACAAGAACUCAUCAAUGUGAUUAGUGCGUACGCACCUCAAGUAGGGUUGGAUACGAGUUCGAAUGAGAAAUUUUAGGAAGACCUUGGAGACUUGGUGCAAGGAAUUGCUCAGACGGAGAAGUUAUUUAUAGGAGAAGAUUUAAAUGGACACGUGGGCAGGGAGACAGGCAACUAUGGAGGUUUUCAUGGUGGCCAUGGUUUUGGGGAGAGAAAUGAGGAUGGGGAAGCUAUCUUGGAUUUUGCAAUGGCAUAUGAUCUCUUCUUAGCCAACACCUUCUUUAAGAAGAGAGAAGAACAUGUGAUCACCUACAAGAGUGGGUCGUCAAAAACACAAAUAGAUUUUCUUCUAAUGAGGAAAGGGGAUCGUAUAACUUGUAAGGAUUGCAAAGUUAUACCGGGGGAGAGCUUGGCUAAUCAACAUCGCUUGUUGGUGAUGGAUGUACAUAUCAAAAGAGUGAGAAAAAAGAACAAGACUUGGAAGUGCCCAAAGGACUAGAUGGUGGAAUCUAAAAGGAGAAAAACAAGUCCAUUUUCAAAGAGCAAGUAAUCACCCAGUGUGUGUGGGAUAGAGAGGGGGAAGCUAGCCAAAUGUGGGAUUCCAUGGCUAGCUUGUAUCCGAAAAGUAGCAAAAGAGGUAUUAGGAGAGUCCAAGGGCUUUGCUCCACACCAAAAGGAAUCUUGGUGGUGGAAUGAGGAGGUACAAACAAAGGUGAAGGCUUAAGAAGGAAUGUUGUAAAGCCUUAUACAAGGAUAGGACCGAUGAAAAUGGUGAAAGGUAUAGAAGAGCGAAGCAAGAGGCGAAGAAAGCUGUGAGAGAAGCUAAGUUAGCGGCUUAUGACGAUAUGUAUAAGCGACUAGAUACCAAAGAAUGAGAGUUGGAUAUCUAUAAACUAGCUAGAGCAAGGGAAAAGAAGACAAGGGACCUAAACCAAGUGAGGUGCAUCAAGGAUGAGGAUGGAAAGGUUCUUGCUACAGAGAACGCGAUCAAAGACAGAUGGAGAGGUUAUUUUCAUAAUCUUUUCAAUGAAGGACAUGAAAGGAGUACUCUUUUAGGGGAGUUGAGUAACUCAGAAGAGUGUAGAAACUACUCAUUUUAUCGUCGAAUCAGGAAGGAAGAAGUUGUUGUAGCUUUGAAGAAGAUGAAGCAUAGAAAAGCAGUGGGCACAGACGAUAUACCGAUUGAAGUGUGGAAAGCCUUGGGAGAGAUAGGUAUAGCAUGGCUCACUGACCUUUUCAAUAGGAUUUUGAAAACGAAGAAGAUGCCAAACGAGUGGCGAAAGAGCACCUUUGGUGCCUAUUUACAAGAAUAAGGGCGACGUACAAAAUUGCAUGAACUAUAGGGGUAUUAAGCUAAUGAGUCAUACAAUGAAGCUCUGGGAGAGAGUCAUUGAGCAUAGAUUAAGGCAAGAGACACGGGUUUCGGACAACCAAUUCGGGUUCAUGCCAAGGCGCUCAACCAUGGAGGUAAUCUAUCUCUUACGAAGAUUGAUGGAAAGAUAUAGAGAUGGGAAAAAGGAUUUACACAUGGUCUUUUAUAGAUUUGGAAAAAGCGUAUGAUAGGGUCCCAAGAGACAUUCUUUGGAGGAUUUUAGAGAAGAAAGGAGUACGAGUAGCAUAUAUCCAAGCUAUAAAGGAUAUGUAUGAAGGAGCAAAGACUGCCGUAAGAACUCAUGAAGGACAAACCGAAAGCUUCCCCAUAACUGUAGGAUUACAUCAAGGCUCAUCCUUAAGUCCUUACCUUUUUGCGUUGGUAAUGGAUGAGUUAAACAGGACAUAUUCAAGAUGAUAUUCCUUGGUGUAUGCUUUUCGCAAACGAUAUAGUGUUGAUAGAUGAAACUCAGGAAGGGGUAAAUGCGAAACUUAACCUUUGGAGAGAAGUGUUGGAAUCUAAAGGUCUUCGCCUAAGCCGAUCAAAGACAGAAUAUAUGGAGUGCAAGUUCAGUGCAAAUGGAGGCCAAAAUGAGUUAGGGGUGAGGAUCGGAGAUCAGGAAAUACCAAAAAGCGACCGUUUUCGCUACCUAGGAUCUAUCUUGCAAAAGAACGGAGAAUUAGAUGGAGAUCUCAACCAUAGAAUACAAGCUGGAUGGAUGAAGUGGAAAAGUGCAUCCGGCGUGUUGUGUGAUCGUCGUAUGCCACUGAAGCUUAAGGGAAAAUUUUAUAGGACGGCAAUAAGGCCGGCGAUGCUGUAUGGCACAUAAUGUUGGGCGGUGAAGCACCAACACGUACACAAAAUGGGUGUAGCGGAGAUGAGGAUGCUUCGUUGGAUGUGUGGGCACACGAGAAAGGAUAAGAUUAGGAAUGAGGAUAUCCGAGGUAAAGUAGGAGCAGCCGAAAUUGAAGGAAAACUGAGAGAAAAUCGGUUACAAUGGUUUGGACAUGUGCAAAGAAGGCCUACUGAAGCUCCGAUUAGAAGAUGCGACUACGGGACAGAGGUUCAGGGCCGAAGGGGUAGAGGAAGACCUAGGAAAACUUUGGAAGAGACUCUAAGAAAAGACUUAGAGUACUUGGAUCUAACGGAGGACAUGACACAGGAUCGAGCACAAUGACGUUCUAAGAUUCAUAUAGCCGACCCGACUCAGUGACUUGGAUUUUUCAAGUCUCCAAUCGAGAAGUUUUCCCCACUCGGGAAAUUAAGGGAAUACUACCUCAACCUACAUGCUCCACUCACAAAGCUUCAACAUACAAGCUUCAACAAAAGAAAAAUUCAAAGAACUUAGUGAAGAAGGCUUUGGUGUAUUUAACACAAUACGUUGAAAUGAAACAAAGCUUAUUUAUUGAUAUCUCUAAGAAGUUACAAAUAUGUACAUAUACACGAGUCAAAAUAAACAAACAAGAGGAAGCCUUCACAAAGGUUACUUAGGAGAAGUCUCAGCAGUCGGCAGAGCCCCAGAAAGAGAAGGCACCGGAGGGGGAUCAUUCGGAGCCUCAGUACUGGACAGCACCCUAGAAGGAGGAGGCAUCAGAGGUUGAUCAUUUGGAGCUUCAUUACGCGUUACAGCCUCAGAAGACGAAGGCAAUAAAUGCCUUUGGAACAAACCCAUAAACCUCUGAUGAUCAUGUAAAAUCUGACCAUCAGAUUCCUUCAUCUGGUCAAGCUUCCUCUUCAUGUUUGUAGCAUAGUCAUGAGCGAGUUGGUGCAACUGUUUAUUCUCAUGCUUGAGCCCUCUAAUCUCCUGUUUGAGACUCAUCACUUCAGCCGCCAAUGAUUCAACUUGGCGGGUUCGAGCAAAUAGGCGUUGGGCCAUAUUAGACACAGAUCCUGCACACUGAACACUGAGAGCCAGAGAAUCCUUAACAGCCAACUCAUCAGACCGUUUGGAAAGUAGUCUGUUAUCUUUGGGAGUGAGAAGGUUCCUGGCCACCACCGCAGCGGUCAUAUCAUUCUUCAUCACGGAAUCCCCAACGGUAAGAGGACCAAUAGGGGAUAAGAAGGAUGGGCGCCAUAUGUUGUCUGGAGAAGGUGUGGCUGCCUCUUCAACAAGGUUCAAGUCAAAACGACGGUCGGAGGGGCCAGACAUUUUCAAAGGUGUUGAAGAGAAAAGAGGUCGGACAAAUCAAGAUCUUAGAAAUGUAAGAAGGGAGCUUAUACUGGUGGAGAUUCAAGUGUACUUUGGAACUUAAUACCAGCCUCUAUAAAAAUCCGCACUCGAUGGAGCUUCAGAAAUCGAAGAAGCGCCUGCUCAGAAAUCGAAAAGGCGUUUGCUUUCUCAAAAGUUGGGCUGCUCAGAGACCAUGAGGCCCGAUCUCAGGAAUCGAAAAGGCGUUUGCUUUCUCAAAAGCUGGGCUGCUCAAAGACCACGAAGGUCGAUCGCAGAAAUCGAAGAGGCGCUUGCUUUCUCAAAAGCUGGGCUGCUCAGAGACCACGAGGGCCGAUCUCAGAAAUCGAAGAGGCACCUGCUUUUUCAGCCUUGUCAGCACCUGUCACAUGCACAGUCAACUUUGCGAAAAUUACAGGCAUUCUGUCGAAGAUUUCUAGUGAAGUAGAAAGCACGUGAAUGUUACUGUUCAAUCAUUCACUUUCCACACGCAACAUCAGCUCACGGGUACCAUAGAUAACUUUUCCAAAAAUCUCUGACAAAGUUUAGACACGUGAAGCUUCCAGCUCCCAUUACAUCGCUAUGACCAAGAAGGGUAGACACAUAAAUUUUGAAGGUCUAGCUACCAUAUUAUUACCCACAAAGGUAAAGAAACAGGACCAUUGCUAGAUAAUUGGAAAGUCCCUGUGGGUCAACCUCUGUGCUCCGUGGCAAGGUAGACUAGCAAACAGGCCUAACCUUUACUCACAUUCGAGAAAACACUCCCAACAAGAUUGCUUGCUUCAAGAUCGAAGAGGCACCGUCCUCCGAAUCUCGAGAGCCAGACUCCCAACAUGAUUACUUUCUCAAAAAGCGACGAGACACCGCUCUCCGAAUCUUGAGAGCCAGACUCCUAGCAGGAUUGCUUUCUUAAAAAUCGAAGAGGCACCGUUCUCCGAAUCUCGAGAGACAGAUCCCCGACAGGAUUGCUUGUUCGAAAACCGAAGAGGCAUCGCUUUCUCAACUUCGAGAGCCCCUUAGAUAAAGCUUGUCUGUAAUCCUCACACCGCUUUCUCAACUUCGAGAGCCAGAUCUCCUUGGAUAAAGCUUGUCUGUAAUCUUCACACGUAACAUCAGCUUUCCAGAUACCACAGACCACUUUUUCAAAGUGUUCUGACAGAGUUAAAACACGUGAAGCUGGCAGCUCCCAUUACCGUGCUAUGACUAAGCAGGGUAAAAGAAUAGUAUUACUCCUUGUUAGGGAGACUCCUAUAUAUGUCGACCUCGAUCCUCAACGGACAGGCAGACCUGCAAAAAUGCUCAACCCCUCCUUAUAUCUGAGAGGGCACUCCCAACGAAGCCUCUCGAAAUACUCAGCUUUCUUUCCCCCCGAGAAUACCUCUGCAAACAAGCUACACUAGAGCAAGAAUAUCUCAUAUCAUCAGGGUUAAAAGCAAGAGUAUCCCAUAUCAUGUUUUUUCCCUGUCUUUUCCUUUAGCCUUGUUCUUACCUGCAAGACAAGGAGAAAGAGAGCAAUCAGUCAGCACUUGGAAUCAAGCUUCUAGUCCGGAACUGACUGCCUGGAACCCCAUUGCUCUCGAGUACUCAUAUUCAACAUCUUAUGCUUCCCGAGAAGAUACCACAUCUGCCUGAGAAACAAAUAGGGCAAGUGAGAAGGAUACAAGGAAGCAUGUGGAGACAAGCGCAACAGAACACGUGCCGAUACAUCCACUACUUUGUCAACAGCAAAAGUAUCCCAUAUCAGCAGGGUCGAACAUACUCUAGAUUUGAUGGACUUGUUUUGACCCUCAAAUUCUUCAGUCGGCCUUAUACUCUGGCGGAAACAAGAAAACCCUUCAGCCCAGUUCAAGAAUAAGCCUGUGGAAAGUUACUUCUUCAAAAGCAAAAGUAUCUCAUAUCACUUUUUCUCCUUUUCUUCUCUUUAUCCUUCAUGCUACCUGCAAGAUAAGGAGAAGGAUAACAAUCAGCCGGAACUCGAAAUCAAACUUCUGAUCUAGGACUGAUUGCUUGGAGCUCUGAUUGCUUACCUUGUCUGUCACCUCUUUCAGCAGAUCCCCUAGCUCGGCGACUUGGGGGACUCCUACUACAUGGUUUGUAUCGCGCUUGACCAAGCCUGAAACUACAAGUAAGCGUCAAGUGAAAUUGAUACAUUACCUUGUGCAUCUCCACCAGUUAAAGAUACCACCCCUGGAGUGAGGAAGAGUACUUCCAAAGAAGAUGCCACAUCUACCUAUGAGACAGAUAAGGCAAGUGAAGACGAUACCACACUUCGGUACUUAAAAGUUUCGUGAUUACGAGAUCAUUCUUCCACAAUAUUUCCUAAUGUCAUUUGUACUAAAUCAUUCACUUGUACUCACUAAAGGAGAGAUUGAACCUAUAUCCUGUGUAAACCCUUCACAAUUAAUGAGAACUCCUUUACUCCGUGGACGUAGCCAAUCUGGGUGAACCACGUACAUCUUGUAUUUGCUUCCUGUCUCUAUCCAUUUACAUACUUAUCCACACUAAUGACCGGAGCAAUCUAGAAGAUCACAAACUUAAUAUUUAAGAUGAUAUUCUUUGGUGUAUGCUUUUCGCAAACGAUAUAGUGUUGAUAGAUGAAACGUAGGAAGGGGUAAACGCGAAGCUUAACCUUUGGAGAGAAGUGUUGGAAUCUAAAGGUUCUCGCCUAAGCUGACCAAAGACAGAAUAUAUGGAGUGCAAGUUCAGUGCAAACGGAGGCCAAAAUGAGUUAGGGGUGAGGAUCGGAGAUCAGGAAAUACCAAAGAGCGAUCGUUUUCGCUACCUAGGAUCUAUCUUGCAAAAGAACGGAGAAUUUGAUGGAGAUCUCACCCAUAGAAUACAAGCUGGAUGGAUGAAGUGGAAGAGUGCAUCCGGCGUGUUGUGUGACCGUCGUAGGCCACUGAAGCUCAAGGGAAAAUUUUAUAGGACGGCAAUAAGGCCGGCAAUGCUGUAUGACAUAGAAUGUUGGGCGGUGAAGCAUCAACACGUAGGUGUAGUGGAGAUGAGGAUGCUUCGUUGGAUGUGUGGGCACACGAGAAAGGAUAAGAUUAGGAAUGAGGAUAUCCGAGGUAAAGUAGGAGUAGCCGAAAUUGAAGGAAAGAGGAGAGAAAAUCGGUUACGGUGGUUUGGACAUGUGCAAAGAAGGCCUACUGACGCUCCGGUUCGAAGAUGUGACUACAGGACAGAAGUUCAGGGCCGAAGGGGUAGAGGAAGACCUAGGAAAACUUUGGAAGAGACCCUAAGAAAAGACUUAGAGUACUUGGAUCUAUCGGAGGACAUGACACAAAACCGAGCGCAAUGGCGUUCUAGGAUUCAUAUAGCCGACCCCACUUAGUGGGAAAAGGCUUUGUUGUUGUUGUUGUUGUUGUUGUUGUAUAAGCGCUUUUAGCUACUUAAAAAGAAGUUCCAUGCAUGCCGUAAAUAGUAUAUGACCAAGCUAGAAUAAAAGAAAGGUAGCAUGAUUGCUCCUAUCUGAUCUUUAUCAUGAUCUGUGCAGAAUGAUUCAAACAACAUGAUCAAUCCAACUUUGCUUGCUCAAAAGUCUAAAAAAAACGGUGUUCAACUUAACACACAAAUUCAAUUAUACAACCAACAUGCACAUAACAUUCUUAUCUCUCUAAACCAUAAGCAAUGUGAUCAAAAACCACUCCAUCCGUGUGUGCAUAUAUAAUAUCCAAUCAUUAAAUAAUCGACGAAUAAACUAUUAACAAAAUAGAAAAAUCCCAAGAACUAAAAACCUAAAAAGGAGUUGCAAAAAAUUGAACUUUAAUUCCUCAGAAACUAAAACAUGGGAAAUUUCAGAUCUGGGAUUUUAAUUUUAUACGAUUUCAACUACACUGCCCAAAUUGAGCACCCUAAACCUAACUCCACUGCCCUAAUUCUAACCCUUAACUUAAAUUUAAAAACCCCCAAAUUUAAGAACCCUAAGUCUAUUGGGUUUUUGAUAAAAUUAAGCACCCUAAACCUAAACCCACUGCCCUAAUUCUAAUCCCUAACUUAAAAUUAAAAAACCCCCAAAUUUAAGAACCCUAAUUCUAUUGGCUUUUUGGUAAAAUUAAGGCCCCGAAACCUAACCCCCACUGCCCUAAUUCUAACCCCUAACUUAAAAUUAAUAAAAAACCCCAAAUUUAAGAACCCUAAUCUAACCCCUAAUUUAAGGACCCUAAUUGCAACCCACUACCCUAAUUUAAAAUCAAGAACCCUAAUCUAAACCCCAGUGAAGCACCCUAAAUCUAACCCCCAAUUUAAGAAAACCAUAAUCUAACCUCACUGCCCAAAUUCGUUCCCCUAAUUUAAGACCUAAAUCUAACCCCCAAUUAAGAACCCUAAAAACUCUAAUUUAAGAACCUAUAUGUAACCCCCAAUUUAUGAACCCUAAAUCUAAGCCCACUGCCUUAAUUCUAACUCCCAAUUUAAAAUAUAAAAAAACCCUUAAUCUAUAAACCCUAAUUAUCAUGGUAAAUAAAGAAAAUUGAAAAAAAAUUAAGAGGAAAUUACCUGAAGACAUGACGGCCAGAGAGAAGGUCGGAGAGACGAGGUGAAUGAUGGAGAGAGGGGCGAAGAGACGAGGUGAGCGACAGAGAGUGGUAGUGAGAGGGUGAGAGAGGGUGUCAGGGACGAAGAACUAAGGGUGAGAAAGGGGCUGCAAUGGAGUCGGGAGAGAAAAAGGAAGGGGAGAAAGAGGGUAUUGGGAAAAAGAAAAGGAAGAAGAGAGAAGUGAAGGGAGGAAGACGAUACACGGAAGAAAUACUUAGAAUUUUGCGCGUCAGAGGCUUUGUCGCGCAAGGUUUAAAAGUUCGUUGCGAUAUAUUUUUUAAAAUUUAUGCAGAAAAAAAGGUGCAAAUGUAUUUUGCGCAACGAAAUCUAGGUAUUUGUCAUGCACGUGCCUGCAAAUUAAAUCUACCUACGCAUAAUUAAAACGCUUGCGCAACGAACAAGUGUUCUGCGUUGGCAAUUACUUUUAAAAAUGAGUUUUUUUUGUAAAAUUUUGAUUAAAAUUUAUUAUAAAAUACUAAUAAAACAAAUUCAUUUACAAAGUAAGUCACAUAUAAAAUUCAAUAAUCAUUUAAUGUAUUUUACAACAAAAAUUACAAAUAAAUUGCAUUAAUCUUCAUCCAAACUAUAAUAACUUUCAAUUUUGUCACUAUCAUCAUUUUCAGUGUUCCAUUCCUCAUCAUCAUCGCUAGUUACGUCACCAUUGUCGUUUGUGCGCAUUGGACCAUCGUACUGCGGAAGACUACCGAGGUCAAUUGUGAUUGAUUGAAUUGGUACUUCGAUUGAAGAUACUUCUUCUAUCUGAAAUGGUUCUUGGAUAAUAUUAGUUUCUUGGAGUGUUUCCGCACCAAUUUCCAUCGAAGAUUCUAGCCCUUGGUCAACGACAUUGUCGAUGUCGUCGUUAGUUGGGUCUUGUUUUGGUAUAGCAUACACCUUCCUAUGAUCCAUCUUCUGAACAACUUUCCAACCUCCCCCUGCUUUAGGGUCAUUUAGAUACAAAAUUUGUUUUGCCAUGUUUGCUAAGAUGUAAGGGUCGUUAUUGUACCAAGUUUUGGUAGUGUUCACUGAUAGUAAUCCAUGAUCUCUUUUAACACUUCCCUGCCUAUUUGGGUUUGUAUCAAACCAUCGGCACUUAAAAUAGAUCACUUGGCAUCGGUCUUUGUAAAGCAAUUGCACGACAUUUGUUAGUUUGCCAUAGAAUUCAAUGUCUGUACUUUUGCCUCCACCUGGGACAUGAACACAGCUGCACAACUUGUCAUCUCGUGCAACCCUUAAGAACUUGACGCCGUUAACAUGGCAACCUGAGAACUCAAUGUGAAUCGGUCUGAACGCUAAGUCAUAUAACUCUUCAAUGUACGCUGGGGAAUUUGAUACUUUCAAUUGAUUCACCAAAUAUUACACAAAACUUAAAUUUGUUAGUUUAAGCAAAAUAAUUAUUACAAUAUAUAUGUCCAAUAAAAAACACUUCAAACUUACAUAUUCAAUAAACCCCCAGAAACAAUUCACGGUGUUUCUUGGCAUACAAAUGUGAAGGAUGUGCCUGCUUCAUCAUAUCUUCAUGCUUGUCUAGGUAAGACAUUGUCUCGUUACAAUUGUUUAGUACAAACCAAUAUGCUACCUCUAUGUCCUUUUUGGAAAACAAGUCCCUUUGUAUCAGAUCUUCGAAGGGUUCAGCGAUUUGGGAAAAAACUGAAAGUUUCUCCUUUCUCACACCCCCGUCAUUAUUGUGAGAAGGACGAUUGAAAGUUGUCUCCACAUCCUGUAAAUACAUCCCACAAAAUAUAAGCGCCUCAUAUGCCACCCAAUGACACGCCCGACCAUGAUAUUCCCCGAACACCAAGAUAGGCACGUGCUGGCCAACACCUGAAGGUGAUGAAGCCAUAUUAGAAUGCAUGAGAAAAAAUGAAUAUAAAUAAGGCUUAUAAAUUUAAAAAUAAUGAAUAUGCAAAUGAGGAACGUGUUCUAAGCAUACAACUUAUCAAUAACACUAAAACAAAUAAUAUAAAAUUGAAUGAACAAAGGAUGGGUCCUCCACCUAGAGGACUCGAAGAUGCCGAUGCAGAAGUGCCUUGAUGCUGGAAUUGUAUGCCUUGAUUCUAAUUCCUGAGGGGGUGCAAAACAAACAUGAGUGGACCAAGUUGAUAUAAUUAUAAUACUAAAAUAGUUAUUCAACAUACUAACCCCCAAAGUUUUAUGAAAACAUCAAUAGCAUAAUAUGUAAUAGGGUUUUCUGAAAAAAAACCCUAGCAUGCCAUAAAACCUUUCAAAAACAUAUCUCGUAUAUAGUGCAAUAAAUAUUUGUAUCCAAUAACAAUAUCUCCCUGCCCAAUGCCAACUCCAUAUCUCUGUGCUCGUAGCCAACUCCAAUGCCAACUCCAUAUCUCCCUGCACAAAACCAUUUAACAUAGACUUUCCAUACAUAGGUAUACAUAGGUUUUUCUGAAAAACCAUUUAACAUAGACUUUCCAAACAUAGGUUUUUCUGAAAAACCCUAGCAUGCCAUAAAACCUUUCAAAAACAUAUCUCGUAUAUAGUGCGAUAAAUAGUUGUAUCCAAUAACAAGAUCUCCCUGCCCAAUGCCAACUCCAAUGCCAACUCCAUAUUUCCCUGCACAAAACCAUUUAACAUAGACUUUCCAAACAUAGGUAUACAUAUCUCAAAAACAUCUUCAUAGUAUAAAGUCAUCCAUCAUCUAUACUAUAAAGAAGUGUGCAAAAGCAUGUUCAUAAGCAGUAUUAAAUCAUCCAUCAUCUAUACUACAAAGAACAUGAGUUCGAUAAAACAUGGUAAUUCAAAAUAUUCUCAAUAAGCAUAAUAUCUCAUAAAACGUUUCCUAAAACGUAAUCAUUAAAUCAUAUUUUUCAUGUAUGCAUUUCUAACACUAAAACAAGUAUUUUAGAAAGGAUCUACUCACAGAUACUCCGUCAUUGUAGAGCCGUAUGAAAACUAGUGAAGAUAGAAACGCCACAAAUAAUUGCACCUAAGCACAUAAAGGGUCCAAUUAAUCAAACUAUAUUCAAAUGAUUGAAUUUGGAAAAACAGACGUAAAAACCGGAUUCAGGACGUCAAAAUUAGCCUAGGAGGGGUUCUAACCGAAACCCGAAAAGUCAACGAAAAGUCAACGUUGGCUGAUCAAAGUCAACAAUCAACAUUGAUUGUGAGUCAACGGGUCUGGGUCAAAUGGGUUUAGGCCUAAGGGUUCAAAGGAUUUUGGGUAUGAAGGUUAUUGAUGCACAAAAUCAGUAAGGACUUUGGUACAACAGAAAGUGUUAAGUUUGUGACCUUCGCUAGAUUACUCCGGUCACUAGUAUGGAUAAGUAUGUAAACGGAUAGAGACAGGGAAGCAAACGUGGUUCACCCAGAUUGGCUAUGUCCACGGAGUAGAGGAGUUCUCAUUAAUUGUGAAGGGUUUACACAAGUACAUAGAUUCAAGCUCUCCUUUUGUGAGUACUAGUGAAUGAUUUAAUACAAAUGACAUUUGAAAAUAUUGUGAGAGAAUGAUCUUUAUUUAUAGAAGAGAGUUUCUAGUUUCAUUCUAACAUUGACACAUGUCGUGCUGUGAUUGGCCUCUGAUGUCGACACAUGUCGCGUUAUGAUUGGCCUCUGAUGUUGACAUAUGUCGCGUUGAGAUUGGCCUCCUAGUUGGAGGGAGACUCUUGUAGGUCCUUGGCUGUAUAAUGUUGACCAGUUCUUAAUAGUUUCGGGGCUGGUCAAGUAUGGUACAAACAGUGCUUCUCUAAGUUCCCGAGUGAAUGAAGCUUCUCGGUUGGGGACUUGCAAGAUCCAAGCCAUUGAGUAAUCACGAAACUUCUAAGUACCGAAGUGUGGUAUUGUUUUUACUUGGCUUAUCUGUCUCAUAGGUAAAUGUGGCAUUUUUUCUUGAAGUAAUUUUCCUCCAUCCAGGAGUGGUAUCUCUAACCGGUGGAGAUGCACAAGGUAAUGUAUCAAUUUCACUUGAAGCUUACUUGUAGUUUCAGGCUUGGUCAAGCCAAUAAAAACCAUGUAGUAGGAGUCUCCCAAGUCGUCGAGCUAGGAGAUCUGCCGAAAGAGGUGACAGACAAGGUAAGCAAUCAGAGCUCCCAGCAAUCAGUCCCGGAUCAGAAGUUUGAUUUUGAGUUCAAGCUGAUUGUUCUCAUUUUCCCUAUCUUGCAGGCAGCAGGAAGAAUAAAGAGAAGAAAAAUGAGAAGAGAUGAUAUGAAAUACUUUUACUUUUGUAGAAGUAACUUUCCACAAGCUUAUUCUUGAAAUGGGCUGGAGGGUUUUCUGGUUUCCUCCAGAGUAUAUGGCUAACUUAAGAAUUUGAGGGUCAAAACAAGUCCAUCAAAUCUAGAGUACGUUCGACCCUGUUACGCUUGUCUCCACAUGCUUCCUUGUAUCCUUCUCACUUGCCCUAUCUGUUCAUCAGACAGAUGUGGUAUCUUCUCUGAAAGCAUAAGAUGUUGAAGAUGAGUACUCGAGAGCAAUGUCAGGUAAGUAAUAAGGCAAGGGGUUUCAGGCAGUCAGUUCUUGACAGGAAGCUUGAUUCCAAGUACUGACUGAUUGCUCUCUUUCUCCUUGUCUUGCAGGUAAGAACAAGGCCAAAGGAAAAGACAGGGAAAAAACAUGAUAUGGGAUACUCUUGCUUUUAACCCUGAUGAUAUAAGAUACUCUUGUUCUAGUGUAGCUUGUUUGCAAAGGUAUUAUCGGGGGGAAAAGAAGGUGAGUAUUUCGAGAGACUCUGCUGAGAGUGCCCUCUCGGAUGUGAAGAAAAGUUGAGCAUUUUUUUUAUUUGCAAGUCUUCCUGGCUGUGGAGGAUGAAGGUCGACAUAUAUAAGAAUUUUCCCAACAACGAGUGGUAACGCUAUUCCUUUACCCUUCUCGGUCAUAGCAAUAUAGUGGGAGCUGCAAGAUUCACGUGUUUUAACUUUGUCAGAGCACUUUGAAAAGAUGGUCUGUGGUAUCUGGAAAUCUGAUGUUGCGUGUGAGAUUGCAGACAAGCUUUAUCCAAGGAAAUCUGGCUCUCGAAUUUUAGAGAGCAGUGCCUCUUCGAUUUUCGAAAAAGUAAUCAUGUCGGGGAUCUGGCUUUCGAGAUUCGGAGAACGGUGCCUCAUCAAUUUUUUAGAAAGCAAUCCUGUUGGGAGUCUGACUCUUGAGAUUCGGAGAGUGGUGCCUCUUCGAUUUUUUAGAAAGUAAUCCUGUUGGGAGUCUGGCUCUUGAGAUUCGAAAAGAAGUGCCUAUUCAAUUUUUGAGCAAGAAAUCUUGUUGGGAGUGUUUUCUCGAAUGUGAGUAAAGGUUGGACAUUUUUUGCGAGUCUGCCUUGCCACGGAGCACGGAGGUUAACACACAUAGGAACUUUCCAGUUAUCAAGCAGUGGUGCUGUUCCUUUACCCUUGUGGAUAAUAGUAGGGUAGCUGAACCUUCAAAAUUUAUGUGUUUAAACUUUGUUAGAGAUCUUUGGCAAAAUUAUCUGUGGUACCCGAGGAUCUGAUGUUGCGUGUGGAGAGUGGUGCCUCUUCGAAAUCCGAAGAGUGGUGCCUCUUCCAUUUUUGAACCAACAACCCUGUUGCUCUUUCUUUUAUAAGGGCACCAAUUGUGUGCAAGAAGUACAUUCAAAGAGUUAUUGCUUGUAGGAAUUUUCCCUUUAUUUUUGUACUUUAGAGAUUUAUUGAACCUCAUUUCUCCUUCAUCAUUUCUGAAAAUGUCUGGCCCAUCCGACCAUCAUUUUGACUUGAACUUUGGUGAAGAGGCAACUAUGUCUCCUCAAGACAACAUAUGCCUCUCAUCCUUCUUAUCCUCUACUGGGCUUCUUACCGUUGGGGACUCUGUGAUGAAGAAUGAUAUGAUCGCUGCGGUGAUGGCCAGGAACCUUCUCACUCCCAAAGAUAACAGACUAUUUUCCAAACGGUCUGAUGAGUUGGCUGCUAAGGAUUCUCUAGCUUUCAGUGUUCAAUGUGUAGGUUCUGUGUCUAAUAUGGCCCAAUGCCUAUUUGCUCGAACCCGCCAAGUUGAAUCAUUGGCGGCUAAAGUGAUAAGUCUCAAACAGGAGAUUAGAGGGCUCAAGCAUGAGAAUAAACAGUUGCACAGGCUCGCACAUGACUAUGCUACAAACAUGAAGAUGAAGCUUGACCAACUGUAGGAAUCUAAUGGUCAGAUUUUACUUGAUCAUCAGAGGUUUGUGGGUUUGUUCCAAAGGCAUUUAUUGCCUUCGUCUUCUAGGGUUGUACCGCGUAAUGAAGCUCCAAAUGAUCAACCUUCGGUGCCUCCUCCUUCUGGGUUCUGCCCAGUAUUGAAGCUUCGAAUGAUCACCCUCUGGUGCCUACUCUUUUUGGUGCUUUGUCGACUGCUGAGACUUCUCCUGAGCAACCUUUGUGAAGGCUCCCUCUUGUUUGUUUAUUUUGACUCAUGUAUAUGUACAUAUUUGUAACUUAUCAGAGAUAUCAAUAAAUAAGUUUUGCUUCAUUUCAACGUAUUGUGUUAAAUACACCAAAGCCUUCUUCACUAAGUUCUUUGAAUUUUUCUUUUGUUGAAGCUUGUAUGUUAAAACUUUGUGAGUGAAGCAUGUAUGUUGAGGUAGUGCUCCCUUAAUUUCCCGAGUGAGGAAAACGUCGCGGUUGGAGACUUGAAAAAUCCAAGUCAUUGAGUGAUCGUGAGACUUCCUAGUAUCAAGGUGCAGUAGCAUAUGGUAGAAGUCCCCCAAGUCUCCGGUUGAGGGAGUUGACAAAGGAGGUGUCUUGCUAGUAGCCAAGUUUCCAAAGUAACAAAACUUCACCAUUUUCCUUUCUAAGUGGUAGCCCAAAACUCUUCCUUCAUAUAUAUUUGUUAUGAAAGUUGUUAGGCCCAAAGAAAAGUAGGCCUAGGCAAUUUUUAUUUUUUUAAUUUUUUUUUUAAUUUUUUAUUUUUCAAAUUUCUGAAUUUCUGAAUUUUCAAAUUUCUGAAUUUUGAAUUUUUGAAUUUCUAAAUAUAUAUAUAUAUAUAUAUAUAUAUAUAUAUAUAUAUAUUAAGCUUUAUAGGUGAAACUUUGUUGGUGAAGUUUUAAGGUUGAAGCUUUGUUGGGUACCAUGAAUUGAUUUUGCUUCACACUAUCUUGAUCAAGAUAGUGUGAAGCUUUUGUAGGUGAAGCUUUUGUGUUGAAGCUUUGUUGGUGAAGCUUUAUAGCUGAAUCUUUUGUGGGUGAAGCUUUUGUGGUGGGUGAAGCUUUUGUUGGUGAAGCUUUUAUGGGUGAAGCUUUUGUAGGUGAAGCUUUUGUCGUGGGAGAAGCUUUUGUGGGUGAAGCUUUUGUUGGUGAAGCUUUUGUAGGUGAAGUUAUUGUGGGUGAAGCUUUUGUGUUGAAGCUUUGUAGGUGAAGCUUUGGAGUUGAAGCUUUGUAGGUGAAGCUUUUGUUGGUGAAGCUUUUAUGGGUGAAGCUUUUGUAGGUGAAGCUUUUGUGGUGGGGGAAGCUUUUGUGGGUGAAGCUUUUGUUGGUGAAGCUUUUGUAGGUGAAGCUUUUGUGGUAGGGGAAGCUUUUGUGGGUGAAGCUUUUGUAGAUGAAGCUUUUGUAGGUGAAGCUUUUGUGGUGGGUGAAGCUUUUAUGGGUAAAGCUUUAAUGGGUGAAGCUUUUAUGGGUGAAGCUUUAAUGGGUGAAGCUUUUGUAGGUGAAGCUAUUGUGGGUGAAGCUUUUGUGGGUGAAUCUUUUGUGUUGAAGCUUUGUAGGUGAAGCUUUGGAGUUGAAGCUUUGUAGGUGAAGCUUUUGUGUUGAAGCUUUUGUAGGUGAAGCUUUGGGGUUGAAGCUUUGUAGGUGAAGCUUUGGAGUUGAAGCUUUUGUUAGGUACCAUGAAUUGAUUUUGCUUCACACUAUCUUGAUCAAGAUAUUGUGAAGCUUUUGAGAAUUUGUAGUUGUCCUCCAUUGAUGGAGCUUUUGUUGGUGAAGCUUUUGUGGUGAAGCUUUGUUGGGUACCAUGAAUUGAUUUUGCUUCACACUAUCUUGAUCAAGAUAGUGUGAAGAUUUUGAGAAUUUGUAGUUGUCCUCUAUUGAUGAAGCUUUGUUGAAUUUCCCAAUUUCCUUUUUUUUAUGGGAAAAUUAGAAAUUUGAAAAUGUGGGAGAGACAACAUAUACAAAUUUUGCUUCCACACUGUUGAGUAAGAGAUUAUGAUGCAAGCCACACCUUGUAGUAGUCGAAGGUUUGGAUGAACCAUAUAAAUUGAAUUUGCUUCGAAUAGUCUUGAUCAAGAGUGUGUGAAGCAUUCUACGAGUUGUAGUUACCCUUCAUUGAUGAAGCUUUUGUUGGCACCAUAAAUUGGUUUUGCUUCACACUAUCUUGAUCAAGAGUGUGUAAAGCUUUUGAGAAUUGUGGUUGAACUCCCAUAAAUUGGUUUUGCUUCACACUGUCUUGAUCAAGAGUGUGUGAAGCUUUUGAGAAUUGUGGUUAAACUCUCAUAAAUGAAGGUCUUGUUGGCACCAUAAAUUGGUUUCGCUUCACACUAUCUUGAUUAAGAGUGUGUGAAACUUUUGAGAAUUGUGGUUGAACUCCUUUGAUGAAGCUCUUGUUGGCACCAUAAAUUGGUUUUGUUUCACACUAUCUUGAUUAAGAGUGUGUGAAGCUUUUGAGAAUUGCGGUUGCCCUCCAUUGAUGAAACUCUUAUUGGCACCUUAAAUUGGUUUUGCUUCACACUGUCUUGAUCGAGAGUGUGUGAAGCUUUUGAGAAUUGGUUGAACUCCUUUGAUGAAGCUCUUGUUGGCACCAUAAAUUGGUUUUGCUUCACACUGUCUUGAUCAAGAAUGUGUGAAGCUUUUGAGAAUUGUGGUUGAACUCGUUUGAUGAAGCUCUUGUUGGCACCAUAAAUUGGUUUUGCUUCACACUGUCUUGAUCAAGAAUGUGUGAAGCUUUCUACGAGUUGUGGUGUUUGCAUUGUUACAGAGGAGAAAUGUCUGAAGCAGAUGCAAGAGGGUUGAAUAGCUUGAUCUUCGAAUGCCAUGCACUGAAGUUGUUGUUGGCUUGCACUAAGACUUUGUUGGUUACUAUAACUCUUGUUAGGCAUAAGUGUUCCCCUCUUUGAGUUGUCAAGCUUGAGGGUUUUUUAUUGUUUGUGAAUGCUAGGAGUUCACAUAUACAAGUUGUACCACUCGUCUUCUGGUAAGUGGAAUGAAUGGUAAGUUGCUUUCAUCACUUGGUUGGUGGUACGAAGGUGAGUUCCUUCAUCACCUUUCAUCAUAUUUCAUCACCUGGUUGGUGGCACGAAGAUGAGUUCCUUCUUCACUUGGUUAGUGGCAUGAAUGGCAAGUUGCCAAAUGAUAUUAAAGUACGGGUUGUACAUUUCAUCACCUGGUUGGUGGCAUGAAGGAGAGUACGAGUUGUACAUUUCAUCACCUAGUUGGUGGCAUGAAGAUGAGUUCAUUAUUCACCUGGUUGGUGGCAUAAGUGGUAAGUUGCCAAAUAAUAUUAGAGUACGGGUUGUACAUUUCAUCACCUGGUUGGUGGCAUGAAAAUGAGUUCCUUCUUCACCUGGUUGGUGGCAUGAGUGGCAAGUUGCCAAAUGAUAUUAGAGUACGGGUUGUACAUUUCAUCACCUGGUUGGUGGCAUGAAUGAGAGUACUGGUUGUACAUUUCAUCACCUGGUUGGCGCAUGAAUAUGAGUUCCUUCUUCACAUUUCAUCACCUGGUUGGUGAGAAUAAAGGCAAGGUGUCGAGGCACAUUGUAGCAAGUGUCAAAUGACACAAAGUAUGUUGAACCCUUUUGAAGCACAUUUGGCUUAUGUAUGAAUGUGUUGGAAUGUAUGAUUGAACGAAUAUAUUGUGAAGCUGUUCGUUUAUUGGUAUAGUCUUGUUGACAUAUACUUAGACUUUGUUUCAUGUUGGAAGCAUUCAUGUUGAAGCUUUGAACCCGAGUGUUUCAUUGCUAGAAAUGUAAGAGGAUUAGGACCGAGUUGUCUAAAUCACCUCUUCAUUGAAUUCAUGCCAAAUAGUCUUCGUUACAUAGGAUGCUGAACGGCUGAAGCUUAACACUUGUACAAUGUAAGUUUACUUGUAAUAGUACUUCAAGUUAUCAGCGUUCCAUGGAUGGCCAAGGGUCUUGCCAUCGGAGCUUCUAAGCUUGUAAGAGCCAGGGCGACUGAUGCUAAUAACUUCAAACGGUCCAUCCCAGUUUGGACUAAGUGUUCCUUCAUUCAGGACUCUAUCGCAGAGUAAUCUUUUCUUCAAUACCCAGUCCCCACUUUGAAAGAACGAGGUUUGACCCUUGAGUCAUAGUAGUUGGAGAUGCGCUGCUUGUAGGCGACAUUCCUCAAGUGAGCCUGGUUUCUGUGUUCCUCGACUAGAUCUAAGUUGAGGGUAAGUUGUUUGUCAUUUUCGCUUUACACGUAGUUCUGGACUCGGAACAUUGCUUGUUCAAGCUCAACUGGGACAACUGCCUUUGUACCAAAGGCAAGUGAGAAUGGGGUUUCUCCUGGUGAUGUUCGAUACGAAGUGCGGUAUGACUAAAGAACUUGAGGUACAAAUUCUGGCCAACAACCUUUAACCUUGUCUAAGCUGGUUUUCAAAGUUUGCUUGAUUAUUUUGUUGGUGGCUUCAACUUGUCCAUUAGACUGGGGAUGAGCUAGGGAGGCAAAACAUAAGUUGAUGUUGAACUUAGAACAGAACAUCCUGAACUUAUUGUUGUCGAACUGUCGCUCGUUGUCAGUGACUAUCGCAUUGGGAAUGCCGAAUCUGCAAAGGAUGUUCUUCCGUACAAAGUCUUCUAUUUUUACCUCAGUAAUGGUUGCCAAGGGUUCUACUUCGGCCCACUUUAUGAAGUAAUCAACUGCAACGAUUGCAUAGCGGACCUUGCCCUUCCCUGUAGGCAUUGAGCCGAUCAAAUCAAGUCCCCAUUGGGCGAAGGGCCAAGGGCUGAUCAUAGGAGUGAGCGGCUUGGGAGGGGAGUGAGGAAUAGUUGCGUAGCGUUGACACUUAUGACAUAAGCGGGAUAUUCUGAUGGCAUAUUGGUGGAGUGUUGGCCAGUAAUAUCCUUGGCGAAAAGCCUUGUGUGCUAGGGAUCGAGAUCCAGCAUGAUCUCCGCAGACUUUUUCAUGUAUUUCCCGAAGAACAGUUUCCGCCUCUACGAGCGUAAGGCAUCUUAGGUAUGGCAGGUUAAAACCCCGCUUGUAGAGUUGGUCAUUAAUGAUCAAGUAAUGGGUAGCCUUGUAUCGAAUCUGCAUAGCUUGGACUUUGUCAUUUGGAAGGGUGUCAUGAGCAAGGAAUCUAUAAAUCGGGGUAAUCCAACUAUCCCCCUGUUGUAAGUUGCACACUUCCGCAACCAUGUACUUGGUGCAGCUAACAAUUCGACCUAAAUUUUUCUCCCAAUCUUGUCUUCCACCGUUAAGGUGAGGCGAGCCAAAGCAUCUGCAUGAUUGUUUGCCGCUCGAGGAAUUUGGGUGAUCUGGUAGUGGAAGUGUUUGAGCAACAAUUGUGUUUGUGCCAGAUAUGCUGCCAUGGAGCUAUCCUUAGCGUCAAAGUUAUUGGUGACCUGGUUAACCACCAAUUGGAAGUCACUGAAGAUAUAAAUUCGUUUAACCCCAAGGUGUUUGGCCAAACGUAAGCCUGCUAUGAGGGCUUCAUAUUCGGCCUCAUUGUUCGACGCCUUGAAUUUGAAACGAAGAGCAUACUCCAUCGCCACUUUGUCAGGGGUCGUAAGGACUAGUCCUGCUUCACAACCCUGUUGGUUGGACGAGCCAUCAACAUAUAGACCCCAUGAUGGGGCUGUUGGUUAUAUUUUCUGAGCUUCCGAGGGUAAUAAAACAACUUCUUUAGGCGUAGAAACAAUGUCAACAAGAUAUGUGAAGUCGGUGAUGAAGUAUGCCACUGCUUGGCCCUUCUCAGCUGGCUUUGGUUAGUAGGAGAUGUCAAACUCACCCAAUGUUAUCGCUCAUUUUAUCAUUCACCCGGAAGUGUCAGGACUUUGGAGUAUCUGUCGAAGAUGAUGAUUGGUAAGCACGAUGAUGGAGUGUGCUUGGAAGUAAGAGCGAAGUUUUCGAGCAGACAUGACUAAUGCUAAAGCCAAUUUCUCAAUGUUGGAGUAUCGUGUCUCCACAUCUUGUAAGGCCUUGCUAGCGUAGUAGAUAGGCCGUUCGACAUUACCAUCUUUUCGAAUGAGAACGGAACUUAUUACUGAAGCUGAUACCGACAGAUAGAUAAUGAGAGUGUCACCAACCUCAGGGUUAGAGAGCAGAUAGGUUUUACUCAUGUAGUCUUUGAGGUUCUUGAAUGCCUCGGCAUAUUCAUCAAUCCAUGUAAUGUACUUCUUACUUCCUUUAAGUGCUUUGAAGAAAAGAGCAUAUCUGUUUGUGGCCUUUGAGAUGAACCUAGUUAAGGCUGCCACCUUGCCAGUAAGGCUCUGGAUGUCUUUUGAAGUUAUCAGUUUCUUCAUGUCGAGGAUUGCUUUGAUCUUCUAAGGAUUAGCCUCAAUGCCUUAUUGGUCUAUCAUGAAGCCUAAAAAUUUGCCAGAGCCUACGCCAAAGGCACAUUUGUUGGGGUUCAACCUCAUUCGAUACCUCUUCAGAAUGGUGAAAGUUUCAGAUAGGUUGGUAAUGUGUUGGUCAGCAUGUUUACUCUUGACUAGCAUAUCAUCAACGUAAACUUCCAUGCUCUUCCCAAUCUGUUCGACGAACAUUGAAUUGACCAAUCUCUGAUAAGUCGCUCCUGGCCGAAUGGCAUGACUUUAUAACAAUAGAGUCCCAUGUUAGUAGUGAAGGCUGUGUGUUCUUGGUCCAAAGGGUUUAUAAAGAUUUAGUUGUAUCCUGAGUAAGCAUCCAUGAAGCUCAAGAGUUCACACCCUGCCAUAGAGCCUAUAAGUCUAUCUAUGAGAGGAAGAGGAAAGCUAUCAUUCGGGCAUCCUUUGUUUAGGUCGGUGUAAUUGACACACAUUCUCCACAAGACCUUUUAGAGCAGGAGACUUUCUUUGGUCAGAUUUUUCUUAACAAUGACCACAUUUGCUACCCAUGUUGGGUAAUUAACUUUGCAGAUGAAGCCUAUGCCUUUGAGUUUUUCAACUUCUACCUUCAUUGCUUUGUAUAGUUCAGCGUCAUAAGAUCUUUGCUUCUGUCUCACCGGCUUGGUCUUGGGGUCAAUACUCAAGCGAUGACAUAUGAUAUCGGGAGAUAUGCCUAGCAUGUCCUCGUAUGACCAGGCAAAGACCUCAGUGUUCUCUUGCAAAAAAGAGAUCAAUGUCAACCGAAUGGGUGGUGACAAGGUGGUGUCAAUCUUCACCAUGCGAUCUGGAUAAUCUUUUGAGAUAGAAACCUUUUCCAACUCUUCAGCGGGUUGUGCUUGCUGGGUGAAAGAGUCGUCUCAAGGAUCAUCGGGUUGACUGUUGCCACCAUGAAGAUCCAAGUUGGCUUCGUUCGGGCUGGUCUUUAUAACUUGGUCAUGUAUAGAAAGGGUUUCCUUGGGCACAGGCAGGUGUUGUUGCUUGACCAAAGUGUUGUAACAUGAUCGUGCACUAAAUUGAUCUUCUCUGAUGUAACCAUUGCCAUAAGGGGCUGAAAAUUUCAUCAACAACAUAUGUGUGGAUACCAUGGCCUUGAGAUCAUUGAUGCAUGUGCGUCCAAAGAUAACAUUGUAUGUCGUUGGACAAUCGACUACCAAGAAGUUAGUGGUAAUGGUAGUUGUGUAAGGGCAUGUACCAAUGGUGAAAGGUAAGUAUAUGCUCCCUAUAGGUUGCAUGAUAUCACCGGAGAAGCUUAUCAUAGGAGAAAUCCAGUGAUCGAGCAAAUGUUCAGCUACAUUAAGUGCCCUGAAAGCUUCAGCAAACAUGAUAUUGACCGAAGCCCCCUUGCCUACCGGAAUUCGUCUUACUUCAAAGUUGGCUAUGUGAGCCUCCACGAUCAGUGGGUCGUUAUGAGGGUAGAUGAUACCUCUUUCUUCUUCAGGAUAGAAACAUAUUGGAUCCCAGUUAGGCUUUUGAUACUUACCUCCCCUGAUGUCUUCCACGUGAAACACUUGGUGGCUAGGCCUUAAAGCUUAUUUGUUGUUUUUCAUGGCCCUAUUGGAAGAAUCAAAUAUGAGUGUGCCGCUACUUAUUGAAUAUAUCACAUUCACUUAGCGUUAGUUACGGUUAUCCCUUGAAGGGUGAAUGAGGAAUCGAUCAAUUUUUCAUUCACGCACCAAAGCUUCAAUAUGAUCACGAAUGGUGAUACACUUCUCGCCGUCAUGGCCGUUAUGUUCGUGGUAGCAGCAAAACGUGCCCAUGUUCUUCGCAGGCUUGUAACCCGACUGCCUCGACAUUGGCUUUGGUAUCAGGUGUGCUAUGCUGGGGUAAAUGGCCACGCAUAUGGCGUUUAAAGGCGUAUAUGUUUUCAUACCUCGAGGUAGGGCCUGUCCUGACACGUGCUUGGCCCAUUGUGUUGACUGCCUGAAGGAGGGCAUUAUCGUGGCGAUACCCUUGGUAAUCGCAAUAGUGUCCCUUACUUCUUUUACUAAAAUGGGACUGGUAAGGAUAGAAAUCUUUCCUUUUGCCCUGAGAUUGAUAUGUCUGUUGACUUGGCGAAGUAUUAAGUAAGGCAGGAUGAGGCACCGCUGCCGUUUGGAAGGUCGAGGUCUUCUCAUUUGGUUGGAUCUGGCUUCCACUCUCUACUUGCUGAUAAGGGGUGGCUGUGGGGGGUUUCCCUUGAUAUGUCUUUGCCUCAGUGGAUGCAUGGUUGUAAGUUUGUGCCAUCACCUCAGAGUAAGUCUUCCAAGUGUUGGCAUUGAUCAUGUACUUGAAGAAACAAUCACGUAGGCCCACCGUGAAGGCUUUGAGGGCAGUCUUUUCGUCUGCCUUAGCACAACGAGAAUACUCAUGGCUUAAGCGGCUAGCAUACAUACGUAAUGACUCGUCUGGUUUCUGGCGAAUAGUGUACAAGUCAUCCGCAGAGUGCAAAUGAUCGGUCUGGAAAAUGUGUUGAGAAACAAACAGUUUCCUCAAUUCCUCAAAUGAGUCAACUGUCUCAAGUGGAAGACGACAAUACCAGUUUAGAGCUCCGCCAGAGAGGGUGGAGGGGAAGAGAAGACAUCGUUCUUCGUUGGUGUGCAUCUGGUAUGCCAUGGUGGACUCAAAGAGGUUAAGGUGUUCAAUCGGGUCCUCCUUUCCAGUAUAGAGUUGCAAGCCAAGCUUCUCCUUUGUCUUUGCUUAGAAAGGGGUGUCGAGGAUCCUCCUUGUAAGAGGCCAGGCCUAGGUUGGUUCCAAUAAGGUAUCUCAGCUUGUCGUUCAGCCUUCAACUUGUUUACUUCCUUAAAGAACUGUAGAACAAGAGGGUCCUGAGUGGAGUCAUGUACCAUUUGACCUUUCUUUCGUAAAUCUCCAUCUCCUCUUGGAAGUAGAAAGGUUUGAUCAAGAGCAUGUGAUUUUUCCCUGGACUCGCCGUACUGACUUCCAAGGUAUUUCUGUCGGAACAUCUCUGAGUCCUCUACACCUUUGUGUUUCUCUAGGACUUGUUGCCCCUUCCCCAAAUUGGUAGCUGGCCUGGGACAUGGGAGAGGAUCGAGUCUUUCAGAGACCCUUGGGUCAUUGAUCUUCGAGCUUACAUGGAUGGGAUUGUCUCGACGUUGCUUUAGGAAGUCUUAACAGUCGUGAAAGACGGCUUUCGAUCUUUCCACUCCUUCUGUAAGGAGGUGUCUUCCUGCACUCUUCCUGCUUCGGGUCGAAGCAGCUGGGUUGAGAGAAGUCUCAUGUUGGUCGCCAUUUCGAUAAGUAGCUCGCUCCCAACGGGAAUACCCAUGCCGAAAGCAAAUGACCAUCCGUGUUGGGGGGCACCCAGUUGAUGGUUGACUUCCACAGAGGUGAUGAGCUCGUGUGUUUUAGUAUAUCUAGCCUCGUGAAGUAUCUCGAAGACCUUCUCAUACUGCUCUUGGAGGAUCUCAUUCUUCAUCGCUAUCUUGUUGUUCUGAGCCUCCAGCUCAUCGACUUUAGCCUGAAGAGCAAACUUCUUUUAUUUCUUCUUUCGUUGCUUCGCACCAGGUGCAAGAGGGGUGUCAUUCUGUAUGUUGUGGCUUCCUUCGCUCCCCAUGUUGGAAAGGGAUGCCUGGUCAAAAGAGAGUGUAUGAAUGGUGGAAACCAACUUAACAAAGCUGAAAAGAGUGGGAAUAAGUGUUGUUCCCACAGACGGCGCCAAAUGUUGAUGCACAAAAUCAGUGAGGACUUUGGUACAACAGAAAGUGUUAAGUUUGUGACCUUCGCUAGAUUACUCCGGUUACUAGUAUGGAUAAGUAUGUAAACGAAUAGAGACAGGGAAGCAAACACAAGAUGUACGUGGUUUACCCAGAUUGGCUACGUCCACGGAGUAGAGGAGUUUUCAUUAAUUAUGAAGGGUUUACACAAGUACAUAGAUUCAAGCUCUCCUUUUGUGAGUACUAGUGAAUGAUUUAGUACAAAUGACAUUUGGAAAUAUUGUGAGAGAAUGAUCUCUAUUUAUAGAAGAGAGUUUCUAGUUUCAUUCUGACAUUGACACAUGUCGUGCUAUGAUUAGCCUUUGAUGUCAACACGUGUCGCGUUAUGAUUGGCCUCUGAUGUUGACAUGUGUCAAGUUGUGAUUGGCCUCCUGGUUGGAGGGAGACUCUUGUGGGUCCUUAGCGGUAUAAUGUUGACCGGUGCUUAGUAGUUUCAGGGUUGGUCAAGUAUGGUACAAACAAAGGUUAUUGGUUUUGGCCUAAGCUAAAAAAAGUUGGGCCUCUGAGAAGGCUUGAGUUCUUUGAUGAAUUGGGCUUAGGUUCUAAUAGGCUGGGUGACCCGGCCCAAAGGCCUCAAUUCUAGGGUGGUUUCUGGGCACCAUUUCAAACGGCCAUAACUUCAUCGUUACUCAACAAAAUCAAGUGAUCCAAAAAUUAAAGUUGUAGUAAUCGACGAGAUGAAGAGAUUGGUACCUUGCACGAUAGCUAACAUGUUGUGGUUCGGCCAGAAAAUGCCUCAAAAUGUGGCUGUCCGCAUGAAAACUGUUAACUCGCUAGAAUUUCUGGGUUAAAUUUAAACGUCUAUAACUUUGUCAAUACUCAACGAAAUUAAGUGAUUCAAAAGCCAAAAUGUAGUUAGUAAUGUGGAAAAAGAUUCAUACCAAGUGGGGACCGAGUAGUGGCCAAAGUUGGCUGGAAAAUGGCCCGAAAGAUGGAAAAAUGACCACGGCCAUUGACUUUCCUUAAGCUUUUCCGAGUUCCUACCACCAAAAAACUUACUAACCGUGAACCUAGACAUGACCUACAAUGAUAGGGACCAAUUUAGAGGCUUACUUCAUCGAAAAUCAUGAAAACACGUCGAGGAAGAUGAUGAAUAGUGAUAGCUUCACUGUGGGGCUUCCCGGUGCACGGCCUAGGGUUUGUGGGGCCCCUCUGUCCAGGUGUGCAGGUGGUUGUGUGUGUGUGUGUGAUCUCAGAGAGGAGGAAGGUGGGUUUGUAGAGUGAUGAGAGCUCAGGAAGAGGGAGUCCGAGAGUGAAGAGAGGGAGAGAAACUGAGAUAAAAAAGAGUUGUGAGAGAGAGAGAGAGCUCUCAGGUCCAACAAAGGAGAAAGGAAAAAGAAAAAGGGUCGGGGGAAAGGGAACCAAAAAGGAAAGUGGGCCCCAAAUAGCACACAAAAUAAGACCCAAAAAAGCAAUAUUUUAAACAAAUGAAACCCAACCAAACUAAAAAUAUGAAAAUACCCUUCCGUUAUGUAAAUUCCUGGAUGGGUUGUUACACCUAAGCUUGUAUAAUUGAUCAUUCGGGCUUCGCUUUGUUUUGUACACUUCUCUUUAAGUCUCCGAGAAGCUUGCCAAAAUAAAACGAUGCGAUACAAAUUUUACUAAUCGUAAGAUAUUGAUUAAUAAAAAUGAUGAGGAUUAUAUACAAUCGUAAGAUAUUGAUUAAUAAAAAUGAUGAGGAUUAUAUACCUUUCUAUUGGAUACAUCCAUCAAAAGUUGACUGGUCCAACAAGCAAUGCCUUAUUCGAUAAGUGAACCAUCACAUGGAUCAUACUUGUGAAGAAAGCUGAAGGAAAUAUCAUCUCAAUUGUGAAAAAAAAGCUGGACAACAACAUGAUUGGUUUCAUUACAUCAGCUGGCAAGAGAUGUCGAAUACCCACAUGGCAGUCAUGACUCUUUAGUCCAGCUAAUUUACCCCCGUCAACGUUUAAUCAACAUGCGAUAUUUGAAGCAUACCCAUCGGAAAACUUUACAGACGAUAAAAACUUUAAAAAUUCUUUUUUUUGUCAUUCGGUUUCAUGGAAAAAAAAUGCAAGAUCCCUUCUGGCCUUAUCACUGUCCAUAUUCAUCCAUAAACCAUGUCGUAUUCCCAUUCAUUCCAACUUAAGACAAGCUUUGAUUGUUUCCUUUGUCUUGCCCUCGAUAUCUAGAAUUAUGCCGACCAAUGUGUCAAAUACAUUUUUCUCAGCAUGUAUAACAUCGAGGUUGUGUCCCAAUUUUAGUUUCGACCAAUACAGGAGCUCAAAAAAUAUAGACUUGUGCAUCCAGUUCAUAUGUGUAGAAGGUCUGGUCCUACUUACAGUUUUCCUGAACGGAGCAAAAUCUAAAUAGUUAAGCUGUUCCAAAAUCUGGUCACCAGACCAUUCUUUAGGUCUAAGGUGAGGCUUUUUUUCCCGUCAAACUUUUUAUCCUUCUCUCGCCACUCGUGGUCCCAUGGCAACUAUCUUCGAUGACCAAGGUAACAAACUUUUCUGGUGUGCCAACUAGAUGUUAUGUCUUCUUUGCAUACAUGGCAUACCAUGUGAACCCUAGUGAUUCACCCAGAAACCAUUGCAUAUGUGGGGAAAUCGUUCACAGUCCACAUCACUACUGCCCACAAAGUGAACAUCUUGCCAGUACACUUAUCAUAUGUGCGCACACCGUGCGUCCAUAAAUCUUUUAGCUCAUCCACGAACGACUGUAAAUACACAUCAAUUGACUUACCAGGAUCCUCGGUUAUCAAUAAAGUCAUCAUCAUGUAUUCAUUUUUCAUACAUUUCCAUGGCAGCAAAUUAUAUAGAAAUAUGAAAAUCGGUCAAGUGUUAUGGUAUCGGUUUAGAACCCCAAACAGAUUAGAUCCGUUAGUGGCAAGUCUCAAUCUAACAUUCCGAGGAUCAACAGGAAAAUCAGGGAACGUUCGAUCGAACUCUUUACAUGCCUCCCUAUCUGUAGGAUGCCUCAGGACAUCAUCAUCUACCCGUUUUUCCUUAUGCCAUAUCAUGUCGGUGGCAGUAUGCGUUGACAUAUACAACCGCUGCAACCUAGGUUUCAAAGGCAAAUAAUGCAUGACUUUUUGUGGGAUCUACGUCAAUCUAUUCUGAGAUGUCACUUUGAACCUCAACUCAUUGCAUACAGGGCAUUUAUCCAACGCUUUAUUCUCCUUAUAGAACAAUACAUAAUUAUUUUUGCAAGCAUGAAUUUUUUUUAUAACCCAAUCCCAGACCAUUCAACACCUUUUGAGCAUUUCUAUUGACUUUCGGCAAACAAUUGUCCUUUGGUAGCAUUCUCUUGAAAACCCCCAAAAUAUAAUCAAAACACUAGUUCGACAUACGAUACUUUAUUUUCCCUUGCAUUAGUUCCACAAUAGCUAUGAGAACGGAAAAUCCCUCACACCCCGGGUAUAACUCUUGGUUGGAAUUUUUUAAUAGUUUUUCAUAUUGUUCGAAUUCUUCACCAUCCAUUGGUGUAGGCACGUCAUCUUCCACUUCCUGAUUGGUAUUUGUCGAAUCAAAUGGAAAAAACAUAAUUUAAGAUUUCCAUGACUUGUCGACUCUUGUCACGUUUGAAGACGAAGCAUUGUCUAAUUGUUCCCCGUGAUGGUUCCAAAUAUUAUAGGUCUCUACCAUUCCAUUCCGCCAAGGAUACGUAGGCAAUCUAGAGAUUCAAUCUAGAUGCAACCGCACAAGGACAAAAAUCCAAAAUUGAAUCCCUAGUUCACCUUCACCAAAUUCACCAUAAAAUCCAAAUUGAUUCCCAGGUUCAUUCAACCAAAUUCACCGAAUACAAAAUCUUUUUUUAGUGGGUCAUUCACUCACUAAAAAUCUCAAACCAAAUCAAAGGAACUACGAGUGACUUGACCCUCAAGAGGGUAUGUAGGCAAUCUAGGGCUUGACCUAGGUGUAGUUGCAAAAUCAAAUAAAUACCCAAAUCCCCAAGUUACGAUUUAUUCAUAAUGGAAUCAAAGGGUUUUUCCUUUUAAUUAAUGAAGGAUUGUAAUAGACGCAUAGUCUAGAAUGAGUUGAACUCAAAUUAAUAAAACCCUCUUUAGAAAAAUGAACGAGGGUGAAAUUGUGUCGAGUGAAUUACUUGUUUACAUAUUGUGUACAAUUUUUGCUCAACAAUGACCAUCAGGAGAAUCAGUCCAAAUCAAGGUAUCAUUAAUUUCAGCAGUCUUAGGCAAGCAAAUAAAACAAAUUUGACCCCAAAUAAGAUGUAAGCUAUCAAGGAGAGAGGCAGGACAAAACCGGUUCCCAUCAAUAAUAAAAUUGGAGACCCGUGCAUGCAAAGUUUUACUCAAAGCCUUGGAAUGUUUAAAACUUCAAUUAAGAAUUUAUCCAACAAAUUGGCAUGCCAAAAACAAACUUUUUUACCUGAACCAAUAAUCCAACAUCAGUUAUGUUGUAAAUUAAAAUAAAUUAAAAAGAAAAUUAAAAAUGGUUUUUGUAAAAUUAACUUGAUAAGUAAGAAAAACAAAUAGUUUUGAAAAAAAUUAAUUGUGAAGGGCACUAGGUUUAGCCAUUGUCAUUAACAAUUCUUUGUAAUUCUACCAAUAGUACCAGAAAAUAGAGCUUGCCCUACAAAUGUUUGCCAAGCGGACUAAAUUUCGUGGGGUAAAGGGAAUUUACCCAAUGCAUGUUUUAGUAGGUAGGGCAACGAUGGUCAACAUUUAGGGUUUACUCAAAACCUUUACGAACCGGAAACCUAUCAUAGGGCAAGUCACAAUUCUUCCGCCAAAAUUUUGGUGCGAAGAGGGCAAAAAGUGGCGCGCAAUAUUUAGAUAUUUGCCCAACAAAUUUAGUAUUCGUCGGCAAGGUUGGAUUUGCCCGACAACCAUGUCCGUCGGGUAAGUUCUACUAUAGGUGGUCAAAGGCCCACACUGACGUGUAAUAAAUAUCCACCGACACAACCCUUGUUCGACGCUUUCCAUGUACUUGCCAUAAUGAGUGGUGCGUCGGGCAAACCCCUAUUCAUCAAUUAUAAGUAUGUGUUUUUCGAUCCUCAUCCUCUUUCUCCUCUUUUUUUUUUUUUUUUUUUUUUGUUUCAAUACUCUAAGAAAUCAAACGAUGAAAGAUUGUUUAAAAGUCAAACUACUUGGUAAACUAAUGAAGACAAAUCCUAUGCAAGUACUAUAUCUCUAUAUACUAAAACUCAGUCGGAUGGUACUGUGGAUGACCAGUGUGAUGACAAUUUUGCCCCUCGAUUUUUUCUUUCCUUUGCCGUUUUGUUGCCUGCUUCGCACAGUUAAAUACCUGUGUUGCUCAUGAUUGCCACGCGUUGAUCAUCCUUUGUCUGUGUGGUUCGAUUCUAUCGUAGCGAAUGGACGACGUUUCCCUUCUAGCCCACGCGUCCAUCAUCGAUGGUCCCUUCAGUUCGACUUCUUCUCGAUUUCGCUUCUCCCCUUUUGGGUAUUUUGGAACCUAGGUUUUUUUCUCUCCCGCAUCGCCCUUUUUACUUGCUGUUUAGCGUUGCCAUCUUUCUCCAGAUUGGCAGGCCGAUAGAAUCCGGCGAGGUCAGCAUGUACGUCUAUAGAAUUACCGCCUGUGAUCUCAGCCAUCUCAGCCACACUCGCGUAACCGUUAAUUUCGUUGUUCUGUUCAGGUUCGCACAUUUAAUCUCAUUAUUUGCAUGUUUAAUUUAGUAUUCAUGCAAUUAAUUGUGCUUUUGAUUAGUGUGGAAGUUGAAAUGUUUGAUUUUAUGCAUGUACUUUAUUUUUUCUGUUUUCUGUUAGAAAUUAAAUUACUUUUCGUUGAAAAUCGUUGAGCUGCUAGAAGUUUUUGCCUUUUUUCUUAAUUUGAUCGAAAUUCAUUUCUUAUCCACAUAACCUAGAGUCUCCUGAUGAGUUUUUCGUCUUUGUCAGUGUGUCUGAUUUUAUUUUAUUUAUUUUUCGAUUUACAGAUAGAUUUGUGUUUAAAUUUUCUUUUUAUAAUUUUGGGGUUUUGUUUUGUUUGUGUGCUCGGAUGCUGUGUGUGGCUGUCUGGUUUCAUUCUUUUUUGCUUUCAGGAAACACUGGUGUUCUAAUUUUGGGGUUUUGCUGAAGGUAUAUAUUAGUUUUUAAUAUAUCAACAGUUUUGCAGGGUCAGUUUUGUGUUAGUUUUGUUACUGACUGUUUUUUCCUGUGGAGAAGUACGGUGGCUCUACAGCUCACAACAGUGUAUGUUAUUAUUUUAUUCUUGGGUUAGAGCAUGCAUAUAUUAUCAGUUGCUAGAUGUCAUGAUCAAUCCCUAUAUUCUAAUGUGAAGUAAAAAAAGAAGGAACACUCUAUAACUCUAAUCAGAUGUCCACUGAAAAGAAAACAAAUCAUAUUACCAAUAUGUGUUAAAAUUGUGGUGAAAUAAUAAGAUGAAUACAAUGUUUCUGAUAGAGAUGACCCAUGAUAACAAAAUGGUCAGGCGGAGUCAUUUAAUGGUUGUCAAGGUUGGGACUUUGUCUUAGUGAGUAAGAGUACAUCCUAUAUCAGGGAAAAACACUAAGAUCCGAUACACUAUCAAUCUCAUAUGACAGGAGAAAUAAAAGCUUUAGAAGGUACUCCUGUCUUUUUCUUUUUCUUUUUUUUUUUUCUUUUUUUUCAUGUUUCAGUUUGUUUUUCAAUUCAGUUAUCAAUGCUAUUUGCUUUUUACUAUUUUGUUUUUCGUUUUUAAUAGUAUACGAACAUAAAAAAGCCUCCAAACCUCCAAAGAGACCACAGGUUUUGAAAACCCCUGUGAGUGGAGUCACUGAGCUGCUUAGAUUCAAUCUUUGAGAUUUCCGAAUUUUCGAGCUUUCAAUUUUGUGUGGGGUUGAGAAUUUGGAUUAAUUCUAUGAUGUUUUAAAUUAUCCUUAAUUGCUUGGGUUUGUUUGGGGGGGGGGGGGGGGGGGGGAGGGGGAAGGAGCAGAGACAAGCGGAAGAGAAGAGGCGGAGGAUGGAGGAAGGAGAGUGGAGAGUAGAGAGAGAAACGGGCUGGGUCUUGCUUGGGGUUUUGUUUGGAGUUUUGUUGGGGUUUUGAUUUUGGGUUUUGUUUGAAUUUGGGGAAUUACCAUUGAUAGAUAGCAUAACUCCUACGCACAUUUUUAUUCAUAUUCCUUUUCUCUCAUCUCUUAUUUAGUUUUUUUCAUUUAAUAGACAAAAGAGAAGGAUUUUCUUUUUUUGUACUCUCCCGAACUGUAACAAAGUGGUAAAUUGCUAACAGCGCAUUAGAGAAAGUGUGGGGAUAAGGCCGACCUCGUUCCGCUACAUUCAUGAGAUUCUACGGUUUAGGGAGUUCGCUGCUCGUGAUUGACCGGAAAGGAUCCGCCCCUAAAUUCCUCACGCUAGUUUACGAUUACAUGGGUCAACUUAACAACAAAACCCAUAGAGGCAGAAGAAUGGCUUCCAAUAGCUGUUAUGAUCAAUCCAAAAAAAAGGAAAAUUAGGAUGCCUAAUCCAGACCCAUUCGCCUAUGAAAGACCUUAUGAUCCUAUUUUGGAUUUGGAUUCUGGAAGGAAAAGUCUUUUGACACAGAACAUUUGGUCUAUGUUCAUGAAAGCAACAAUAACCAAUUUGGCGAUUAUUGCUCCCUGCUUGCGUUCUUUGUGAUUUUAUUAUUUAAUAAUAUCGUGCAUCCAUGAUAAAUUUUUUCCAGCCUCCCCCAACCCAAUGCCAAACAAAGUUUUGUAUAUUUUUACAAUGAUAUAAUCUGGAAGGUGUCCUAAGAUUCAACAAUAUUGCUUUUAUUAAUCAUUUGGUUGCUCUUAAAUUGCAGCUUUUGUGUUGAGUAUUUUGGGUUAUUUUUUUCUUCCCUUUAUUUGUUGUUGGAAACACUGUUCUACUCUUGCUAAUUUUGAUGACAAGGAACUAUGUUAAACUGCAGGACUAAUUCCUAAACUGCAGGACUAAUUCCUAAACUGCAGGACUAACUAUAUAUAAAACAAGACAUAGUAUGCCAUAAUACAUUUGUGUACAUGUAAUUGAAGAGGAAUGUAUCCAUUAUUAUGAUAUGAAAUUGCAUGAAUACUAUUUAGCUAAAUAGUUUUCAUGAGGUAUAGUUUUUACUUUGUUGAUUGAAGAGUUUUUUUUUUUAGCCAUGAAAUCUGAAGAUUUUAGUUUUUGGUUUUCACCUCUUGAACCAUCUGAUCGAUUGCAUUACAUUAAUGUGGGUAGUCCAUUGUUUUUAAGCCUGGGAAAUAUUAAAGUAUAAAACCUUUCUUCUAAGAAAAUUUUCUGCAUGUUUUCUCAAUCAUCUUAGUUUAUGAUUGAAUUUUAUACUCCAUUCCUGUAUUUCAUCAAAUUAUCAAUUGGGUUGUUUUUCUUUUGUCAUUUCAAGAAUUGAGUUAGUUCUUCUUUGUGAUUUCAGUAAUUGAGUCUUUAGUCACUGCACAGAUUCAUGGUUUUUUCACCCUUUCAGAAGCAGUUGAUUGAGUGGAUGCGAUUCUGUUGAAGCUGAAAAUCUUUGGAUGAUAGUUUUAGUUUUAUGAUCAUUAACCUCCAUUUCUUAUGCACGGUCAAUAACUAUACAAUGCGUGAAGGUAGCCUAGCUUUUAUUGUUCCUCCCUGCGACCUUAUAUUAUCUGCACUCAAAAUAUGUUGUGCAGCAUAUUUUCUGUUUCAUUUUGUCGACAUAUGCACUGUUUAUAUUAUCUGCACUCAACAUAUGCACUGUUUAUAUGCAGUGGAGUGGAUUAGAAUUACCUCAUUUUGAAAUGUUCUUCAAAAUUUAAAGUGUGAUUUUGCAUUUUGUUAGUUAGGCGGCAGCCGGGUUGGAGAGGUAGUGGGAGAAGAAAUGUAUUGCCACCGAAGAAAAUUGUCUAGCUUUCGAUAAAUCACAGAUAUGACAGAUCAAAAGGUAAUGAUUUUUACACUUCCGUUGUCUAUUAUAUUGUAUCACUCUAUUCUCCUCCAUUCUUUUCAAUCCAAAAAAUUCAAUUCAGAUAUUGUAUGAAAGUAUGGUUUAUUUUAUUCUCUUUUAAAUUGAGAAUUGGAGGAUUUUUUUUUUUUUUUGGUUGAGUUCAAAUCAAAGAAAGUUUUUGGUCUUAUCUUAUUUUCUUUUUAUUAAUUUUUCUUUUCUAUGAAUAAUAUUAGUAAGACCGCUUUGGUAAGCAAAAUUCGAUUAUAUAGGCAUGGUUGCUUACAAGACAAAAGAUCUGUUCUUUUUGCUUUAUGAUUUCUAGGCUUUUAGAUUAGAAAUGUUAGUUUCUAACACCAUGGCAUAUGGUCAAGUACAAGAUUGGGGUAAUGACACUUAUAAAAUCUGGGGUUGUAAUAAGUAACUUUUUCUUUGUUCUCUAUCAUAGCACUAUGUAUUCGAAUUGCAUAGGGUGUUGUUGCUGGUGCUGUACUCUCCAUGGAUAUUUUGGAGCCGUUGUGUGAUUUAUUGCAUCUAGGCCGGCCUUGCUUAUGGAGAUCUUUGUUGAUGGUAAGCUAUUAAUCUCUGAGAUCUAUUUCUUUUUGUUUAUUUCACGUGUGGCUAUUUAUUGAAAUUUGAUCUGCCAAGAACUGGAGAUGGUCUUGGUUUUUAGGUUAAAAUUGAAUCAUCCAUCAUUUUGAAAACAUGGUAUUUCUGAUUAAACCUAUAACAAUGGAUGCAUAGGUUAUACAUGUGGAUUGUCACAUUAUUGUAGUUCUCAAUUGAUUUAUGAAAGGUAGUCUUAACUCUUCGUCUAUGUACCAAUUUUCUUAUUUUAGUGCUCAGGCAAAAAUUAUAGAGGAGUUUAUUUGUUGGAGACUUGAAGAGUAAAACUUAGCAGCGCAGUACCGCUGGAAGUGGUAAUUGCUAAUCAGGUUUCCACUCUUUUUUCCACAUACUUUGGUUCAAAAGUAAUGCCAUUUGAAUGAUGAAACAUUAAGUUGGCAUCUCAAGCAAAUGUUAUUUGCCACUUCCUUUUUAAAUGAAUUUUAAGAUUAGCCCCAGUCCAUGUUUGUUUAACAAUGUUGUAUCAUUCAUUAUAUAGUUUCACAAAGAGCGAGCAUAAUUCUUGCUGAACUUGGUUUGGUUUUCUUUUGUUUAGGGAUCGAGCAAGCGAAUCACAGUUCGACCAAGUCUUGAAUGAUGAAUUGAGGCAAAUCAUUGAGGUCUCUUUGUCAAGUUAAAUUUUCAUCUACUUUUCAUUUGUAAUGCUUAGUUCUUCACUCAUGAAUUUGCAUAAGAUUAAAUAAAUUUUCAAACUCGCAGCAACGUGUUGGCACUGUUGCUAGUUAGCUUCUAUUGGGCAUUAUUAAUAUUUCUAUGAUUGGGUGCGUAGUUCUAUGAUUAAGAUUAUUAAUUCAUAUUUUAUGUGGUAUAUAUGUAUUUGUGAUGUUUUCAACAACUGAGUUGUUUAAUUAGUUGAAGUCAUUGGACAUGAUUCCAGAUUUUUAUUUUUUUUUCCCACCCCACCCACACCAGGCCUCGAACCUGGGACCCCACACCCACACCCUCACCACUAGGCUAUUCCUAGUGGCUUAACAUGAGGCCAGAUUUGAUUGAAUAGCAUGAUCUCAUUCUCAUUGCAGAGCUUUAACUAAUGUGGGGACAAUGCAAGCUAACCGAAAGAAUAAUGUGGAUGGAAAAUGAACUCUUUUGAUUUUCGUACAUGUGAAAUUUAUGACGCCAGAUUUGAUUGAAUAGCAUGAUCUCAUUGCAGAGCUUUAACUAAUGUGGGGACAAUGCUAGCUACCCGAAAGAAAUAAAUGUGGAUGGAAAAUGAACUUUUUUUAUUUUUGUAAAUGUGAAAUUUUUGAAUUGACCGUGCCUUAUGUACAUGAAGAUACAUUUAAGCACUUAAUCAGUCACUAGUCGGUUAUGAGAAUCUUUUUACAAUUGGGUAAAAUGGAUUAAGAAAUGUUUACUUUAGUGGUAUUAAGCAUUUAUCCCACACCCCAGCAAAGAGUUUCGAACAUUCCCCUCCCAUUUUGGCCUCCAUUCCACAGAAGAGAGACAAAAAUAGAGAUUUGCUGAAACAAUUCUAAAUUUGUGAACUUCACUUGAAAAUUAUUUGAAUUUGUGGAACUGGCUUAGCGAGUUUUGUACUUAGUCAAGAGUUUGAGCAUUCUCUCCUCUGUGCCGAGUUCGAACAAUCCCCUCCCAUCUUGGUCUACUUCUAAAGAAAAUUAAGAAAAAAAAAUAUAGAGUAGUAAAAGUACACCGGCAUCUCUAGUGGAAAGAUGCAAUUAUGAGAUGCUAAAACACAUUUACUUCUCAUUUUGUAUCUCCAAGAGAUGUGAAUGUAGAUUCCAAUCCAAUGGAGGAGAUGUAAAUUUGGGACCCUAAUUUUCUUCUCUCUAUAACUUUGUCCAUGUUCUAAAAAUGUAAAAUAAGUGUACAUUUGCUUUCUUUUUAUUUACAUUUUCUGCCAAUGAUGAAUUUUUUACAUCUUUCCACGGAGAGAUUUUUGGCCAACAAGAAAUGUAAAAUGCCAAUUUCAAGGCAUUGUAGAGCAUCUCAAAAAUAGAGGUGUAAAAUAUUCACCUUGGCUAGAAUAUGUAAUUCAGAACUUAAUUUACAUCUUUUGGUGGUGGGUCCUGCCAAUCAAAUAAAAACAUUAAAUGAGAUCUCAAACUUGCAUAUUUCUCAUUGGAAAUACAACUCAUAUCUAAAUCUUCCAGAAAUGUAUAUUGUGAUGUAAAUAUGAUUUUUACAUCUCAAAUUAGAAUUUAUCUUUCCAUUGUUGAUGCUCAUACAUCUCCCAUUAGAGACGUUGUUCGAAAAUUAUUGGAAGUUCUUGAAAUUGACUUAGGAAGAAUUUCAUCGAGUUAGUUAUUAAUGAGUUAUGACCCCUUAGUUUGAUUUGAAAAGAAAAAAAUUGGACAUCGUAGUUUAAAGAAAAUUGAAAACUACAAACACAUAUCCGGAAGGUUUAUACUUUUAUAUUCACAAAGUUUUAUGAGGCCUGUCAUAUUCAUUGGUUUAAGAUGCAUGAAAAUAGAUUGCACUACAAUACUAAUCCUCUACCGGAUCGAACCCUAAAUUGAUGCAAGGCACCAAUAUUCCCUUCUCACUUAUUUACAAUAGAGUUGCAAGUUUGUAGUUCCUUCUCGGUUUCUUAAUUAGUUUAAUUAGUACUUAAAGCUACUGAAAUGUGAAAUUAAAGUGAUAGAUACGUCAUUAAAAGCAAGAAUUCCCAAGAUUAUUGGUUUAACACACACACAAUAUAGUGAAACUGAAAUACUUGGAAACUAAAAAAUAAGAGAAACUAGUGAUGAAAACUAAUGCCACUUUCGCAGGGAACUCGAUUGCAUUGAGCGCAUGCAACAAGCCUUUUAAACCCAUAGGUGACCCUGAUGGGACGAGUGAAGUCUCGUGAGGGUUUCCAGAGACGUUACCCACAAACAUUAUGUGAUAGUUAUGAUCAUGAAUGCCGAGUGGCUGUAGAGAGAUCCCUUUUUUUAGAGUCCGACUUUGUGUUGUCUUAUUUGAGGUUAGGGUUUGCCUUAUCUUCUUCAGGGUCAGGGUUUGCCUUAUCUUCUUCAGGGCCAGGGUCUGCAUUGUCUUCUUCAAGGCCAAGGUCGGGAUUUGCCUUGUCUUCUUCAAGGCCAGGGUUGGCAUUGUCUUCUUCAGGGUCAGGGUUUACCUUGUCUUCUUUAGGGCCAAGGUCGGGAUUUGCCUUGUCUUCUUCAAGGCCAGGGUUUUCCUUCGAAACUUCGACAACCCUUUUAUCGUUGAUUUUGAUGUUGUUGUUGUUGUUGCUACUGUCUUUGUUGUUGUUGCUAUUCUUGUUGUUGUUGUUGUUGUUGUUGUUUUCGUUAGUAGUUGUUGAUGUUGUUGUUGUUGUUGAUGUUGUUGUUGAUGUUGAUGUUGAUGUUGUUGAUGUUGAUGUUGCCUUGUCUUCUUCAGUUUCAGGGUUUGCCUUCUCUUCUUUAGGGCCAGUGUUUGCCUUGUCUUCUUCAGGUUCAGGGUUUGCCUUGUCUUCUUUAGGGCCAGUGUUUGCCUUGUCUUCUUCAUGGUCAAGGUUUGUCUUGUCUUCUUUAGGGCCAGUGUUUGCCUUAUCUUCUUCAGGGUCGGGGUUUGCCUUGUCUUCUUCAGGGCUAGGGUUUGCCUUGUCUUUUUUAGGGUUAAGCUUUGCCUUGUCUUCAGAAAGGGCUGCCUUCAAAACUUCGACAACCCCUUCAUUGUCGAUGUUGAUGUCUUUGUUGUUGUUGUUGUUAUUGCUAUUGUCGUUGUUGUUGCUGUUCUUGUUGCUGUUGUUGUUGUUGUUGUUGUUGUUGGUUGAUGUUGUUGUUGAUGUUGAUGUUGUUGUUGAUGUUGUUGUUGAUGUUGUUGUUGAUGUUGAUGAUGAUGAUGAUGAUGAUGAUGUUUCCAUGUUAGAUGGUAUGAUCACUCUCACUACUCUCUUCAUCUUUUUUCUCUAUUCUCUCUUCUCUCUUUCUCGUGUGUUUUACUUGCUCCAUAGCUUUGAAACUGCUAUCCUAUUUAUAAUCAAGGAUAAGCGCACACCAUUUUUCUCUAUUCACAUUAUGUGUUCACACUAAUGGUUUCGUAUAUAAGGUGUUUUUAUUUUUUAUUUAGGGUAAAUAUCAAUUUACUACACUCAAAUUUCGUGAUUUUCAAUAUUUGGUACAUGAAGUUUUUUUCGUUCCAGAGUCAUACCUAAAGUGUUAAUUUUUGGACAGUCUCAUACAUCCGUUAGUCUGACUAUUAAAUCUCCUAUUAACUGAUGACGUGGUGACGUGGUUAACUGAUGACAUGGUGCCCAUGUGGACAAUGAUUGAGCGCCACGUGUCAUUAAGGUACCGUUUGAUACGUGGGAUGGGACGGAACGGGACGAGCCGUUCCGUCCCACGUUUGGUGCGCCUAAAAAUUGUAGAACGAGUUGUCUCAUGAGACAAAAUUUGGCUGAUUUUUCGUUCCACCUCUUCCCCCUGGAACGACCUGUUCCACAUCCGUGGGACACAAAUUUAUAACAUUUUAUGACAAAAUUUCUCCUUAUCUUUUUCAAUAUUUACAUCAUUUGUUCCGUUCUGUUCCGUCCGUUUGAGUACCAAACGGUACCUAAGGGUUCACUUGGAAAUAAAAAAUUCGAUAAAAAAAAAAGGCUUCUACCUCACCCGCCCUUCCCACCACCCAAUCCUCCCUCCCUCUCUUCUUUCAUCUACUCCAAGCUGGAUACUGAGGUCAGCGCCCAAGGUCGAGUUGACUGCACGGUCGGCAGAGCCAAGGCAGAGGAUGAACUGGUAGGGGCGGAGGCGGCGCUUGGCUGCUCGUGGGUGUUACGCGAGGGACUAGAGGAGCACGGCGGAGGUGGACUCGAUCUUACCUUCCGCGAGGCGACUGAGCGGUUCGUGCUCAACAGCGGCGACGCCAGUCAAGAAGUCAUGCUCCAUGCAGAAGUCAUCGAUGCAAUUGAGAGUGACAACCAAUGGGAACGAUGAGGUUACGAUGAGGUAACGUGCUGUGCAAGCAAAAAGUGCUGUCCAGAGCUAUGUGCAUGGGACCAUUUCACACCACAGAUUCGUAGAUCUACAUUGAUACUGAAUUUAAUUUCAACGUCAGAAAAUUGAAUACAAACAGGGAUACAAGGACCGGUGUUUGGUAAAAAAAACCUUUAGAAAUCAAAGGAAAAGGGCCUACAUUGUAUCUGCCUUACGUUACAGCUGUCACAGGUCUAAAACAUCAGAUUCGUACAAAUACAUUAAUACUGUUCGGUUAAAAAUAAGAUCUAAAAUAUCGAUAUUAUUCUGAUAUUUAUCAUCGAUAUUUUAGACCUUGAUAGGAACUUUAUGUGGUAUUAUGUCACUAAUGUAUCUUACCAUGUAAUGCAUGAAGUGUAAAAUAUUGUACUAAUUCAUUAUAUAUAAAUGAUUAUGGUGUUUUUAAACUUCUUUAAUUAAUUACUAUAUAUUUUCUACACUCACAAUGUUUGCCAACUUGCUAUAGAAUCAACUUAAAUAAGUUAAAUCUAUCAUGCAAUGCAAUUCCUUCUAUUUUUUGUGAUAAACUAAUAGAUAAUUGACUAAAUAAACAUCCUGGAAAGUUUCAGAAAAAAUUUCAAAGUUUUUCUUAAAAUUUCCGUGGUUUUUAUUCAAUUUUUAUCGAUAUCGAUAAUAUUCCGAUAUUUCCAUUGAAAUUUCCGUGUUUUUGGACUACCGAUAUUUCCGAUAUCAUCGAUAUUUUAUAACUUGGGCCUCAGUUUUUUUUUUUAAUUAUAAUGUUUUUUGAAUUUUUAAUUUCCACGUAGUGCCCAAUCAUUAUUCAUAUGUGCGUCACGUCAUCAGUUAACAAAAAACUUAACAACCAUACUAACAAAUAUAUGAGACUGUCUUAAAAUUAAAACUUUAGGUAUGAUUCUGGAAUAAAAAAAUUUCAUGUACCAAAUAUUAAAAACCACGAAACUUCAGAGUAAUAAACUGAAAUUUAUCCUUUUAUUUAGUAUGUGGUUAGAAAGAAACGUGCAAAUGAUCAUGCGAUCAACGUCCUGUGCAAACAAAAAUGCUGUCCAGAGCUAUGUGCAUGGGACCAUUUCACACCAUAGAUUCGUAGAUCUACAUUGAUACUGAAUUUUAAUUUCAACGUCAGAAAAUUGAAUACAAACAGGGAUACAAGGACCGGUAUUCGGUAAAAAAAACCUUCAGAAAUCAAAGGAAAAAGGCCUACAUUGUAUCUGGCUUACGUUACAGCUGUCACAGGUCUAAAACAUCAGAUUCGUACAAAUACAUUAAUACUGUUCGGUUAAAAACAAGAUCUAAAAUAUUGAUAUUAUCCUGAUAUUUCCAUCGAAAUUUCUUUAUUUUUGGAGUAGCGAUAUUUCCGUUAUCAUCGAUAUUUUAAACCUUGAUAGGAACUCUAUGUGGUACUAUGUCACUAAUGUAUCUUACCAUGUAAUGUAUGAAGUGUAAAAUAUUGUACUAAUUCAUUAUAUAUAAAUGAUUAUAGUGUCUUUAAACUUCUUUCAUUAAUUACUACAUAUUUUCUACACUCACAAUGUUUGCCAACUCGCUAUAUAAUCAACUUAAAUCAGUUAAAUCCAUCAUGCAAUGCAUUUUCUUCCAUUUUUUUGUGAUAAACUAAUAGAUAAUUAACUAAAUAAACAUCAUGCAAAGUUUCAAUAAAAGUUUCAAAGUUUUUCUUAAAAUUUCCGUGGUUUUUAUUUAAUUUUUAUCGAUAUCGAUAAUAUCUCGAUAUUUCCAUUGACAUUUUCGUGUUUUUGAACUACCGAUAUUUCCGAUAUUAUCGAUAUUUUAAACCUUGGAUAAAAACCUUUGAUAGGAACAGAAGGGAAAAGGCCAACGUCGUACGUACCUGCACUAAUUACAGUUGUUACUAUAUAUUGAAAAACAUUGAUCAGACGUCUGCUAUAAAGGAAAAUGUUGUUGUUUUAUAAUGACUCGCAUAUUAGCACGGGAGAAUAAGGGAUCCUCUCCGGAUCCUAUUCAUCAAAUUCAUCAAGUUUAUCAAUCUAAAUCUUUGAAAUUUGAUCUAACGGUUAAAAACAGGAGUAUCUUUUAAAACUUAUAAUAAUUUUAGCCGUUUGAUCAAAUUUUAAAGAUCCGGAUUGAUGAACUUAGUGGAUUUGGUGGAAGGGAUCCGGAGAAAAUCCAUUUCCUUGUUUCACAUUAUUAUUAAUUUUACUGAUUUGUAUGUUGACUACUUGUUUAUCUCAUGAUAAAAGUUUGUUAUGAUGAAGAAAGCUGAGCUCUCUAAAAUUAAUCGACAAUAUGCAAGUUAAUUACUUAUAAGUUAAUUACUUAUAAGCAGAUGCAAUGUCCUCUUUUAUUCGAUGUGGAAUUCAUACUCCUAAUAUGCACAUUAUGUUUGUUAAAAAGGAAAUGACAAUUUUAUUCGAUGUACAAAAACAAAAUAGAACAAAUUAUUCUAUCAUUUAACAAAAUAGAACUCACUAAAAACAAUAUUAUGUUUGUUAAAAAGGAAAUGACUACACCCAACUUUUAUCUCUUCUCACCCAACAAACUCGUUUUACUCUACAAGAUUUUAAAAACUUAACAUCUACUCUCCGCACUCACCAAAUCUUCCAAAAUUACCCCUUCCUAAUCCUUCUCUAUCUUACACGAUAUAUCUUCUCAUCCAAGAACACCCCUUCCUAAUCCAUCUCUAUUUUUUUUUUGUCAUAAGGUAAAUUGUUGUUACCGACCAACAUAACUUACAUACACGACUAGAGACCAAACACAAAAAAAAUACAAAAACAACAGAUGAGCCUCCAAUAUAACAACAAAAGAAAACACCAAUCCGAAAGUAGAGCCCAAUACAGAAAAACACGCAAGAAAACCAUAAACUCCUCGAUCCUCUUCCUCCGCUGAAGUGCUUGCCGCCGCCGACGAUCCAGUCCCCCUGCAAAUCACUAGAGAUAAGAACCAGCCAAGCUCUGAAACAGAAAAAAGAAACAAAUUUCAUCAUCCUCGAGCAACGUCCGCACAACUUCAAAUUGCAACCACCAAGAGAAUGAAUGGAAAGAAAAGAAACAAAGUUCAUCGUCCUCGAGCAACCUCCCCACAAUCCUUCUCUAUCUUACAUGAUAUAUCUUCUCAUCCAACAACCUCUCCUUCCAUAUGGGGCUGCCUAACCCACUUUCCUCCAUCAAUAUUCGGUUCUUCAUCAAGUUAUGCACAAUAUUAAAGUACGCAACGAACAAGAUUACAAAAUAAUAAGAAUAUUAUUAAAUAAACGAGAAUGCCGAAACGGUUACAAAAUGCUAAGAGACUACAUUGUGAAUAACUUAUUAGUCAUGCUAAACUAUAAGCUAUAUUUAUAGAGAGCAAAACCUAGAAACCCUAAAUCGGAUGGGCUAGGCGGCCCAUAUACUAACUAACAAGCAAACUCAAAUAAUUAUAAUAUACUAAUAUUUUCCAACACCCCCCCCCCCCCCCGGUCAAACUCAUAGCGGUAUACGACAUGAGUUUGCAAACAACCAGAUGUAGACUGGCUCCGUUAGGCGGACUGGCAGACAUGCAAGCUUGACUGGACUUGACUUGACUUGCGAACUGGCAAAUUUGACUUGACUGGAUCGCCGAACUUGACUUGACUAGCGAACUUGCAAACUGGUUCCUAUUCAGGUAUGUUGAUUCUGGCUAACAAACUGAUUAUGAUUCACACUGGCUAAUGUUGAGAGUAUGGAAAGAACCAGUCACUAAACGGACGAGAUUUCCAUAUCUCAAUUGUACCAAUAACAACACCAACAACGUGUGUGGCCCCAAAACAAACUUAACUAUGUUUUUUUUUCCUUGCCCGUGUGGGCCUAAAACAAACCAAAACUAAUUUCUUUUCCUUUUUUUUUCUUUCUUAUUUUCUUUUCCACUUUUUUCUUACUUCCCUUAUCCCUUUUUUUCGUUUUUUCUUCUUUCUGGACUAACGCCAUACACCUCCAGCAUUGGUGCAACAAGUGAGUGGUUCUAAGGCAGCGGGUACGGCAGUGGUGUGGUGGAUUGCAGGCAACAAUUUGGUGCGGGUUGAGAUUGUGAGUACAAGGGUGCGGAUGAGGUUCUGAUUUCCAAGCUUGCAGGGUGGUGCAGAAACGACGAUAAAGAAUGGGGUCUAUCCAGGCUUGCAGCAACAGGUCGGAUUCUGGGUUAGAUUACAGACGGUGGGACGGCACAAGACAAGCAGACGGCGAGGCAAGAUCUGGAGGAAGGAAGCUUCAGGUUUUUGUUUUCUUCUGCAAACUAAACCAAGGACAGAAAACAAGAAUACGUACAUACUGACAAACAGAAUACCAACCCGACCAAGCAGAUUAAAUACUGAAGGAUUGAACCUGCUUUGAUACCAAGUUGAAUAUCAGAGUGCGCAGCGAACAAGACAAACAAAAUAAUAAGAAUAUUAUUAAGUAAACGAGAAUGCCAAAACAGCUACAAAACCCUAAGAGACUAUAUUAUGAAUAAUUUAUUAUUCAUGUUAAACUAUAAGCUAUAUUUAUAGAGAGCAAAACCUAGAAACCCUAAAUCAGAUGGACUAGGCGGCCCAUAUACUAACUAACAAGCAAACUCAAAUAAUUAUAAUAUACUAAUAUUUUCCAACAAUAUCUUCUCAUCCAACAACCUCCCCUUCAAUAUGGGGCUGCCUAACCCACUUUCCUUCAUCAAUAUUCGGUUCUUCAUCAAGCUAUGCACACUCUUUUGAGAAUUCAACUUAAUUAUAAGGAAUAUGAAACCAGCAGCUCUUUGCAACUACCUGUUAAUUAUAUCUUUAUUUGGGUUUAUUUAAGUUGGUGGCUAGCCAUCAAAUUGUUCUUCCCCAUCAAUUUUUAGAAGAAAUCAAACCAAACUAGACUCGAGUGUUCAUAUAUUCAUUGGAGUUGAAUAUAACAAUAUGUAAAAUUCCAUCACUAAGAAGCCAAAUUGUAUUAAGACUUUGUAACAGCAGCACGAAGGUCAGGAGUCGACUUGGAGGAGAAGAUCGCGAGCGGGUUUGGCUAGCAUUGGUUAACCGAACCCCCAAUUCCUUGUUCAUGGCUAUCGGCUAAUCUUGUGAACAUUGAACUUUUUGUCAAUUUUGUGUUCGGCAUGUUCAAACCAAGGUCUAAAAUAUUGAUAUUAUCUCGAUAUUUCCAUCGAAAUUUCCGUGUUUUUAGACUACCGAUAUUUCUGAUAUCAUCGAUAUUUUAGACCUUGAUAGGAACUCUAUGUGGUACUAAGUCACUCAUGUAUCUUACCAUGCAAUAUAUAAAGUGUAAAAUAUUAUACUAAUUCAUUAUAUAUAAAUGAUUAUGGUGUGUUUAAACUUUUUUCAUUAAUUACUAUAUAUUUUCAACACUCACAAUGUUUGCCAGCUCGCUAUAUAAUCAACUUAAUCCAUCAUGUAAUGCAUUUUCUUCCAAUUUUUUGUGAUAAACUAAUAGAUAAUUGACUAAAUAAACAUCCUGCAAAGUUUCAAUAAAAAUUUCCAAGUUUUUCUUAUAAUUUCCGUGGUUUUUUCAAUUUUUAUCGAUAUCGAUAAUAUCCCGAUAUUUCCAUCAAAAUUUCCAUGUUUUUGGACUACCGAUAUUUCCGAUAUCAUCAAUAUUUUAGACCUUGGUUCAAACACAUGAUUCAAUCUAGUUGUAUUUUAUUUAAGAAAAUAUAAACAAACACAAGAGGAUUUCAGAGAAAAGUGACGACUUAGGGCAGAACAUUGCAGCUCAAACCUCACUUACAUACUUCAAUGACUUAGGGUUUUGGUCACAAUACCACCUUACAUCUCAUUUAAAUUAGCUAGCUAACAAACGCCUUCAAGACCCCAGUUGUUCUAAGCUAUUCUAAACCUCACACCAAAGCAAACCUAUCUCAGCCCUACACUUGUAAUUUUGGACUGAGUCAACAUAUUGGCCGUUACAAAGUUAGAAAAACUAAGCCAUUACUUUGUUUAAUACAAAAAAUUGGAAGCUAGAAAUCAGUUUAGGCAUCACCACUCUCCUUCAAAUUGUUUUUAGUUUUGACACCAUGCAAAUCCCUGAGGUAUACAAAUCUCUAAGGUAUACAAAACUCUCUUUUAGCGUAGCCUUAGUAAAUAUAUCAACAGUUUGAUCCUCAUAUUUGCAAUAGAGUAAUUCAAUCACAUUAACUGACGUACAAAGGAUCUCUAAUAAAGUGAUGGUUCCUCUUGACAUGUUUUGUUUUUUAGUGAAUCAGAGGAUACCUUGUCAUAGUAAUUACAAUGGUGUUGUUGAGUUUUAGUGAUAUAGCAUCUACUUUGAAAACGUAGCUGGGUCGAGGAACCCAAACCCAAUAGAUAAAUAAUCUCAACUAAAAUUCUAGACGAGGUUCAAGUAAGUACGAUUUCAAUCAUACUACAUAACAAUGAAGAACAAAAUGAAAUAGAGAAAAAGAACAAAAGACUCAUGAUAGUCUUUUACGUGGUAAUACCCCACACACAAUGGGAAAAAUUCAUGGGCACACAACCGAUUAAAGAACCACUGAGAAAUAAGAACUUUUACAAGACUCAACAAGACAGACACCUACUACACUUGAAGUUUUCUCUUGUACUUUUAAUCUUGUAGCACACAAUCCUUCUUUUGCUCUCUUUUGGAUGAACACGACGCACUCUGCAGGUUCUCCUCACGACUAAAGAGAUUGCACUCAACUUCGUCACAAAGAUGGACACAACUUCUUCACACAAAUGAAUGUGAUGAAUAAUAUGAAAGGUAUGAAGUGUUUCACUAGGAUCACUCUUCUAACCUAGCACUCAAGAACUUUGCUUCAAACUUUUUAUGCUCAAAUCUUGUAUCCAAGCAAAGAUGAAUGAUAGGCUUGAUUUCCAAUGAACCAACAGCCUAGAAUAAAGGAAACUGGAAUACGUACUAGAAUAAAAUCAAAUUGGUUUUAUUUCUUAAAACUAGGCAAUUAAACUGAUCUUAUAAUCUUCAAGAUAUGCAAUGAUGUGAUUCUUGUUUCCUAUAUGAAUGCACAUGAUACUCCAUUAUAUUCCUUGAUGUGCACGUUUUCAAUAAUUAAACCUAGAAACUACGACACGCCUAAAAUCUAGAACUAAUAUAUUACAGACGCAUUAAACUUGUCUAGGAAAUUAGCCAAAUAGAAAAGCUUGCUCUUUCUCACUUGCAUUCAAUAAAGUCCCUAAGAACAAACCUCAGCCAAAUUGCUUGAGAAGUAGCCUCUAGCACCAAGGAAGAACAUCGCUUUGAAAAAAGUUGUCUUUGACUUUGGGCAUAAUCAAGGGUUGUAAUUCCUAUAACUCUAAUGGUGAAACUGGGUCAAGAUAAACCUCACAGUAGGCUAGCAUAAUGCGGUUCAAAUUCGGUUUUGUCGAGAAUCGAACCUAAAACCUCUCACUUACAAGUGAAUAGGAAAACCACUAGACCAUAGUACUAAGUGGCAAACUGUUUGGUAUUCCUGUGCUUUCUAAAAAAAAAGAAGUUAUUUUGUUGUCCUAUGAGGAUAAACAUUUGUAAAAUAAAGUUGUUGGGUGUUUUUAUUAUUAUUUUUUUUUUGUAAAAGUACUUUUAACAAUAAAAACAGUGUUUGAGUGUUUGGUAAAAUUUAUAUAAAUUGUUGUGAAUGUGUUAAAUAACUAAAAGGAUAUGGUAUGUAGUGUGAUAUAAUAAUUGUUAAAAACAAUAACGUAAGGGCAAAAAUUGUAAUUUUGUAAAAUAUGUGGGGUUGUACUUGCCCUUUGAAAAUUUUAUUAAAUGAGCACUAAUUACUGUACUUUGAAAAAAAUGCACUUUCUUUAGAAGCAUAGUAGACCUGACUUUUGUUUUUUCUAUGCUUUUCUACUGUCAUUGAUAACAGUUUUUUUUUUUAAAUCACACUUAAUGUUCCAGAUUUUUUAAAAGCACUACAAUACCAAACCAGCCAUUUGUUAGAUUGUUUAGAAUUUUCUCAAACAAAUGGCUCAAAUGUGUAGGGGGAAUACUAUUAUCUAGUUGGCAUUCAGUGACAUGGUUAAUUUCUUUGAUUAGUGAAUAUGUUCUGGAAUGUUAAAUUAUUUUGUAUAAACUUAGCAUCCAUGACGCAUUUUAAGUUAAACCAUAUUCACUAGCAAGAGCAUUUAAAUUGAGAGAGUAGAAGACAAUUCUGAGAUCAAUCCCAAUCAUGUUUCGAAUUCAAGAGAUGGGGUCAAUUUUUUAUUUAUUUAUUUAUUUUAUUCAUUUGGUUUAUUCAAUUUGCAACCCAAAUGUCUUAUUGUUAUACUUUUCAGAAUAUGCCUUACAUAUUCACCUUCACCCCAAUCUCCUCGCUCUAUAUCUUGGGGAAAGAAGUAUAGAUUUCAAUUUGAAGCCAAAAUGCCUGGUUAUAAUGAUUAACAGAUUAAUUUUGUUGGAAUGUUUACAUUUUUGCAAUUGAUUUACAAUUGAGUUGUAAGGAAAGACAUUCACUAUUCUUCCAAGAAGAGGCCAAAUUCAGAUUCAUAAUUUGGAAUGAGGGCCCCAAUGCAAAGCGUGAGGAGACGGUGGCUACCAACAACAGAGGAAGCAGAGAGGGAAUUGGAGAAUUGAUCCUGCCUUGCCUUCCUCCUCGCGGUAUUUUAAAAUACAGUCUUGUGUAGGCGUUUGUUUCCUAGUUGAUCCUUUCCAUUAUUUUAUUUUGUUCAAUGCUUCAACGUGUAAUUAGUUUUAAUCUUCCAUAUGAAUCCCUUAACAGUCGUUGGUAACGUAGACCCUGUCCUUUCCUCUCUUGGACCGUCACUAGUUAGUAUAUCGUUUAGUUUCUUGGGCAACUAGCAGGAAUGAUCACUUUUUGACAUUUGGUUGCAGAAAUGAUCAUGAGUCGUUAUGUCAUCAUUGUGUGGUCGAUAUGUUAUUAAUACGUCGCCGAUAUUAAAAAAAGAAAAAUUAAUGAAAAAAGCUUGAAAAUUUUGAGUUUUAAUAAAAAGAACAAACUAAAGGGUAAAGUGAAUUGUACCAGGAUUGACUUUUUAGUAUAAAAAUGUGGUUUUUCGUUAAAGUCAAUAGUACCGGAAGUUUUUCGUUAAAGUUCCCAUUAAAAAGUGAUAAUUUUUGCAAACAAAUGUCAAAAAAUGAUUAUUCCUGCUAAUUGCCCUAAUUUCUAAUUACCAAAUAAAAGAAUAGUACUAUUAGUCAGACUUGAGUAUUGAAAGUGUACAAACAAAGGUCAAAGGUAGUACGUUAUAAUCUGCUACACUGAGACAUUAUUUUUUAGAGACGGAAUCUACUCUUAAAGAUAGUGUCUAAAUUGCCUCAGUGUUGUUCUAAUUGAACAUCAGCGUAGAGCGAUUUUUACACCCUAACAGAUAAGUAUUCAAUAUAUUGCUAAUUUCUUUAAAUCGAAUGUGGCAAUGGAAAUUCUCAUUAACUGUAUAUAUCUUUUGUGAAUUGUUGUAGACGAAGUAGCAUCAACGUCGCUAAUUUUUUCAACAACAAACACCACUUGUAAAGCAUCCCUUUCUGAAUGAAAAUACGAAAGCUCAAUCGGAGGGCUAGUUGAACACUUCGUAACGCUACCAAUUCUUCUACGUGAAGGGGACUAGCAGUACCCCUUUGAAGAGUAGCAACCAUAACAAGACAGGUCCCUUCCCCAUCCCUAACCACCCUAAUGCCACCAUUACCACUGCACUCGCAAAAAGCAAAAUACAAAAUUAUAUUCACCCAGAGGACUCCAUCAUUGAUACUGCACUGGCUGCUUACCUCGACUACCGGUCACACAUGUUACGCAGAAUACUAGUCCUCGACUACCAAAAAGACCAUAAGAGCAUCACGAAGGAGAGCAAACUACUCCUUGGACAUGUCAAUCGCCAUUGGAAUAGCCUUUCUUUUAGGCUACGAUAUCGCAACAAACUUUUCUGAAAAGACAAGGGACUAACAAACUACAUGGAACUUUUUAUAUGGAGCCUCGAUGGGCAUGUACAUGCCCUGUUUUUUUCCUCAGUCUGCUUACUUGCUUGAAAUUUCAUAUGCAAAAAUUGCUUUGCUUCCCUCUUUUCAUUUUGGAUUUGACGGCUUGGCUACAUGGACUUUUUUUUUUCUUGGACAUGUGACUUUCUUGUUGUUCAAUUUUGUGUGACCAUUGUUAUUUACUUGACUUUGUUUUCGGUUUGGUAGGUCGCUUAAGCUCUACUUGAACCAGUGAAACCUGCUUGGUGAUGAGAGCUCGAAAUACCUAUUAAUCAGAUAAGCAAAUCCAAUUUUAACUUGCAAGUGCACAAGACCAAUAGUAGUAUAGUAAGAGGAAGUAAGAAGUCAUUCCCACGAGUAUUGAUUUUUAAUUUAAUUUGAGUCUCAACUCAAUUCAAAUUCAACAAACUUUUUAACACAAAUAGGGCUGAAAAUUUUACCUAGAAUGAAGGAGACAAGGAGAUCUCAAAACCUUAAAUUACGAGUGGGUGGAAAGAAUAUUUGAGUGCUUGUAAUUGUUUCUCCAUAUGCUUCUACAGUAAGCAAGGCUCCUAUCAUUGUGUGUGAUUAGUUUACUUUUGUGUUCUCAAUCGCAUAUAUAUCAUUUUGCACUUAUUGGUUUGAGGAAAUUAAGGCUCAGACUUCGUGACAUUUUCAUGAUUCUUUAGGACAUCCAUUGAAAUCUUACUAAAUUGUCUAACAAAUGAGCAAUUUGAUUCUUACUGUUGGAGGAAAGAUUAGCAGUUUUCAAUUACACUGCAUAAAGGAAGAAUACAAGAGAAUAUAUAUGGAGGAUGAAUUUUGAACGGGAACUGAAAAUUUUCAACUUUAUUGCUUUCAGUUUUUCAUUACAACACUUGGCCAUCUUAUUGGCUAUUUAUAAUAACAUUCAGACCUUUUGAUAACAGCCAUAACUCUUGGAUUAGUUCCAAGAGACACAACUCUACAUUACAAAAGUGCAUUAUACGUUUAACACUUAUAUCUCCGCAAUGGCGUUCAGGAACUGGAGCAAUCCAGUAUUAGAAAAUAACUCUGAUAUUUUCAUUUCUUAAUGAAUAAGGAAAUUACAACUGGUUUAUAUACAUUUGUGAGAAAUAGCUUAGUGACUAAUUACCCUUGGUUAACUGACUAAUCUAGUAAUUAGUUACAUAGACAGUUGUAACAGACUUGUAACCAAAAUACAACAAACUAUAUAUGUGACUCUUUACACCCCCUCAAGCUAAACGGAGGAGAGCCGAGAGAAAGCUUGGAUUGAAGGUAUUGAAACCGAGCCUUAGAAAGAGAUUUGGUGUGAAUAUCAGCAACUUGAAACUGAGUAUUGAUAUACUGCACUUGAAGUAGCUUAGCAAGAACGAACGAGUUCACGGAUGUAAUGAUAAUCAAUUUCCACGUGCUUGGUACGAGCAUGGAAAACCGGAUUAGAGGCCAGAGAAAUAGCGGAAACAUUAUCACACCAAAGAGUGGGAAUGGUAGUGAGUUGAAAAGCGACAUCUCUGAAAAUUUUACAUAUCCAUGUAAGUUCAGCGGCUGUGUGCGCAAGAGAACGAUAUUCAGCCUCGGUAGAGGAACGAGCAACUGUAGGUUGCUUUUUAGCACUCCAACUAAUCAAGUUGCUGCCCAAAUAUAUACAAUAGCCACUGGUGGACCUUCGAUCAAACACACAACCUGCCCAAUCCGCAUCAGAGUAGGCAGUAAGAUGCAAGGGACACUUCUUAAACCACAUCCCCUGAUCAAAAGAACCUUUUAAAAACCGUAAUAUCCUUUUGACAGCUUGAAAAUGUGAAUCCCGGGGACAGUGAAGGAACUGGCAUACUUGAUUCACAGCAAAGGAAAGAUCAGGUCUUGUCCAAGUGAGAUACUGUAAAGCCCCUACAAUAGACCGGUAUUCCUUAGGAUCAGCUAAAAGAGCUCCAGUAUGAUCAAGCUUCUGAGUUCCCAGAGGAGUAGGACAGGGCUUGCAACCUGCCAUGGAAGUCUUGACUAAAAGAUCUAAAGCAUACUUGCUUUGAGACAGGAAAAUACCAUCAUCAGAUCGGUGGACCUCUAAGCCAAGAAAAUAGUGUAAAGGCCCCAAGUCCUUAACUGGAAAUAAGGAACUGAGUUGCUGAAUAAAACGUUGACAGAGAGAGGUAUUAGGACCAGUCACCAAGAUGUCAUCCACAUAUACAAGGACGAGCACAGGGAAUGGUUGAAGUUUCACAAACAGAGAACAAUCAGAUUGGGAGUUUGUGAAACCAAGAGAGACCAAAGCUUGAAACAACUUAUCAUACCAAGCCCGAGGGGCUUGCUUCAAUCCAUAGAGAGACUUCUGGAGUUGACAGACAUAAGAAGGUUUGGAAGGAUCAAUGAAACCUGGGGUUGUUGCAUAAAAACAUCUUCUUGGAGAUUGCCAUGGAGGAAAGCAUUGCUGAUGUCAAGUUGAUGUAAAAACCAAUCAUAUUGCACUGCCAUUGUAAGAAGAAUGCGAAUAGUGACAGGUUUGGCAACCGGACUGAAAGUCUCCUUGAAAUCAAUACCCUAUUGUUGAUGGAAACCCUUAGCAACAAGACGGGCUUUAUACCGAUCAAUAGAACCAUCAGGUUUCCUUUUGAUCCUGAAAAUCCAUUUGCAUCCAACCAAGUUUUGACGAGGAGAUGAGGGUACAAGAGUCCAAGUGCCGGUGGAUUGAAGAGCUUGAAAUUCGUCAAGCAUGUCCUUAUUCCAGUGAUCAUACUUGGAGGCUUGCAGAUAAGUAGUAGGGACAAAUGAACUGGAAUCAAUAGGAUGCUUCGUGGCUGCUAACACUUUAGGCUUGAAAAUUCCUGCUUUAGAUCGAGUGAUCAUUGGAUGAGUGUUGGUAGGGACUGAGAUUGUUGAAAGUGAAGAAGGAGAAGGCACCGGAGAUGAAAUAGAGGCUUGAGGUUGCUGGGGAGGUUGAGAGUGCCGUGUAGAUGGUGAAGGUUGAAGGUGUUGUGGAGGUGGAGGUUGCUAUGGAGAAUGCACCCGAGAAGAGCUUGAGCAUUGACCUUGAGAGAAAACUGAAAAAGGCGGUGGUGCAGGGGGACAUGAUUGAGGAAAUGGUAGGGAGAAUUCAAGUGAUGUAGGGGAGGGGACAGAGGAAGAACACUGUGACGAGCUACUGUGAUGAAAUGGAAAAUGAUCUUCAUUAAAGAUAACAUGCCUUGAAAUGUAGACUCUGUUAGAAGACACGUCCAAACACCGAUAACCUUUGUGUUGAAGGCUAUAACCGAGAAAUACACAUGGUUUGCUUUUACCAUCAAAUUUGGAUUGCAUAUAUGGCUUGAGCCAAGGAUAGCAGCAGCAACAAAAAACCUUUAACUUGGAAUAAUCAGGAGGCUUUUUGAAAAGCAUUUCCCAUGGAGACUGAGAAGAUCCAGAAAAAGGCAUCCGAUUGAUAAGAUAUAGUGCAGUAGAAAAGGCUUCUACCCAAAACUUGUGAGGAACUUUGGAAGCAACAAGAAGUGUCCGAGCAGUUUCAGUGAGAUGUCUAUGCUUGCGUUCCACACACCCAUUUUGCUCAGGUCUGUGGGGACAACUGUACUAAUGAGAAAUACCAUGUUGAAGCAAGAAGGAAGCAAAAGCAGAACCAGUGAACUCACCCCCUGAAUCUGUUCGAAGAAUCUUGAUUUUAUGGCCAAGCAAGUUUUCAACAUAUGCUUUGAAAGUGAUAAAAGUAGAGAAGACUUCAGACUUGUGUUAUAAAGGAAACAGCCAACUGUAUUUGCUAUAUUCAUCCACAAAGAGUACAUAGUACGUAUAGCCACUAACUGAUGAAACUGGAUAGGGACCCCAGACAUCACAAUGAAUUAAAUCCAAACUAUGAGAUACAGUGGUAGUACUAAAGGAAAAGGGCAACUUAUGAUUUUUGCCAAUAGCACAGUCUGCACAAAAAAACUGAACAGAAGUUGAAGUAUGAGGAACAAGCUUAUUUGUACGUAAAAUCCUUCUGAGAAUGGCUGUGGAAGGAUGCCCGAGUCAUUUGUGCCAUUGAUGUAAAGAUGCUUGAGUGCUGACAAGUGCAGAAUAUGAAGCUUGGAAUGGCUGACCAUGCAGAGGAUAGAAACCAUCCCUAACUGGGCCUCGAAAAAGCAUCUUCCUAGUGGAACGGUCCUUGAUGACAGAACCAUCAGAAUCAAGAGUUAAAGAGCAAUAAUUGUCUCUUAGAAAAUGAUAUGCAGAGAGCAAAUUGAAUUGCAUCAUUGGCACAUGAAGAACAUUAUUUAAUCGAAAGGCAGCAUGUGGUGUUUGGAGAAUAGAAGAACCUGUAUGUUGGAUGGGCAUACCUUGGCCAUCACCUGCAUAAACCUUGUCUUCACCAGAGUACAGAAUGGGGGAAGUGAUAGCGGAGAUAUCAUUGGUGACAUGAGCAGUAGCACCAGAGUCCAGAAGCCAUGUAGGCUGAGAAGAAGAGGCAGUAGAAGCACACAUAGCAGCAAGCUUGGCAGGUGGAAUCUUUCCAGCAAAGGCAUGAUUCAUGCGAGCAUAGCAGUCAAGAGCCUCAUGAUCAAAAGAAUUGCAUAUUUGACAGGGAGACCGAGUUCCAGAAGAACGAGGAAAGCCACCAGAGUUGCGAUUAUAAUGACUAGUAUUAUGAUGAAAAGAACCAUUACCAGGGCCAGAGUUAGUAUAAUUUCCACGAUAGUUGCCUCGACCUCUGUUGUUCUUCUGAAAAUUGUUGCGGCCACGAUUAUUGCGCUGAAAAUUGUUGCGAUUGUUGUAGGUAGAAUGUUGAACAACAUAUGCCUGGGAGGGAGGAGGCGUAGGUAAGAGACCUUGCUGGAGAGGCGGAGCUUGAGCAGCAAAUGCUUGAAAUGGUGCAGUGAGAGAUGACGAAUGAGCUUUCUUCUUGCGAUGCAUAAAGAUCUCUUUGUUCAUGAGUAAGCCAUGAAGUUCAUCUAAAGAAGUAGAUGAAAUGCGAAGCAUUAUCGAAUCAAUGAAAGACUCGUAAUCAUCAGAAAGGCCAUUGAGUGUAACAGCAAUGAGAUCUGGUUCUGACACCAAGUGCUCCGGGCAGCCAUAAGAGCAUUCAGAGAUGCCUUUGAUAUGCUGCAGAUAAUCAGAAAUUGACAAAUCACCUUUUUGAAUCGCAUGAAGACGCGAUCGGAGCUGGUGAAUGUGCGCCGCCGAGACUCCGCCAAACCGUUGUUCAAGAAUCUGCCAUAAUUCUCGAGAUGAGGUGACGCCAACGGUGAACGGAAUAAGAUCUUCAGAGAGAGAGUGGAAUUCAACCAGAUCAGGAUAUUUUGAUCCUUUUCAAACCAGAUCUCGUAAUCAGGAUUAGGAACGGCAGUACCGAUACCGUUUUGAUUGAGAAGAAAGGGCGAUGGACAUUGCUCCGAUCCAUCGAUGAUACCUGUAAGUUUGUAGCGUCGGAAAAUUGGAGCGAAAAGAGCUUUCCAGGCGAGAUAAUUGUCCUUCUUAAGCUUUGUAGGAACCAUAACAACUGAUGUUUUGGAUUGAAAUUGAUGAAAACGAAGAAUUAGGGUUUAUCGGAGCUGAAUUUGAGGAAAUGGGAGUAGGAUUCUGAGCGAAAACUUCUGGAUUUGCAGGCGAAGAGGUAGAAGACGCCAUUGUUGAUCAAGGAUUUGCAGAGAGAAAAUGAAAUCGGGUAGAAAAAUCAAAGAUUGCAGAGGAAGAUCUCAAAGAUUGCAGAGGAAGCUAGGAUCGGAGGAAGCUAGGAUCGGUGCGUGAGCAGAGAGGCUCGUGAUACCAUAUUAGAAAAUAACUCUGAUACAUUUCUUAAUGAAUAAGGAAAUUACAACUGGUUUAUAUACAAUUGUGAGAAAUAGCUUAGUGACUAAUUACCCUUGGUUAACUGACUAAUCUAGUAAUUAGUUACAUAGACAGUUGUAACAGACUUGUAACCAAAAUACAACAAACUAUAUAUGUGACUCUUUAUCCAGGUGCAUCACACUUUGUGUAGGCGCAAUGCAAGUAUGAAACCUCCACAUGUAAGACGGGUCACCUGCAUAAUGCAAAAGUUAGUAACUAGACUUUUUUCUUGAUCAUCAUAUUCGUGCUAGUUAACAAAUUCUAAAGAAGAAAAUACAAAAAAGGGGUCUAAAUUAGAUGAUCUAAUUAGGAAACAAAAAUUUCAAAAAAAUUAGGAAUAAAUUCAAGAAAGAUGGAGUCUCUUUGAAAGAGUCUCGUGCCUGUUGUAGUUACUUGAAAGAGUCUUUAAAUACAGAGGAAUUUUGACGAAACGCUUAUGGAAGAAAGAAAAAUUUAGACAAAAGACGAAGAGGACAACAUGACAACUGGCAAAAACCCUAGAAGAAGAACGACAAAGGAAAGCGUAGACACUAAAGUUGACGUGAGACUGGUAGAAAGAACCUAGGACCUAAUUAGGCAGAUACCAUGUAGAAAUAUAAUUUCCUUGAUUUGUUGUGUAUAUAAAUUUUGCAAUAUAGAGGGUUAAACAUAAGUAUUGUCGAAAAAAUUAAUGAAAAGUGACUCAUAAUCUUUUCUUUCCAAAACCACCUAAUGAACUUUCUUUAACCAUAAGAACAAAGAGGUGUGGUAGUACCAUAGACAAGUUCAAGUUUGGGUGCGGUGGCAGUAUGUUGAAUUUUUUGUUAUGAACAGGGUUGCCAAUUUUAUGAAAAAAGUUAAAAACAGUUGCGGUGCCACCAAACUUCAACUUAUUUACAACAUUGUUGGCGUUUUCUUGUUUAUACCCUUUUUUGUUAUUAAAAAUUUCAUAUGUAGUUUAUUGCACUAAUUUCUUACAAAAAAAAAUGUUCGGCAUGUGUAUGUGACCUUAACGCAAAAAACACUACUCUUACCCUUAACCUACUUCAAUAUUUUUUGUAAAGCAUUAAUAUGGCAAUGACCAAAUAUGAAUACAAAAACCAAUUUAACAUGUAAUUAAUAAUUAAUUGAUUCACAUGAACUAGCAGCAAAUGACAACCAUUAAUUCCAUUAGAACCUGGGAAAUUAAAUAAGAACUCCUCUAAGAGUGGACAAGGGGGUAGAAUUUUGUCUCCUAGUUGUUCAAGUGUGACAUCACCAGAAGCCUCGACGAACAAGAUACCUUCACCAUUGCAAUCAACCAUAAGCUUUCUGUUAGGCCCUUCCCGAAGCCUACCAACUAAAGGAUAGUAAUACACUAAUGCUCUGCUUAAGGCUUCCCUAAUCGCCUUAAUGGGAUCACGAUUUUCUUUAAGUGAAGGGUUGUUCUUGUAACACAUUAUGACUAUAGAACCUGAAACCUUAAGCUUUCCUGGUCAUCAAUAUCUGAGAGAAACUUUGUUUCUCGAGGCAUUGGCUUUGCCGAAGUUAUAAGUUCCAGCUGCAAUCGUUUCACCUCAAGUACUGAGGGUGGCAUCAUUUCAGUAAUGAGCUUAAGAACCAGCAAAAGAUCAAAGGAUUUCGAACUUUUAUUUUGCGGCAUGCAUGCUAGCUAAAAGUUGAUAGUCAAUACUUAUCUAUAUAUAAAGAGAACACAAAAGGGGAAUAGUGUUUGUGGUGUCAUCAAGCUUCAACAAAAAUAUUUGGACAAAAAUACCCCAAGACAAAAACCUUCAAAGGCAUCCCAAAAUAAUGCAUCAAUUAAGGCAGGGGCUUUUUUGUCAUUUUAAUAGUUAAUUUUCUUGUGCUGUUUUUUUUAAUUAGUAUCUCACAAUAGACUAGUAAUAAUGUGAUUCAAUUUCUCUAUUUUUAAACACGUUCAAAACAUCUUAAGAGGCGUGUAAUGCCGGUUAUAAAAAACAAGUCUUUCGCAUGCUAAUAAUAAUGCUAGUAAUAAUGUAAUUAAAUUAGUUGUCAAAUGGUUGUUUUUUUUUUUUAACGAACAAUAUUAUCUACACUAAGGGGAAGGGGGGUGAGCUUAGCCUCACAAUGGGCUAGCAAUAAUGUGAUUCAAACAGUUGUUCAUUCAAUAUUAUUUUCUCUAUUUUUAAACACGUUCAAAACAUCUUAAGAGGUGUGUAAUGCCAGUUAUAAAAAAUUUCUUUCGCACGCUGAUAAUAAUGUGAUUAAAUUAGUUGUCAAUUUUUUGUUUUUUUUAACAAACGAUAUUAUCUACACUAAGAGGGAGGGGGAUGGGUUUAGCCACACAAUGGGCUAACAAUAAUGUGAUUCAAUCAAUUGUUUAUUAAAUAUUAUUUUUGUUCUAGCCUAUUUUAUUUGACUAACAAGAGAGAGCCAACGGCAAGGGAAGAGAGAGAGGAGAUGUGUUUGUAGAAGGGGUGUGAUAUCCACACACCCCUUUUUACUUCUCCCACACCUUUUUGGUUUUCGGCCGUCGGAUCAAAUGAAUUGAAGAAGAUCAACGGAUAAAAAUUAACAAGGGGUGUGUAAGAAGUAAAAAGGGGUGUGUGGAUAGCACAUCCCUUGUAGAAUUGUAGGGGAAUACGUGUGUUGAGAGAUAUGUUAUUCCCCCCCCCCCACCCCACGUAAUGCCUUUAUUUAUAGUAGUAAAAGGAAGAAGAAAUCCUUCAUCCUCAAGGAAUACAAGACCAUAUAGGAAAGAAUAACUAGAAUCAAAUCUAAUCUAGGAUUUACACAAUCACACUUAAACUAGGAAAGUUUACAACACUCCUCCUUGAAUGUUUACAUACUCAAGGUAGAUUUCAUCAUCAUGCAGAAGUUGAGGAAGUUGACUCGUCGGCACUGAUUCUGGGAACAACGCUUAUUCUCAUUGAGGUAAGAACUUGCAUAAGGAAGUAAGUCUAACAAAAAAAAAAACCCUAAGGCUAUGGCAAAAAGCCGAGUAGGGACAAAAUCUAUAAUCUAAGGAAAAAUGCGUGAGAAAUGAAAAGUCAAAAGAAACGUCUAUGGGACAUCAUCAGGGAUAUGAUCAGCCCAAAGAGGCGUGGUAGUAUCUUCAGGAUAUUCCCCCUGAGUUUGACAAAAUUCCAAGGAGAAAUAGCAAUGUUACAACUCAGAAAGUAUACACAUACCAAUUCCUAAAACAAGCUUCCGAAACGUCGCAUUCGGUAGUGAUUUAGUGAAGAGGUUGGCCAGAUUGUCUUGUGAACGAAUUUGCAUGACUUCAAUCUUCUGAUGCUCUUGUUGUUGACGUGAGAAGAAGAACUUCGGCGCAAUGUAUUUGGUGUUGUCUCCUUUGAUGUAACCCUUCUUGAGCUGUUUAAUGCAUGCUGCAUUAUCUUCAAAGAUCAUCAUUGCGACAUCUAUGACGGGAUAAAGAUCGCAUGAGCUUCGAAUAUGGCCCACAACUGCUUUCAACCAAAAGCAUUCCCGAGUUACUUCAUGUAAGGCGAGAAUUUCAGCAUGGUUAGAUGAAGUGGUAACUAAGGUCUAUUUAGUUGACCUCCAAGAGAUUGCGGUACCUCCAACGGUAAAGACAUAACCCAUUUGAGAAUGCGCCUUGUGCAGAUCAGAUAAGUAUCAUGUGUCAGCAUAACCAACAAGGAGAUAAUCAACUCAAGAAGUAGGGGGUGCGGCAUCACUCUAGGAUCCGUAAGGAUAGAACAAGCCUAAAUCUGUAGUACCCUUAAGGUAGCAGAAGAUGUCUUUAACGCCAGUCCAAUGUCUGCAUGUUGGUGCAUUACUGUAUCUUGCCAAAAGAUUAACAGCGAAUGAGAUAUCGGGUCUAGUGCAUUCAGCUGAGUACAAUAAAGCGCCUAUCGCACUUAGAUAAGGAACUUUAGGCUCUAAAAAAUUUUCAUCAUCCUCAUUCGGACGGAAAGGAUUUCGUUUUGCAUCUAGCGAUCGAACAACCAUAUGAGUACUUGAAGGCUUCGCUUUAUCAUCAUUAAAGGGGUGCAGUACCUUCUGGGUGUAGUUCGUUUGAUGUACUAAGAUUUCAUCCGAAUAGUGCUUUAUCUCAAGAUUGAGAUAGUAUCGAGUCUUUCCUAGAUCUUUCAUUCAAAUUUUGACUUCAAGUGCGCAACAGUUCUCGCUAGCUCUUCAGGAGUUCCGAUAAGGUUCAUGUCAUCGACAUAUACUACAACUAUUGCAAAACUAGAAUGUGACUUCUUAAUGAACACACAAGGGAAUAGUUCGUUGUUCACAUAUCUAUGACUAGUCAAAUACUCACUUAGACAGUUAUACCACAUUCUUCCAAAUUGCUUCAAACUGUAAAGUGAAUGCCUCAUAUGAAUUGAGAGAGUGUUGGGUUUGGAAAUAUUUGAUCAAGUCAAUGUAAGUCCUUCGGGAACCUUCAUAUAGAUUUCCGUAUCAAGAUCCCCAUAGAGAUACGUAAUUACUACAUCCAUCAGUUGCAUACUCAGUUUUUCGGAAACUACGAAACUGAUAAGGUAGCGAAAAGUAAUCACAUCCAUAACGGGUGAAUAAGUUUCGUCAUAAUCAAUCUCGGGGUGUUGUAUGAAGCCUUGCGCCACAAGAUGCACUUUGUAAUGUACAAUUUCAAUCUUCUCAUUACACUUCCGAAUGAAAACCCACUUAUAGCCAAUAGGAUUCACAUGUGGAAGAGUAUGAGUCACAGGUCCAAACACCUUAUGUUUCGCAAGCGAAUAGAGUUCGACUUGGAUUGCUUUUUCCAAUUUGACCAAUCAGUUCUACGUCGACAUUCAACAAUAGAACGAGGUUCAAUGUCAUCGCUCAACAUGAUCUCAGUAGCUACUGGAUAUGCUAAUGCAUUGUCGACGAUCAUCUCAUUUGUACGCCACACAUCAUCAAAGCCAGCAUAAUAGAUCGAAAUCUCACGAUUCUCGGGAGGAGGAUUCGUCUCUUCAAGGAUGCUUAUUUAAUCUAGAAUUUCCUCAUGAGUUGGAUUGAAUGAGUAAGCGAUAGUCCGAUUCACGGUAGGCUCUUCAGGUGCCUAUGCCAUGGGUAUCCUCUUCUGGAGGUGUGAAUCAUUUGAACCAAGAGGCCUACCAUGCUUUUGUGUCGGGGCAGAUGAUUGGCUGCAUUUCAGUUUCAAACUGAGUGAUGCGAGGAUCUAAAUAAUACAAAAUGAGAGUCAUCCACAAUAAUUCGCGUCGUUCUUCAAGAACAUUGAUGUUUUUAUCUACCCCUAACGACGGGAAGACUGUCCCAUAAAAGUGACAAUCCGCAAAAUAAGCAGUAAACAAAUCACUUGUCAAAGGUUCUAAGUAAUGAAUAAUCGAAGGAGAAUCAUAUCCGACAUAGAGAUGAGGCCUCAUUUUUGUACGUAAGGACGGUGAAAUUAGCACAUAGUUUAACGAUCUAUCCCUAUAAAUUAUAGUUUUUAUACUUUUAAAAUGUGAAAUUUUGAAAAUGCCCUUCAAGGAAAAUACAUUGACUUUUGUUGACUACCUUGUCAUGUCACGUAAGAAUCUUUUUCUUGGCGUAUCCUAGUAGUACUCGUCGCUACGAACAUGUGGACGCCAACAUAACUCAAUUUAGAGUUAUAACGAAUGAGUUAUUAACUAACAAAGUCGAGGACAAAAUGGUCAAUUAGUUAUUUUCUAGAAAGCUCCAGAUUUUUUGAGCAAAAUCUGGAAAGCCACGUGUGUGGCCCAGAUUAAAGGAAAUGAGAGAUGGACGGAGGAUGGAAGAAAUAAAUGAGAGAUAAGGGAGGGAAGACAGCCAAUAAGGAAAAGAGAAGAAGGGUGACCAAUGGGAGAGGAGAGAAAUGAGAGAAAUGAGAGAGGAUGAAGGAGGGGACCGGUCCCUUCCCUCUGUGAACCAACCCGUUUCUCUUCUAAUUUUUCGGUGGUUUUAUUCGGUUUUUCUUCGAUUUUUAGAUGAAUUCCACUCAAUCGUCACUUCCAUACUCCACCCCGGUCUCCAUUCUUCAAUUUCCACCAAAAAUCCGAGAGCUUUUGGCCUCUAUUUCACAAAACAUUGCACCAAGGGUUUCGUAGGUGCACGGCGGCAAUUCCGCCAUUCUUGAAAGGUUAUCCAUCAACCACCAACAUCAAUAGACUCUCCUCAACACCAGGAACAAAGCCUAAGAAAUGGUUGAGGCAUCAGAGCUUGAUUGGAGUUGAAUCAAGAACACCCAAUUUUUAGGGUUUCCGACGGGUUUUAGUGAAAUGGGGCUUUUCCCGGUCAAAUUGGCCUUAGUCGCAGGUAUGAAAGUUGUUCCUCUCAUCGAGAUCUUCAUUCUUGUAAAUUUUAGGAAUUUUUGGAGUUGUUGGAUUUUCCAGGGAGUCGUGGUGGCUGACAGCCACACACGGCAGCGCGUGGAGGAAAACGUGAGGUUCCUUGAUGUGCCGAAUCUGAAUCUGCCAUCUGUUUUCCAAAAUUAUAACAUUUUAGUAGAGUUUUACUAAAAGGUUCUUAAUUGUGUUUAGGCGCUUUGGCGGGAAGUGACGUCAUCCUCACUAAUUCGGGCAGUUCUCGGGCAAUAAAAUCAAUGAGUGGACCCCUUCAUAACUUAUAUAUUUUUAUAAAAUAUUAGCCUAGCAUGCAUUUCAUAAUUCAUGCAUUUAAUACGUUUUAUACUAUGUUUUCUGGAUUUAUAUAAAUAUGGUUUAUAUCGAAUUCAUGGUUUAAUUGCUUUUACGGAAUAUUCAUGAUUUUAUUGAAAUUAUAUUUAUGCACAGUUAUGAAUUUUGGGAUAUGCAUAUAUGGAUUUCUAUUAAUAUUGAAUGACUUAUAUUAUGAAGUUAUGAUGAUGAUUUAUUUUCUAGAUUUGUGAACAUGAUUUGUCAUGGAUUUAUGAUACGAGAUUUUGAAAUAUGUUUUUAGUACUUAUCUAGUGGGUUAUUAUACGACACAUCCGCACACCAAGGGUAUUGUCUAUGGCCAUAGGCACAAAUGAUAGAGGAGUGAGAUAUGAUAUAUUAUAUACACUUUGCUUUACCGUCGAAACGAUGUCGGACAGCUUCACUAGCUACGGCUAGUGUCGAUGUGGAUGUUAUGCUUUUUAAUUUAGCUUCACCUAAGGAUGAUGGACAGGUUAUUCAGCUUCACCUUCGGGUGAUGGAUAGGUUAUACAUCUUCACGUUCGAGUGAUGGACAUGUACCGCCUUCGGGUGACUAUGAUACCCCUAGUUAAGUACAACACGGAUAUGAUUUACGAUGUUUCACAAAAAAAUUUUUACACUGCAUGCUAGGGUUUUUCAUAAGAUCUAUAUGUAGUAUUAUAUAUAUGUUUUCAAAACAGGGGGUUAUUAUGUUCAAAAAUAAAAUGUUUUCAUACUAUUAGUACUAAUAUUAUAAACUCUGGUCCACUCACCUUUUAUGUUUUGCCCCCUUCAGGAGUUAGGAUCGAGGCACAUGAUCCCGGCGUCAGGGCAUUUUAGCUUAGUUAUCCUCGAGUCCUCCCAGUAUAGGCAUCAUUUCCUUUUCAUAUCUUUUGUUAGUAAUCCUUUCAUAUUUUUCCUAGUAGUUGUAUGCUCUGAACACAAUUCUGCAUUGGUUUAUAUCUUUCUAAUUACAUAUUUUAUUAGUAUGCAUGUUUUUAAUGGUGUCAUCACCCUUGGGCGUCGGCCAACACGUGCCUAUCCUGGUAUUUGGGGAUAUUAGGGUUGAGGCGUGUCAGUUUAGUAUCGGUGGUUUGUUCAAAGCAUACUUAGGAUCUUUUCCUACUGUAGUAAUGUGUCGGCUUUGAUAUCAUUCGGAUAUCACGGCUUCCGUUGAUCAUUGUCCUCUGUCCCAGUUGUGCAAUCCUCUUUCAGCUUGAAUAGUCACAUCCUAUUUAGAAGUUUAAGAAACUUGUCUCGGGAUUGUGCCUUAAGUUAUUAUAAGUGAUUGAGGAAAUGAGACGUCAACAUUGGAUCGAUAUUCUGCGAAUUGUGUUCCUUUGGAAUGGCAGGCAGAGUUAUACCGAUUGAGAGAUUACUCAAAAUAUCCAAAGUUUGCGGUAAAGGAAAUUAAGGAAACACCAGUUAUAGGCAAGGUUAGCCGUGGGGUAGAUCGAAUCAACUUUCUAUGACUUGAUUGUUCUCACUGAGGGAAUUUGUGUGGACUCUUAGGAAAAUCUUCUUAGUAAUUGUUCUAAUUAUAUCAUCCUUGCCUACUCCGACCACAAGGUUAGCUAUUAGACAUUUACAUCCAGCUUUAUACCAAUUCCUCAAAUGUCGAUCUUGCUUCAAUUUCGUACUUUUCUUAGGAGACUUCAGCAUAGCAGAAGUUAUUCUUACCAAAUUCAAGAUUUUGAUUGUUGGAAAUAAAAAAUCUCCUCGAGUGUCGUGAAUAACGAAAGAGCAUCAGACUUGCCGACUUCUAUCGACAGUUGUCAAUGAUUAUUUGAUAUAUCCUUAUUUUCAUUUUCUUCGGUUAAGAAACAAAUCAGUUUUGUUCGAGUGUUGUUGCCUCACCUGAUCAUUGUUCUUAUACUCUUCCAUGCCACCAACAAAUUUUGAAUGUGACGGUGAUGUUUUACUGAAGGUGUAGUUGUGCAUUGAUGCAGCAUAUCCGGUGACCUGUUAACCCUUUGGCGGUUAGGACCACAUGAUGCAAACUGUCCUAUCUACGACCUUGAGUCAUCUGCUAUCAUCUUGGUUUGGGAAUUUAAUGACACUUAUCUGUGGAGAAACGCAUCAGAUUGUUACCAACCUCUCACACUUCUCAUAUUACUUCACUUGAAUACAGGUAAGUCUCACGGAGCGGUGAUGGUUAGGAGAUAUAUCGAUGUCUAUGAUUGCACCAUCGCAUACCACCCCGAUUGUGCAAUUAUAGUUACUGAUGACUGCAGUAGGAAAGCUUAUAGAUACCUAAUACUUUUCUGUCAGUUAUAUUUCCACCUUAUGCAAAACACUCAAAUAUUUUUGUGACGUUACUUUUUGAUCAUCAAGAAACCUUGGUAGCAAAUUUCAAGUUCGACCUUUCUACCUUUGGCCUGAGACGACAUCGGAAUUGUUUAGUCUUUCAGCAUAAUUCUUCAUUUUUGAAAUUGUCUAACUCUUUGAUAUUUUAGUCUGCAUCAGCUCUGUUCGUACCCUCAGUUUCACCUCUUGGUAUUAAAGGUAUUUUAGUUGAUUUUGAGUCACUCGUCUGUUACCCAUAUCAUUUCUGAUGUUGACAGACUGUCUAGAAGGACCACUUAGAUGUCGAAACUUUGAGUUUAGACCAUCAGUCCUUGAAUCACCCAAUCAGCAUGCUAUCGAGCAAAUCGUCACCAUUGGUGAUUUAUUAUUCCUAGAGCUAACGUUGUAAAAAACUGUUGUGAAUUUUGGGUCAAGGAAAAAUCUAAGUUUCCGUUCGUCAACCUUCCUUAGACUAUCGUUCAAGUUGAGUUAUCUUCCAAUCCUUUCGUUUGCUAACACAUGAUUAAGUUAGAUACUUUCACGUUUCAGACUUCGAAAUUGUAUAUUCAACCCAAAUAUCUUGUAUUUUAGUUUUGAUGAACUUGUUUUGACUCUUAAAUUCUUUAGGGUUCUUUAACCUUCUUGUCGCUCAAUCAGUGAGGAAUUCAAGAUAGAUUGAUUCGGCAUAUGCAUGCGUCCAAUUUCAUAUCAAUGCUAGCGAAAACCAUUGGAGUAUAAACUUUUCGCAAGUUUACCAGACUUACCAAGAAGAAUUCCAAGCGGCUUUGAUGAUUGAGCAGUAUUUCAGCAAAGGAUUGGUAAAGGCAUAAAUGUAGGUUUUGAGCUUGGCGAUUAUGGCGUUAAUUUUCAAGUAUGGCUUGAGACUGCAACUGUCAUUCGAAGGAUGUUGUUAGAGAUAUAGUUUCUCUAAUUCAAGUUUUCAGAUCUUAUACCAUCGAUUUGGAAAGUGAUCAUCGUGAUUAGUCUCGAAGGAAAUGUGUUAUGACAAGUGUCCGUCCAGAUGCAUUUUCACUACUUCACUUCAUGACUUGAUGGUUUGGGCUUACAUGGACGUCGAAACACUUCUAGCAGCUGGAUUGGUGCGCUUUGGGAUAUUUCGGCAUCGCGAUUGAGGCAUGAAUCAGAUGAUCUAGACAUAUUCGCACGUGAAAAGCAAAACGAUAUUUUGGCAUCCUCGGGAACUUCUCACUAGCUUAUUGAGACAACAAUGUAUUAUCGGCGUUACAGGCAGCAGACUAUAAUAUCGAUGACCUAUUUGUUGCGUUCGCUAAGCAAGUGAGCAAGUUAGCUUGUCUAUGGCAGCAAUUGUUAGUUAGUGAUGGUUUGGACUCGACUCAUGACAUCACACUCAUUCUUGAAAUUUGUGACACGACAAAUGAUUGGCAAGGUCCAUUUUCAUUUUGGGUUUUGAUUUUUUCAUGCAAUAUUUUUCUACUACAAAAUUUUAUUUAUAUGGGUAUUUUACCAUUACAAAUUUUGAUUGAGUUACUUCCAUUUUCGAUUUUCAACUCCAUACAAGUAUUUUAAUCGUACGUUUCUAUAUAUCUAUUUCUUGUUGUUAUCUUAUUAUAUGCAUAUAUUUUUGACCUUAUGUUGUUACGUAGUAUUAUAUAUUUUUUUACUCUAUGUUUUUUACGGGUAUCAUACUACUAUAUUAUUGAGGAAGGAUGAAGGUAUGAGCUUGGAGGCAUGAAGGAGGAAUAAUUGCAAUCCGAUCGUGACGGAAUGGCAUUCUCUUUUAUGCAACCGCUCUAACUUGAUUUCUUCCUUGUAUAUGUAUUUAUAUACAUAUUUUCUCCCUAUUUUUGAGUAUUUUACAUACAGCAAGUUAUUUUAAAUUUCGGGGACAAAAUUUUCUUAAGGCGAGUAGAUUCUAGCGACCCGUCCCCAUAAUUUAUAGUUUUUAUACUUUUAAAAUGUGAAAUUUCGAAAAUGCCCUUCGAGGCAAAUACGUUGACUUUUGUUGACUACAUUGUCGUGUCACGUAAGAUUCGUUUUCUUGGUGUAUCCUCGUAGUACUCGUCGCUACGAACUCGUGGGCACAAAUAGAACGCAAUUUGGAGUUAUAACGAAGGAGUUAUUAAUGAACGAAGUCGAGGAAAAUCUGGAAAGCCACGUGUGUGGCCCAAAUUAAAAGAAAUGAGAGACGGAUGGAGGAUAGAAGAAAUAAAGGAGAGAUAAAGAAGGGAAGUCGGCCAAUGAGGAAGAGAGAAGAAGGGAAGUGACCAAUGGGAGAUGAGAGAAAGGAUAUAAAGGAGAGAGAGGAAGAAGGAGAGGACCUGAUCCCUUCCCUUCGACCCGGUUCCCUUGGUAACCCGACCCCUUUCUUUUCUACUUUUCCAUCUGUUUUCUUCAGUUUUUCUUCGAUUUUCGGACGAAUUCCACUCAGCUGUCACUUCCAUACUCCACCCCGAUCUCCAUUCUUCAAUUUCCACCGAAAAUCCAAAAGCUUUUAGCAUCUAUUUCACAAAACAUUGCACCAAGGGUUUCGUGGGUGUACGGUGGCAAUUCUGCCAUUCUUGGAAGGUUCUCCAUCAACCACCACCAUUAAUAGACUCUCUUCAACCCUAGAAACAAAGCCCAAGAAAUGGUUGAGGCGUCGGAGCUUGUUUGGAGUCAAAUCAAGAACACCCAAUUUUUUGGGUUUCCGACGGGUUUUAGUCAAAUUGGGGCUUUUCCCGGCUAAAUUGGCCUUAGUUGCAGGUAUGAAAGUUGUUUCUCUCAUCAAGAUCUUCAUUCUUGUAUAAUUUGGGAAUUUUUGGAGUUGUUGGGUUUUCCGGAGAGUCGUGGUGGCCGACAGCCACGCAAGACAGCGCGUGGAGGAAAACGCGAGGUUCCUUGACAUGCCGAAUCUGAAUCCGCCAUCCAUUUUCCAAAAUUAUAACAUUUUAGUAGAGUUUUACUAAAAUGUUCUUAAUUGUGUUUAGGCGCUUUGGCGGGAAGUGACGUCAUCCUCGCUAGUUCGGGCGGUUCUUGGGCAAUAAAAUCAAUGAGUGGACCCCUUCAUAACUUAUAUAUUUUUAUAAAAUACUAGCCUAGCAUGCAUUUCAUAAUUCAUGCAUUUAAUAUGUUUUAUAUUAUGUUUUCCGGAUUUAUAUAAUUAUGGUUUAUAUAGAAUUGGUUUAAUUGUUUUUACGGAAUAUUCAUGAUUGGGUAAAUUACAUAGUAGCCCCUCAAGUUUGAGGUCUAUUACAACCCCAUACAACAUCUUUAAAACAUUUCACUUUCAUACCUCAAGUACUAUUUUAUUUCAACAUAAUGCAUCCAUUAGAUUUUCCAUCCAUUAAUCCAUUCAAACCCAUCCCAUCUCCCCGCAACCCCCCCACCAAAAACAAACCCAGAUCAUUUUUCCCCCACCCCCACCCACCCAUCUCACAGAAACCUCAUUCCUCUUCCUCACCCCCUCCUCAUUCUCCUCUCUUCUCCCUCAUAUUCAUCUUUUUCCUCUGCCACCUAGCCCGGCCCUCCCCUAACUUCCUCGAGCGCACCCGCACCCACCCUCACACCCUCUUGUACACACUCUUCUCCUUAAAUCCACACCCAUUCCUUCCAUUUUCACCUCAUGAACCUGACGAUGGCAGACGAGAUCUAUGUUGUUUUGUUUUGUUUUUUUCUUCUAGGUUGCAAGUAGGGGGUCGGGCGCACCCUCACCCACCCUCUGCACCCACCCUCGCACCCACCCUCUUCCUUCCUCUACACACCUCACUCAUUCCACACCCAUUCCUCCCAUUUUCACCUCACGAACCUGACGAUGGUGGACGGGAUAUGGGUUUUAUUUUUUGUUUUUUUUUCUUCUUCUAGGUUGCAGGUAGGGGUUGGGGGAAGAAUAUGAAGAUGGGGGAGAAGAGAAGGAAGGAUGAGGGGGGAAGACGAACUGAAGGGGUUUUUUUAAUUUUUAAUUUAUUUUUUUUUUUCUGGGUUGCAGAGAAGAUGAAGAUGGGGAAGAAGAGGGUGGGUGCGAGGGUGUGUGCGGUGGGGUGGGGUGUGUAGAGGAAGGAAGAGGGUGGGUACGAGUGUGGGUGCAGGGGGCGGGUGCGAGGGUAGGUGCGGAAGAAGACGUGGAGGAUGGGUGCGGUGGGUUUGGGAAAGACGGGAGGGGGAAGAAAGGGGUGGGUUGCAAGGAAGGGGGGUCGGGGAAGAUGAAGAUGAGUUUUUUUUUUUCUCCUCUUCUUCUUCUGGGUUGCAGAUUGCAGGUUGGGUUUUAGGGGGGGGGAGGGAGGGAGGGAAGACGAAGUGGGCUUUGGUUUUUGGUUUUUUUUUUUUUUUUUAAAAUUUUAUAAUCUAUUUAGAAGAUUUAGGUUUUUUUAAAAAAAUAAAAAAAUUAUUUUUUUAGCCAUGUUGCACACAUUUGGCAGCCACGUGACACAAAAGUGGCAGCCACGUCAGCAUUUAACAGAUUAAUGGAUGGAAAAUCUAACGGAUGUAUUAUAUUGAAAUAAAAUAGUACUUGAGGUAUGAAAGUUAAAUGUUUUAAAGAUGUUGUAUGGGGCUGUAAUAGACCUCAAACUUGAGGGGUUACUAUGUAAUUUACCCUUCAUGAUUUUAUUGAAAUUACAUUGAGGAACGGUUAUGAAUUUUGGGAUUUUCAUAUAUGGAUUUCUAUUGAUAUCGAAUGACUUAUAUUAUGAAGUUACGAAGAUGAUUUAUUUUAUAGAUUUGUGAACAUGAUUUUUCAUGGAUUUAUGAUACGAGAUUUUGAAAUAUGUUUUUAGUACUUAUCUAGUGGGUUAUCAUACGACACAUCUGCACACCACGGGUAUUGUUUAUGGUCAUAGGACACAAAUGAUGAAGGAGUGAGAUAUGAUAUAUUAUAUACCCCAGCUUCACCGUCGAAAGCGGUGUCGAACAGCUUCACUAGCCAGGGCUAGUAUCGAUGUGGAUGUUAUGCUUUUUGAUUCAGCUUCACCUGCAGGUGAUGGACAGGUUAUUCAGCUUCACCUUCGGAUGAUGGAUAGGUUAUACAUCUUCACCUUCGAUAAUGGACAUGUACUGCCUUCGGGCGACUAUGAUACCCCUAGUUGAGUACAACACGGAUAUGAUUUACAAUGUUUCACAAAAAAAAAUUUACACUGCAUGCUAGGGUUUUUCAUAAAAUCUAUAGGUAGUAUUAUAUAUGUGUUUUCAAAACAGGGGGUUAUUAUGUUCAAAAAUAAAAUGUUUCCCUAUUAUUAGUACUAAUAUUAGGGUUAUUAUACAAAAUGGUCCCUGAGAUUUGUAUGAUCAAUAGAAAUGGUCUUUAAGAUUGUCCACCAUCCAUGAUUUUAGUCAUUCUGUUAAAAACUCUUUGGGCAAUUUUCAAAGCUUUGUAACUCAAUCAUUUCUUAAUCAAAUUCGACCCAUAAUAUAUCAAAAUGAAGAUAGGAAAGUGUAGAAUAAGAUUAUACCUUUUUAGAAGCCCAAUGGUUGCUAGAGAUGACCAGAAAAUAGCUUAAAAAUUGACUGGUCCGCUGGAAAACUGGAAAACUCGCAAGAAACAGGGUAAACUUUAAAUGUUCAUAACUUCUUCAAUACUCAACCAAAUCGAGUGAUUCAAAAACAAAAAUCAUACUUCUUGACGAGAAACAAAUAAUGGUACCUUUUUUGAAGGCUAACUCGCCGUGGUUUGGUCGUACAACAGCUCGAAAUUGGCUAACCAUUUUCGAGUUAACCACUUUCGAGCCGUUUUCCGGCAAACCAACGAUGAGUUAGCAGUCAAGAAAGUUACCAUUCUCUUCGUAUCGUCAAGCAGUAUGAUUUUUGUUUUUUAAUCACUCGAUUUUGUUGAGUAUUGAAGAAGUUAUGAGCGUUUAAAGUUUACCCAGUUACCGGCGAGGUUUCCAGUUUUCCCACUGACCAGUCACCUUUCAGGCUAUUUUCCGACCAUCUUCGGAACUCAUUGGGCUUCCAAAUAGAUAUAAUCUUGUUCUACACUUUCUUAUCUUCAUUUUGAUAUAUUAUGGGUUAAAUUUGGUUAAGAAACGAUUGAGUUACAAAGCUUUGAAAAUUGCCUAAAGAGUUUUUAAAGGAAUGACCAAAAUCAUGGAUGGUGGACAAUCUCAGGGACCAUUUCUAUUCAUUUUAAAUCUCAGGGACCAUUUCUAUUGAUUAUGCAAAUCUUAGGGACCAUUUUGUAUAAUAACCCCUAAUAUUAUAAACUCUGGUCCACUCACCUUUUCUGUUUUGCACCCCCUUCAGGAGUUAGGAUCGAGGCACUUGAUCUCGGCGUCAGGGCACUUCAGCUUAGUUAUCCUCAAGUCCUUUCAAUAUAGGUAUCAUUUCCUUGUUCAUAUCUUUUCUUAGUAAUCCUUUCAUAUUAUUCUUAGUAGUUGUAUGCUCUGAACACAAAUCUGCAUCGGUUUAUAUCUUUCUAAUUACAUAUUUUCUCAGUAUGCAUGUUUUUAAUGGCUUCGUCACCCUUAGGUGUCGGCCCGCACGUGCCUACCCUGGUAUUUGGGGAUAUCGGGGUUGGGGCGUGUCACAUAGACCGCACAACCAAAAAUGCGCAGAUGCGAUAUGUCGGGUUCAUAUCCGGUAACUAACUAAAUUGUGAUAUAUGGUUGGGUCACAACAGGCCUCAGGCGGACCAACAUGGUUGCGUGCAAUAUUGCAUGGCCCCAAGCAGUGAUCGAGAGCUUAGUACAUAUGAACAAUGAUCGAGCAAUCAUUUGUAAGCGUUUAAUCAAUGCCUUGGCCAUGACGUUUUGGGUGUGAACAUGGGGUACUAGGUGUUUAGCUUCAAUCCCAACCGACGUGCAAUAAUCAUCAAGAGUUUUAUAUGUGAAUUCUCCAGCAUUGUCCAAUCGAAUAACUUGAUCGGAUAAUCAGGAUGGUGAGCCCUGAGCUUGAUAAUGUGAGCCAACAAUUUGGAGAAUGCAGCAUUCCUUUUAGACAACAAGCACACGUGUGACCAACGUGUGGAAGCGUCAACCAAAACCAUAAAAUAUCUAAAUGGUCCGCAUGGAGGGUGAAUCGGUACACAAAUGUCCCCCUUGAAUCCGUUGUAGAAAAUAAGGAGGAUUCAAACGAAUCUUAUCAUAAGAAGGCUUAGUAAUAAGCUUUCCCAUAGAACAUGUUUGACAUGCGAUUCCUUGAAUCGAACCUAUACUUCGGGUUAGUAGAUGCUCGUGUGAUGAUUUGAGGAUAUGGCACAUUGCUAUUUGUCCAGGAUGUCCCAAACCAUCAUGCCAAAGUGUAAUUUGGUGCGUGGUCCCAAAGGUAAGGCCGGCCACAUAGUGGCUCUUUAUAGGGCGUAUGGUCGUAGUAUACAAACCACUCGGGAUACGUUCAUCUUCUCUAGCAUCUCUAAUGUCCUUAAAGCUCAACAAUGUUAUUCCGAAACAUGGAGAAUAAAAAGCCUUAUCAGUGGUCAAUAUUGUACCAUUGGACAACACCGUAUCCUUCGAUCAGGUUGGAUAGGCCUGAGAGGGUUGUCAGAGGUGCAUUCUUAGGUAUGAAGUUAGUGAAAUAAAUGCGUUCACGUAAAAUGGUGUGCGUGGUUGCACUAACUGCCAGACAACUAACUUCCCCACGAGUCAUACCUAAAAUGAAAAAUUAAUUUGAAUCGGUCACAUGCAUAAAAGUUCCAAAAAAAAAAAAUAUCCAUUCAAAAUAAUUUUAAGUAUUCAAUGACGGAAAUGAAUUAAAACUUAAUAUAAAAAAAAAACAAAUCACCAACAAAUAAUCCAAACAUAAAGGAAAAUUGUUCAAAAUUAACCAAAAAACAAAGUGGGGUUCGGCCACUAUUGUGGAAUUCGGCUCCAUUUUCUAAUUUCAACUAAAAAAUAAGUCUAUGUCUAAGAUUCUAAUCUUCCAUAGGGGUGAUAUCCUCCUAAAAGUCAGAAACCUCCAUUUUGGUACCCUCCGGUUCGUCCACUUACACAAUGUUUGAUUCAAACUUCUUACGACAAGAAUGAUAUUAAGCUACAACCUUCUAGGGAGCUUGGCAAACAUGGGACCAAUGGUCCUUUGAACCACAGUGAUAACACAUAUUCGUAUCCAUGGUUUCAGGUGCUUUGCCCUUAUUCUUGAAGUUUGGGGCCUUGGGAGCGAGGUUUGGACGUUUCUGGGCUUUGUUUCCUCACUUAGAUGGGCCUUGGCUCUAUUGACCUUGGCAGGAUGGCUUUUGGCUACCCCUACCACGCCUCUUUUGGCGUUUUAGGUGCUGGUUCGUGUUGUAGUGUGCUUCAGGCACAACAGUCGCCCAAGUAGGUCGAGCUUGAUGAUUCUUCAUCAACAGCUAGUUCUACUUUUGAGCAAAAAGUAAAAUAGAGAUCAAAUCUGAGAACUUAGUGAACUUCUGAGCUCUAUAUUGUUGUUGCAUGACAAUAUUAGUAGCAAAAAAGGUCGAAUAUGUAUUCUCAAAGAGAUCAUCUUCGGUCAAAGUCUCAUUACAAAAUUUGAGAAAUGAUCGAAUUCGACAAAUGAUAUGAGCAUAUUUAUGCGACUUAGUUAGCUUGUUUCUUGGCAUUUAUGUUGUUAGUUCGUAGUUAUUUUAGUAUUUUUAAGCUAUUUUCAUGUGUUUGUAGGUCCAAAGGGUUAAUGUGGCAAAGAAGUGCAUUUUGGAGCAUUUUUUGGCAUGGAAUGGAUAGCAUAUGCUUGGAGCAAAAGGAAUGGACGAAAUUUGAAGUUUGUGCAUCAUCCUCUCCUUAUAAAUAACCAUUUUAGCACACUCAUUUCACACCCAACACAUCCAUUCACCUACCACUACAUCCACUCAUUUCACCCAACACAUCCAUUCACCUACCACUAAAUCCACUCAUUUCACCCAACACAUCCAUUCACCUACCACUACAUCCACUCAUUUCACCCAACACAUCCACUCAUUACAACCACCCAACACAUUCACCUACCACUACAUCCACUCAUUACAACCACCCAACACAUUCACCUACCCAUUACAUCCACUCAUUACGACGACACUCACCCACUACACCCAUUACAUCCACUCAUUACCACAACACUCACCCACUACACCCAUUACAUCCACUCAUUACAACUCCAUACACUCCUCUCCCUAGCAUAUAAAUACAUCCACCCUUCACCAUAACUAUGGAUCCAUUCAAAAGACCUUACAUUCAUCCAUAUAUUCCCACAUCCCACAAACACAUACAAUUCCAUUCCCUUGCCGUGGCACUCAUCCAACCAAAAAUCAAACACAAUUGCAUACAUUCCCUUCCCCUUGCCGUGGCAUCCAUCCAACCUAAAUACAUUCAUAACCUUUCCAUAUAUCCAUACACAUCCUUAGAUACUUGUGAUGCAACAAGGUGGGGAAAACGAAGGUCCUUGGUGUUUCAAGCUUGAAACUUUGGAGUGUUUUCGGUGUACUUCGUUCUUGCUUUCAAUGUCUACUUUGUUAUUUUCUGAUUUUGUUGCAAUUAUGAGUAACUAAAUCCCCCUUAGUUAGGGGGGAAUUCGAAACCAUGUUCAUGCUUGCAAUAUGAAUUGAUUAGCUUCAAUUGUGAUUUCAUAAGUUGUGAAUUCAAUUUGUUUAACUACUUGAUUGAUAACUUGUUCGUGUAUGUUUAUUAAAAGUGCACACUUAGUUUGCAUGCAUGAAUAUGAUGCUAGAGUAUAAGGGAGUUUCACCUAAUAGUUACAAACUUAUAUUCACAAGUAGUGGAGGUUGCUUAUAAACGAUCGCGUUAAAUGAAUUCUUGGCAGGAGUUUCAUGCUCAUCAUAGUAACGAAUGCCUCGUCAAUACUUAUAGUUUUCAUAAUGCUUAAUGAUCUUUGAUUGUAUCUUUAUUGUGCUGUUCACGUAAAGGACUUUUGAAGAAUGCUUGAAUUGUUGUAUGCGCUUUCCCAUCCAAUUCAAUAACUUAAGGAGAACUUGAAGGUUAAUUUAACCGGACUUAAUUAACCUGGGGUGUUGAGUUUCAUGAUUUAUCGAAAGAACAACUGAAAAUUGGUUUAUGUGCAAGUGUGUCAUGUGUGGAGAAGAACCCUCUAGCUAGCCCAUCAUCCAUAGUUUACCCAAAUUCGUCCAAAAUCUGUUUUAGUUUACAAUCUGUUUGUUUUGUUUUCAAAUUCGUCAAAAUCAAAUCCCCCUUUACUUUAAAGUGUUUUGUUAGUCAAAAUCUGUUUUGAUUUGUGUUUUUUAAGUGUCCUGAGUCAAGUUAGAACCUAAUUUCGUCCAAAACCAUCCCUAGAGUCAGUUUAGAGUCUAAUUCAUUGUUUUAAGCUGUUUUGAGUCUUUUAAACUAGUUUUGAGUCUUUUUAGUUUGUAUUGCAUCUUUUGAGUCUAGUUUGGUGUUUUAAACUUAAUUUUACGUUUUUAAGUUAGUUUCAAGUGUUUUAGCAAUCCCUCAUAAUCCCCGGCCUAGAACGAUCCCUACUUACAUUGUUUACUACAUUUGACAACAAAAGGGUUUAAUUUGUGUGUUAAGUUAAUUUCGCAUCAACAAACUUCAUAAUUAUAUUCAUUCACAGACUUAAAGUCUUGAAAGUGCAAAUGCUACCAGUUAUGUCUUGCUUCAGAUAAGAUGUCCUUGUGGUGAUCAAAACGAUCAACCAAAGCGACUCAUAGUGCUUGUGGAUCCUCCUCAGCAAGAUAUUCAGUUUGCAGUGAAUCAUGAAUAUGUCUUUGGAUGAAAAUCAUAGCAGUGGCUUUCUUAGCUUCGCCAACAGGGUUGUCCGUUUCAUCUUCAAUGGUGGGACACAAAUUCUUUGCAGUAAGGUGGAGCUUUACAUCUUGGACCUUCUUGAGGUAGUUUCUUCUAGAGACUUCCAAAGGGGUGAAGUCGAGUUUGUUCAAAUUCGACAUGUUCCUAUCACAAAAAAAAUUACAAGAUGUGAUUAGUGCAAUGGAGAAAGAAAAAUCAAUCCAUUCACAUAGGAGGUUCUAAUAGACAUGUAUUGGUUAAAAAUCGCAUGAAAAACUUCGAGUUUUCAUGGGUGAUGUUUUUAAUGAAAAACUUCAGGUUCAUAUGUCCCUGCAAACAAACGCAUAUAUAUCCACAUAAAUAUGCAAAUAGAACUUCAUGUCCAAAAUUAUAAUUGAAUUAAUUAUUUGGACUUUAGGCCAAAAUUUAAGUGUGGGUGAAAAAAAUAUAAAACCUAAAUUGUCUAAAAAUAUUAAACAAUCGAAGCUUGGAGCCCAAAACUAUAGGCCAAAGCCCAUGGGUGGGCUAAGCAAGUCUCUUACCAUGAGGUCCAUGCCCAUAUUAGGCUGCGUUGAUAUUAGCUGGGCUACAGGCCCAAAGGCGAGAGAGAAAAGAAGAAACGGGCAAGAUCCAAAAGAACAGCCCAUGAAAGGGUAUGAUCUGGUGCGGAGCGAACAGUGAAACCGGGGGAGGAUACGAUCCAGUGCGUCGCACGGUAAAGGACACCAUAGCCCUUGGGCUGGUGUCGUGCUUAGGCCAGGUUUCAAUGUAUAUUAUUUCUUUUAGUGUUCUAGUUAGUUGUAUGCUCUAAACACGUUCCUCAUUUGCAUAUUAAUUAUAUUUAAAUGUCUUUUAUCUGAUUCUAUUUUAGUUCUCAUGUUUUCAAUAAAUGACUGUCGUUACCCUCGGGUGUCGGCCAUCACGUGACCAUCCCGAUAUCCUACGAACAUUGGGAUCGAGAUGUGUCAAUGAGGUUGUUGACUACCGGCAAAUAAUUGGAUGGUUGGAUUUUCUAUUUCUCCCCUUAAUUCAAAUAUGGGGUAAAAAAGAAAGUUCACAUGACAAAUUUGAAGUUUGAAGUGUCUUCAUAAGAUUGUGGGGUGUUAAUUGAAGGCCCAAACACAAAAAAUACAAAGCAAUAGAUGAGCUUCCAAAACAACAGCAAAAGAUAAGCCCAACCUGAAAGUUGAGCCUAAUAAAGAAAACACACAAGAAAAUCCUAAACUCCUGGAUCCUCUAUCGCCGCCGAAGUACUUGCUGCAAACGCCGAUCUAGUCCCCCUGCAAAUCGCUGGAGAUAACAACCAGCCAAGUCCCUAAAACAGAAAAAGAAACAAAUUUCAUCAUCCUCGAGCAACCUCCACACAACUUCAAAUCGACCAGAAUAAUGAAGGGAAAGAAAAUAAACAAGUUUCAUUGUCCUCGAACAACCUUCCCACAAUUUUUCUCUAUCUUAGACGAUAUAUCUUCUCAUCCAACAACCUCCCCUUUAACAUAGGGCUGCCUAACCCACUUUCCUCCAUUACUAUUCGGUUCUUCAUCAAGCUAUGCACACUCUUUUGAGAAUUCAACUUAAUUAUAAGGAAUAUGAAACCAGCAGCUCUUUGCAACUACUUGUGAAUUAUGUCUUGAUUUGCGUUCUUUUAAGUUGGUGGUUAGCCUUCGAAUUGUUCUUCCCCAUCAAUUUUUAGAAGAGAUCAAACCAAACUAGACUCGAGUGUUCAUAUAUUUAUUAGACCUAAAUAUCGACAAUACAUAAAAUUCCAUCACUAAGAAGCCAAAUUCUAUCAAGACUUUGUAACAACAACACAAAGGUCAAGAGUCAACUUGGAGGAGAAGACACGGUUUUGGUCGCGAGUGGGUUCGGCACUGGUUAUCUAAACCCCCGAUUCCAUGUGCAUGGCUAUCAGCUAAUCCUCAACUUUUAUGUUCGAUGUGUUGGUACCAUAUAUUGGGCCUCGUAUUUGGGCUUCACCCCUAAGCCCAUGGCAAAUGUAAAAAGGGACGGAGCCCUUAUUCUAUAAAAGGGACUCCCUCACUCUCAUGAAAAGGAAAGACACAUUCAGAUCUCCUCACAUCCAGAGAGAAAUAAAGGGUCUUAGAUCCAUCCCUCACAAUAAAUGGCAAUACCCUCUCAGCCAAACAGAGAGCAAAAUAGCAAAGGCUGUAUCCACAUAGAGCUCCCUUGCCGAUCUAUUGUAAUCCAUACAUACAUACAUAAUCCACAUCAGUGUGGACGUAGCCCAAACAUUGGGGUGAAGCACGAUACAUCUUCGUGUUCUUGGGCGUUUGCAUGAUUCACGGUCGGAUUUACAUUGUUCCAAGACCUUCCGGUUUUGUGCAUCAACAUUUGGUGCUGUCUGUGGGAAACGACACGAAAAGCUAUGUCAGUUCUCUUUCAUUUUUUCAUCUCACCACCGUGAGACCUCAUCAUUGUCCACCGUGAAUCUGCAUAAACCCAAAAAACCAAAACCAAAACCAAAAGCCCAAUUCCUUCACCCAACACCCACACUCAGAGACACACCCAUUCAAUUAGCAGAGAGAAGAGGAGAGAGAGAGGGAUGGAGGGAGAUCAUGAUCCAAACACAAACGAAGUAUACAAAUAGUACUUGAGAAACCAUGCAGCCAGCCUCGACAGCUAUGCCACAGAUGGCUGUGGCGAGUUCACACUUAACCACGCAUCCCCAGGUAGCCUACAAUGUGUCACUUGCGGAUGCCACUGCAACUUCCACCGCAGAGUCACUUACGCAGCCACGUCAUCGCAAGCUGCAGGAGGCGGUAGAUCAGGAUGUCAUCAACACCAUGUCAUCAUAAGUUGCAGUGGCCGAGGUCGAGAUCCUACCGAAAUAUCAUAACACAAGACCAACUCAUUGACUAUAAUGCCGGUAGAGGUGGGUCACCGGACAGCGGAGAAAGGAUGAGCAAUGGGAAGAAGUGGUUCAGGACGAAGUUCACGGCGAAACAGAAGGAGAAGAUGCUGGCGUUUGCUGAAAAGUUAGGGUGGAAGCUGCUGAGAAAAGAUCUAGAGGACGAGAUAGAGAGGUUCUGCAAGAGUGUAGGGCUAUAUUGGUACUGCUCAUCAUCGGGCAGUUUAUGGAGAUGGUUGACCAAAACAACGGGAUUGUGGGCUCCACCACCGACUCCAAUUACUAUGUUAGGAUUCUCAGCACCAUUAAUCGGGAGCUCCUCAAGCCUUCCGCUUCCGUCGCCUUGCACCGCCACUCCAAUGCCCUCGUCGACGUUCUGCCUUCAGAGUCCGACUUGAGUAUUUCUCUCCUCAGCCAAUCCGAGAAGCCUGACGUCACCUACUCUCUCGAAUUACUGCAAUUCAGUCCAACAAUCGCUUCAUGUUCAGAAAUGUCAGCCCAGAAGCAAUCAGAGGAACCAUAACCUUCAACCAGACCAAUAAUAGAGAGGGAGAAGAUAAGUUUUCUUAUAACAAUUUUAUUAUUAUUCCCUGCCAUCUGCCAAAAGAAAAAAGAAAAGAGCUUUACUUUUCUUUUGUCUACCUCAAUUAUUCUAUAAAUGGUGCCCCAUCUCCAGCGAAUACCACGGGAAAAGUAGAGAUAAGAUUCUUUUCUCAUAACAAUUCUAUUAUUAUUCCCUGCCAUCUGCCAAAAGAAAAAAGAAAAGAGCUUUACUUUUCUUUUGUCUGCCAUCUGCCAUCACAUAUAUUUAACCCAAGUACCUGUGCAAUAUUUAUUUAUUGCCUAGUGAUAUUGGGACUACUAUUAAACUAUAGUGAUAUUGGGACUACUAUUAAACUAUAGUGAUAUUGGGACUGCUAUUAAACUAUGUCACUUAUACAACAUGUGAUUUACCACACGACUGAAUAAAUUAUUUAUUUAUAGAAGGCAUGUAGUACAAUAUUUUGCCUUGACAAACUUUGUCAAUUUGAUUUAUUCAUUAUACGAUCAUACUUAUACUGUCAUUUAUUGUCAGGAAUUAUUGAGCAACUAAAUCCACUGAUCAAUAUUGUUGCUGAUUAAAAGAACCCAAUAUGUGAACCCGACAAGCGAACCCGAGUCAUGUCAAGAAUCAACUCACACUGAGUGCAUGUUGACAUAAAGUAGAUGCUUGGAAUGAGGAAUACCACGAUCUGAGCUGCCUCAUAACGAGCAUAGCCUCUAACAGAGCAGCCUCGCAACGAGCAUCACCUUCAGCCGAGCAACCGCCUCACUGCGAGCAUAGCAUCUAGCCGAGGAGCCUCGCAAUGAGCAUCGCCUUCAGCCGAGCAGCCUCGUAACGUGUGAUACCUCUAGCCGAAUAUUGCUUUAUGUUGAGCAUUGCCUUGGGUUGAGUACUGGUUCAAGACAUCUAGCCACUUCGGCCCGUACAUGUAUUGGAUUUGAAGUCUCCAGCCAUAAGACUUUCUUGACUGAAGACUUGGGGGACUCCUGUUGGUACCAUGUAUUGGGCCUCGUCUUUGGGCCUCACUUCUAAGCCCAUGGCAAAUGUAAAAAGGGAGGGAACCCUUAUUCUAUAAAAGGGACUCCCUCACCCUCAUGAAAAGGAGAGACACAUUCAGAUCUCCUCACAUCCAAAGAGAAACAAAGGGUCUCAGAUCCAUCCCUCACAAUAGAGGGCAAUACCCUCUCAGCCAAACAGAGAGCAAUAUGGCAAGGGCUGUAUCCAUAAAGAGCUCCCUUACCGAUCUAUUGUAAUCCAUACAUAACAUAAUCAACAUCAGUGUGGAUGUAGCCCAAAAAUUGGGGUGGACCACUAUACAUCUUUGUGUUCUUGGGCGUUUGCAUGAUUCACGGUCAGAUUUACGUUGUUCCAAGACCUUCCGGUUUUGUGCAUCAACACAAUGCUUAGCUGCCGAACACUGAACUUUUUGUCAAAUUUUGUGUUCGGCAUGUUAAAACAUAUGAUUCAAUCUAGUUAUAAUUUGUUUAAGAAACUAGAAACAAACCCAAGAGGAUUUUAGAGAAAAGCUUAGGGCUGAACAUUGCAGCUCAAACCUCACUUGUAUACUUCAAUGAUUUAGGGUUUUGGUCACAAUGCCAACUUACAUCUCAUUUAAAUUAACUAGCUAACAAAAGCCUUCAAGACCCCAUGCCUUGCACCAAAGCAAAUCCAUGUCAGCCUUACAAUUGUAAUUUUGGACUGAGUCAACAUAUUGGCCGUUACAAAUUGAGGAAAAAAAAAACUAAGCCAUUACUUUUGUUGAAUACAAAAAAUGGAAGCUAGAAAUCAAUUUAGGCACCAACACUCUCCUUCUGUUGAAUACAAAACUAAGCCAUUACUUGUUGAAUACAAAACAUGGAAGCUAGAAAUCAAUUUAGGCACCAACACUCUCCUUCAAAAUAUUUCCAGUUUUGACACCAAGCAAAUCCCUGAAGUAUACAAAACUCUCUUUUAGCAUAGCCUUAAUUAGUAUAUAUAUCAACAAUUUGAUCCUCGUAUCUACAAUAGAGUAAUUCAAUCGCAUUAUCCGACGUUUAUUAAGUGAUGGUUCCUCUUGAUAUGUUUUAUUUUCUAAUGAAACAGAGGAUUUUUGUCAUAACAGUUAUAGAGAUGUUGUCACAUAUUAGUGAUGUAUCAUCUACUUUGAAAAUGUAGAUAGAUAAAGGAACCCAAACCCAAUAGAUAAAUAAUCUCAAUCUAAAUUAACAAGGAUUCAAGUACGAUUUCAAUCAUACUAUGUAAUAGUGAAGAACAAAUAGAAAUAUGUGGAUAAAAAGAACAGAAGAAACACGAUAUUCUUUUACAUGGUAAAACCCCACACACAAUGGGAAAAAUUUACGACUCAACAAGACAGACAAUUUUUGUACUUGAAGUUCUCUUUUGUAGUUUUAAUCUUGUAGCACACUGUCCUUCUUUUGCUCUCUUUUGGAUGAACAUAACAUACUCAGCAGGAGUCUCCUCACGAGCAAAGAGAUUGCACUCAACUUCGUCACAUAGAUGCACACGACUUCUUCACAAAAAUUAAUAUGAUGAAUAAUAUGCAAGGUAUGAAGAAGAUCACUCUUCUAACCUAGCUCUCAAGAACUUUGCUUUAAAACCUUUUAUGCUCAAUCUUAUAACCAUGAAAAGAUGAAUGGUAAGCUUGAUUUCCAACGAAACCAACAGUAACCCCGCCAAUUUAUUUCGGAAUUUACCUUUAGGGGUAGACCAAAAAUGUCAUAGUUACCCUUUAUGUUAAUAACCAUUCUAACUUUUCUUUUCUAACGAUUUUCGACUACAAUUUAAUCUCGUUUAUUUUAUGGCUACAUCUAACUUCUCAUUAGACUGCCCUUUGGAAGGAUCAAGCCAAUCGUAGUUCACCAACCGUAAGAGAAAUUGAACAAACCCUACUUAGUCACACACUUACUUAAUACUCAACAAAGAAUUAUACAUACAUAACCAGAUUCCGCCAUUUUCUUAUAAUUCCUCCAUCAAGUCCAACAUGAAUAAAAUUAACCAAAUAUUACCCAAAAUCCAAGGUAAGGCUCACGGCAAGCCUACUCAUCAACUUAAACCAAUUCUUUACCACUUUAGUUACAAGUUUAAAAAUCCACACAAAUUCAUCCAACUUACACCAAGAAUUUAACAUAAAUUAACUCAUCUAUUAGAACCAAAAAGAAAAUAUGAUAGGGUUUCUUGGGUUCUCACCUCCAAACUCCUCCAAAGUUGUUCAUCAAUUUGCCACUUCACUACUACGCUCUUAAAUCAACUUCAUUACCACAAAUCCUCAACAAGAACCCCAAAAUUUCAAGUUAAACACUUCAAUCUCAAACUUGUUCGAAAAUGAAACUUGGAAUUCGAAAGAUCCACUUACAUAUCCUGGAAGUGCAUGAUGAGAUGAGUAUUUUUCUCUAUUGGGUCGAGACCCAUCUCAAGCAAGGCUGGACAGAAUCGGCAAAAAAUCCACGAAAAUCCGUUGAAACUUCUAGGCUUCAAUAUAUGAGCACGCUUGGUUCUAGUGUAUGGUUUUGGUAUAAAAUUGAAGAGGGCUUCGCUAUGAAUACAUAGCCUUCAAGCGUGAUUUCGAUGUCGUAUGAGAAAGUUAUCAUUUUUGGAUUGAAGAAGAAUUAAGGAGGAAAAGAACAGAGCAGCCCCCCUUGCUGCAUCUGCCAACCGGGGAAAGAAAAAAGAAGAGAAGCCUUUGGCUUCUAGAAUACUCCCUCCCAAAAUUACCAUUUUGCCCCCUAACUUUGCUUGUUCAUAUCUUAUUCGUUAUAACUCCGUUUCACGAACGGUUUUUGCCUACACCCUCGUAGGGUCGUUCUCUAUUUAAAUAUAUCAAGAAAUACAAUAAAAUAUAUGAGGAUAAAAUACGUCCUUGUAUAAUUACUUUAACCAAAUAGGGGCAUUUUUUUCAUUUUUGAUUUAACGAAAAAUUAUACGACAUAAAUAAUCAGACAAUCCGGAAGCAGGAUUUUACAUUUUCCCCAUUCAAAUUUCAUAACCAUGAAUCGAUUUAUUUUCGAUUUUCUCCACAUAUUCAUAAUUAUGAAUAUCAAAUUCAUAUACUUAAAUUUUUCAGGGUAUUACACCAACAACCUAGAAUAAAGGAAACUAGAAUUAUGUACUAAAAAUCAAAUUGGUUUUAUGAGACAAUAAUUAUUGCAUACAUUUUAAUAUCCUUUUUAUUUAGAUUCUUGUGAUGUUUUUGAGUGAAUUCAGUUCUCUUUCACUUACUUUUGUGUUUUUCCUAGGUUUGUGGAGUAAAGACGAAGACACAACAAAAAUGAUAGAUUUUGCAAUUGAAGCGAGUUAUCUGUCCUGGAAGCAGAAACUGUCUGUGUAGAUCAGCCAACUUGACGGAAUAAAUUGUUUCCUCAGAAGGAAUGAGCUGUUGAGCCUUAUACCAUUGCAAAGAUAUAGAUGUUAGCUUUCAGAGGAAUUUUACAGACUAUGCUUUUGAGUUUUCUAGACGAUGUUAUGAAGAUUUUCAUACAUGACGUCGGCCAGCAAAGUUUACGAGGAAAUUGUAAAGUCUGUUGGGUUUUUCAAGUCACAAAUCAACCGAAGCCCAAAGCCCAAAAUAGAACACGUUGAAGAUGACUUGAAUCCUAUUUCAAAUGGGUCUGGAGUAAUUUACUUGGGAAGUUUACUCGCCACAUCAUCAGUUGUCCAAUACAAAUGAGGAAAAGAUUGCACAUGACCUAAUCAUGCUAGGAUUUUGACGAAUAUAUGAAACAUAGAUUGUAGGAAGUCUGAAUGACGUUCUUUUUGGAGGGAGAGAUAUCGAGGAUCUCUUUCAAAACAUCAUUAUUGCCCCAAUUAUCAUAUAUUAUUAUACUUGCUAUGUAUACAUAAUACUUGGUCAUGAAUAUUUUUGAAAUGUCAUAUGAACUUACACAUAUUUAUUAAUUUGAUCUAUGAAUUAAAAUGUUAAGUUAAUUUGAUCUAUGAAUUAAAAUUUUAAGCAAUUUGUCAUAUGAAUUUUAUGAAAUUAUUAAUUUGUCAUUCAAGUUUUAUUAAGUUUUCCAUUAAAAAAAAAGGUUAUUUAAGACUUUUGACCUUAUUUUUUACAAGUUUAUUAUUUAUUUACAUAUAGGUGGAGACUCAACAUCUUAUCCACUAGGAUAUUAUUAGACCACAUGCACCUUUUUACAAGUUCUCUGCUUAUCUUUUGGUACGAAAAAAAAACAUUGUCAUGUUCGUUUCAUAAAUUUAUGGUGAAUUACUAAAAAGUAUAUUAGGGUCUAACAUGGAAUUUACAAGCUUUGAGAAUUCAACGUGGCCAAUCAUGUUCAUUAAAGAAAACGGGAGUUGAAAUAUCUGAAACAACCUUGAAAUGUCCAAAACAAUCUUGAUAGAGAUCGGAGAGGGGAGUUAAAAUGGCCAAAAAUAACCAUGAAAAUAAGUCAUUGUGAUUUUGGAUGGAAAACCAAAUGGAGUUAGGGUGAGAUAACAAAUUCUUGAUUUUCAAAACUUGAGAGACAAAGAAUCAACAAGCGAGUCGUGGUGGCUUCGCAACAUGGUGGUUGUGUGACGUGGUGGUGGACAUGUGGUGGUCGUGCCACGAAGUCAUUUGGUGGUGGUGCGUGGUGGCUGCAUUGGCUGGGUGACGGAGAAAUCAGAGAGAACUCAGAUGAGGGAGGGAGAGUGAGGGAAAUAAUAUCAGGGUUAUGUAUGAAAGCCACGUUGGUUUUGUAUUGUGAAGGCGAAGUUGUCUUUUAUGUUUGAAAGUCAAUAUGCCUAGAGUCUAGGUGCUAGCAAAGAGGUGGAAGUAAUUAUGGCUUCAGACAUAAUGAUGAUAGCUAAGGUGUAGGAAGCUUUGUGGAAGUGAGAUGAUAGAUGGGAGAGUUUGGAGUCUUUGAGGAAGUGAGGUGACAGAGAGUAACAAACGGUUGAGAUUGAACCUCAACUAAAUCCAAUGACCAUUAUUAAUUCAAAUAUGUAUAAAACUAUAUUAAAAUAUUGAUCGGUUCGAUUCGGGAAUACCAAACUAGGCCAUAUGAGAUCCCAAUCCCAUACCAAACUUUUCGGGAUUGGGUAUCAAACUGUUCAAAAUUUUCAAUUUGGGAAGUUUUCGGUUCGCUUUUGGGAUUAUUUUGGUACGGUUUGGGAUUUUUGGGAUUUUUUUCCAGCCCUAUACCAAGAUGUCACACCCUGACCGGAGUCGAAGCAUGUUGGGCGACACCCGAAGGUGACGUAACCAAAAAGGAAAGUGAAGCAUAAACAUAUGGAUAAAUUUAAACCAAAACUAACAUUUAUUAAUCUAAAGCAGUGAGUGCGCAAUAGUGGAAAUAACCCAUAAAACACAAGUGUUCAGAGCAUAGAUGACAUAAAACUGUGCAGUCGAAACUAGUUAAAGUGCUUAAUACACAACCGGGAAAAAGCCCCUACACUUAUUUAUGGAUAUGUCAAAACCAUCAAAUAUUCCUCGUACGCCAUAAAGUAAUCAACUAACUAGGACCUGGAGGGGUGAAAAACAGAAGGGUGAGUGGGCAAAAACAAAGGUUUAUAAAACACAUUUAUUUUCUAAACAUACUGACCCUCACUGUAAAACCUGUAUAAUUUCUAGAAAAUCAUACUACGUAAAAGUAUGAAAUCAAAUGUAAAUCAACAAUAAAUCCAUAAAUACGCCAAAUCACCAUAUCUCAACAGUAGCAUAAUAAAAUCAGGUGCUCAUCAAUCUAUGCUAACACACGAGUUCAUGCAGAGGGGAUCUGACAUGAAUUGGAUUGGGUGUAAUCAUAAUAUAUAUGCUCUAGUACUACAAUCACGUGAAGAAUGGGGCUAGGCACAUCACAUACGAGUCAGAGUUGCCUAAUGCAACCUGUACGACAUGACUAACACCUAUAAUGGAUCCAAGGUGAGCGUGUGGUGAGAUGUGAACAAACACGUGAAGCCUAGCCAUGGCCGGGGUGAGUACUACACCGGUGCAAGCAUGCAUGAUGAUGAGCAAGUAUAAUGUUUAUGAGCAUGCCAUAAAUAUAUAUAAAUCUCACUAAAUAAUGACAUUAUUAAGAUUAAAUAAAACAUGGCAUGUUAAGUGUAAAAUCAAUCCAAAAGCAUAUGUGGAACUAUAAAGUUUAUAUAUAUAUGAAAACAAAUGCCCACUCACUGAUACGUCGAUGCAUCGUAGCCUCCUAGCCUUGUUUGUCCUCGUACGUCCUCGGGGUAAUUCUCACCUAUAUGCAAAAUAACUAAACUAAUUAAUUAAAAAGGACAUAUACUAAAAGGCUUGGAAAAGCCCCCAUAGUUUGCUCAAAAUGAGGGUUUAAAUAUACGAAAACAUUCUAUUCGACGUCGUGGACCCAUACACAUCAAGCACACACCGGCUAGCGGCCAGACACUCCCUUACGUGCCGCCAGGUCAAGGCCACACAUACGCCCACGCGUUUGACAAACUGACAGCAACCCUAGGGGAAUACUCCGUCAGACUUGACAAAAUAUUCCACUAAAUGGUAACGGCAUCAGUUACCUUUAACGGCGUUAGAAUAUUUCAUUAACUUUAAUGGAAUAUUCUGAUUUCUUCUCCGGUGGACCUCCAUUGCCAUUCACCGAAAUAUGGGGAAUUUUCAUCAGUUUCUGAAAAAAUUUCAAAUCUUCAUAUCUUCUUCAUUUCUCAACCAUUUUUUACAAACUUUAUAUGCAAAUGAAGCUUAUGAAGAGUAGAACAAGUCUAUACCCUUUGGAAGUCCAAAAAAUGGACGAAAAAUUGACUAAAAAGGAUCGAAAGUCCUGGACCUAGUUUUUACUCCUUGAAACUGUGUGUUUCAACGUUGGCUCCUCUCCCAACUUAGGUUAGUGGCCACGGGGAGUUGCAUAUGUGCUUCCAAAACUCCCAAAACCUUGUAACUCUCAUGGGAAAACAUCGGAGAUUCCACACCCGAGUUGGAGCUCCGAGUUGCUCCAAGUUGGACACUCAAAACUCAUCCAUUUCAUGAUCGGUUCAUAAGCAUGGGUUCGUGGGUUUGAGAAGAACACUAUGGUGGUGUUUUAAAGGCCGAUUUGUGAAGUUUUGAAGGUGGUCCUUGUUGUUGAAAGAGUUACGAGUGAGGGAGAAAGAAGGAGAAUAUGAGAGAAAGAGAGAAGGAGACAUAUUUUUUCGAUUGGUGGAAAAGUGAUGGGAGUUGUCUGGUUGGGUGAGGUAUAGGAGAGUGACUGAUUGGUAGGUGAGGUAUGGGUCACGGAAGAGAUUUUUAUAGAGAAGGGAUCAGAUUUCGUGCAAUAUAAAACUACAAGAAAUCUAUAAAAUCUAACUCACCCUAUCUAGAACAGCGUUUCCAACACUAAAUAAUUAGCACGCAUGUAUACCAUUCUAGCCGUUGUUAACGUACUUUAAUUAAACAUAACGUAUUCAUUACAAAACUAUUUUGGGUCUAACUCGCGUUCACAAGAUCAUAACAACGAUUACUAUUUAAUUAUGAUAACGAGAAAAGUAAUUUAAAGCCAAAUAACUACGUCCACAUCACUUUUCCAACAAAGGGCAUAAAUGACACACCCCGACCUAGAUCGAGGCAUGCUGGUCGUCACGUGAGGGUGACGUAUCCAUGUGCACAAUGCAGAAGCAAUAGAGAUAUAAGGAAUUACGAAUAAACAAAAAACCAAAUCAACUAGAGUACUAGAUAAGAUAAGGUGCAAGUGCGAUAGAUAAGAUAAGGUGCAAGUGCGAGAUUAAGUGUGAAAUACACAACCAGAGCAUAAUAUCCUAGAUGCAGUCAAGCAGGACAAGUACUAAGAAUACAACACCCGAGGGUGAUCCUACAUGGUGAUGUUCUGUCAGAACCCCCGUCAGAAUCCUCAUGAUCCACCAAGUACUUCUACUUAAAACUGGAGGGGCACAAAACAGAAAGUGUGAGUGGGCAAAAACAAAGCUUUUCAAAAUCAUUUCAUUUCUCAAACGUUAUAACCCCUCGCCGUAAAACUUGUAUAAUUUCCCUAGAAAAAUAGAAUAUAUAUAUAUAUAUAUAUAUAUAUAUUUAUACAUAUCUCAAAACCAUGCUUAGAAAAAUAAUAUUCAUAAGUAUGCCAUGCCAAAGUAUCUCAAUGCAAUGCUAUAGGUAAACCAGGCAAAAUAUAUAAAUAUCAAAUAUCGCAUCAGCCAAAUCUCUCUAACUCAAACUGCACUGCUGAGUAUAUAGCUCAUAACCAAUCUCAAUCAUAUCAAAUCAAAUCCAUUUCUUGCACAUGAGUCGGAACCACCUUAAGUGGCCUGUACGACAAGACUAAGUGUAAAAUAAAUAUGCUCUAAUGCUACGAUCACGUGAAGGUUGUGCGAAUAAUUGCGGGCUACCUACGAGUCGAAACCACCUAAAGUGGCAUGUACGACAAGCCUGUGCACCUAACUUGGAUCCAAGGUGAGCAUACGGUGCGGGAGGUGAACAUCACGUGAAUGACUGUGCCCUAACUCUAGGCAGGAGGACUAACACCAGGUCCAGGUUUAUGAGCUCUCAAUACAUCACAUUAUAUCUCACAUAACCGAAACAAUCUCAUACCUUUGAUUUAUGAACUUACCUGGCACUUACCUGUGCGUCCGCAGUACCAAUCAUGAAUGUAUGCAACUACUAAUGCAUAAUUAAAAUAUAUAUAUACUUGCAUGGCAUUUCCAAAACAUAUAUUCAUUUAAAUUCAUUUUUUGGGAAAAAUCCCAAGUAUAUAGGUAUAUACGAAAAACCAAAAGCCCACUCACUGAUAUGUCUAAGGGUCGUAGCCCCCGAGCCUCGAUUGAUGGUGCUUGUCCUCAGGAUAGGUCUCACCUAUAUGUGAAAUAACUGAAUAAAUGUUGUUUAAAGCACAUAACCAAAACUAAGUAAUAACUUCUCAUACAAUUCUCAAAUGGGGUAUUUGAAUAUACCACCAUGAUCUACUCAAUCUCAGGAACAUCCCCAUAUUUUUAGAAAAAACUUCCGACCACCCACGCGCCGGCCAAGGCACGGCCAAACGCACCGCCCACGCGCGGGAACGUGCCAGGCACACUGACAGAACAAUUAAUGCUAUUAGGGAAUAUUCCGUAAAAAGUAGCAUAUUCCGUUAAAACUAACCUGACGCCGUUAGAAUAUUCCGUCAAGUUUGACGGAAUAUUCUCUGUCUUCUUCCUUCGAACUCUAAUGAUCGUCAUCAUUGCUGGAAAACUGUGGAAUUUUCAAACCUUAAUAUCUCAGUCCAUACACAACCAAAGUCCAUGAAAUUUGUACCAAAAUGAAGCUUACAACGGGCAGAACAAAACCUUACCUUUCAAAAGUCCUAAAACCGACGGAACUCAUCGAAAAAUCCCUCGAUAAUCCGACUAAACCUGCAACUCAUCAAAACUCAACUUCCCGACGUCUAAAUCAUUUCAUUUUUCUUCUCUAAGCUUCGUGAAGACAAUCUAAAGCUUCCUAUAACCUUAGAAUCUUCCAAAAACUCCACAUUUAUGUGUGAAUGAACAGUGCUCAAAUCGGAGAUUAUGGUUUCUUGGGUUUUUCGAGGUUUCACGUCCAAAUAAUAGUAUUAAUGGGUUCCUGGGCUCGCAAGGAACUUGAAAAUGGUCUCCAUAACCUCGAUCCGUGAAGAAAUGGUUUGGUUGAGGUUUGUACGUAUGGUACGAAAAUGGAGAAAAACCGAGAGGGAAGAGAGAGAAAGAGAGGGUCAACGGGAGAGAGAGAGUGUGUGAGUGUGUGUGUGUGUGUGGUCCUGAUCCCCUUACAACCAACCAAAACAAUUAGAACCUUUAGUUCUAAUUGGGUCCAAAAGGUUAGGAAGAAAAUAAUUUGGUCCACAACACAAGAUAAACCACACAACACCACAAACGUCUAAGGGUAUUUUAGGCAAUUCACACCAUCAAAAAUUAUAUUUUGGGACAGGCUGUCACAAUAAACGUCAAUUUACACACUCAGGAGGAAAAUUACAUAGAAAAUUAGGGACGGGUCGUCACAAUCUACCCAUUAACAUUACAAAACAAAGUGUCAUUAGCGAGGGUCAUAUGUCGUUGAAAAAGGCAUUUUGCCGUCGCAAAUACUUAUUUACGACGGGAAAAAGCCCUCGAUGGAAAUACUUGUCCCAUUGGAAAUACUUUUUUCCCAACUAGUCGUUGGGAUUAAUUCAUUUUCGACGCACAUGACUUGUUGUUAGUAGAUAGUUUUUUUAUCGGAAAUGAAUUUUCAUAAUGGCAAACUUAUUUUAUUUUCAACAUGGAAAUGUGGUCGUAAAUAAUUAUAGAGUUGUCGAAAUUACUUUUAAAACAACAAAAAAUAUUUUUUACGAUGACUUUUUUUUCCGACCAAACAAUCAUGUCAGAAAAUCUUUUUCCAACAAAAUAAUCUUUAUUUAUGAGAGUGCACAAUCAUUGCAAUUACAAUUACCGACCAUACGAGGUUGUCACAAAAACAUAUUUGUGAUGAUCAAGCGUCGUCAAAAAUAUGUAUUUUCAAUGGUGAAGCUUUGUCGGUAAUACAUAUUUGCAAUGGCAAGGUUUGUCGGGAAUAUAUAUAUUUUCGACAAAGAAGCCUCGUCAAAUAUAUAUAUUUGCAAUGGUGAAGUUUCGUCAGUAAUUUAAAUUUCUGACGAUGAAGCUUCGUUGGAAAGAUAUAUUAUUGACCAUAUUUAGUCGUCGCAAAUUUGUUUGUAACCAAUAUUUGGUUGAAAAUGGGUAUUUCCUAUACGAUCGUUUUUGUUAGAAAUGUGCACAUUAACGAGAGGAAUUUACAAUCUAAAAAGUUAUUAUUCUAUUUAUAAUUAAAUUAUAUAUUGAAAUUAAAAUAUGAUAAAAAUAGGUAUGUAUUCGUUACUAAUAAAUUAACCAAACCAUUGUAUUAAAUUUCUCAACAUCCAAACGAAAUUAUUCAUAAACUUAUUUAAAAAGGAAAAUAGACAAUACUUAAAUUGGAAAGAAAAAAAAGCAAUACCCCACGAAUAAAACUUAAUAGGUUCAUAUAUUGGGUAAUAUCAAAAUGAUGGUAUGAUGCACUACUAAUCUUCAUGUUGAGCAUCUGACCAACUUUCAACAUUCUCCUAUCAAACAAACAAUAAAGAGAGUACUUAAGUAAAGAAAUAAUAUAUUAUUCAACAGUAAGACAAACAAUAAAAAUGAGCGCGCAUAAUUAUUUGAGUUGUUUGGCAUCAGUCUUUCAACUAAUUCUUGCAAAGAAUUCAACUUAUCUGUUAAAGUGUUGACUUGGUCCUUCAAUUUCUCAUUGCUUUCUUUACAUUCUAAGAACGUACGUAUAUUACAACUUUGGCUAUUUGAGGGAUAUGCAUCUGUAGUACUAAAGCCAGCACCUACACCAAAAAGACGACCAUCCAAUCACCUCUUUGUAUAUGACCCAAUCACUUACUUCAUUUUGUUCUUCCAUAGCAGUAUUCUUUUUGUUGUCCAUUUUUUCCUUCAAUAAAAUUGUAAUAUGUAACCAUAGGUAAUACACACAAUAUCAUGUAAAAAAAAAAUUGAAAUUGUGAUAACAUACAUAAAGUUCUUUAGCCUUUUCACUUGCCCAAGUUUCUUCACCUUCAUUCUUACGCUUACUCACAUGGAAUUUUUUGAAACAAUCAAUCGGGCUAGGUUUAAUUCCACUACGAUCAAGCUAUUAAGAUUAAAAAAAGAAGGUUUGUUAAAGAAAUUUUAAAUAUGCAAGAAUGACGGUAUGGAAACAAAGCAUAAACAUAGUAUUUUUACCUCAUCUUUUCUGUACUUUGCCAUUGGAACCGAACUUGUGGUGUGCACAAUUGUGGACUGCUCCCUAUUGCACGCGUUUUGCACACUUUGUUUCUGCAUGAAAAUGAAAAAGAAAGUAAAGUUAAAACCCAAUCAUCUCACUAUAAGCAUCUACAUGUAAGGAAAAUAAUACAUUAACCAUCAUAAGAUGAUAUAACUUAAAUAAAACUUUUACCUUCCAUUCAAGCUUCUCCCAUUUUUCAACCAUUUUACACCAAACAUCUUUAGAUACAUUUGAUGGGCAAUUAAUGUAUCUCUCCCCAGUAGUCUUGUACUUGUGAAAAACAAAAUUCCUGUGCUCAUCCAAUCGGCAUAUUUUGUUUUAAUAUGUAGGUCAAAAGCAGCCCUCAUCUCUUCUUCAGAACACGUGUAUGUGUAUCCAGUUCCCUUAAAACGACCAUACAAUUCAUCCAUUUGCUCUUUUGGAUGAUCUUUAAAUGUAAUCCAAGACCCAUUAAUAACUUCAUUAAAUAGCACCCCUAUAGUUUUCGUAGCAUUUGCAGUUACAAUCCUAUAAAAUUAAAAUUAGAUUAAAACAAUCACAUAUCUAAAUAGUUAACUAUUUGACAAUCAUGCUUUCAGUGACUUGUGCUUAUUACCUGCUAUCAUGUAUUACAAUCGGAGUGCCAUUCCCAUCUUUACCCUUAGCCUUCCCUCUACCCUUCUUUUUGGUAGGACCUAAUCAAUAAAAAUAAUAAUGUGCUUGUAUGUUUAAUAAAUAACUAAUUACAAAAAUGCACAUUUUGAAACCGAUAUAAAUACAGUACCUUCCACACUUGAAGGUUGAUUCUCAAUAGAUGUUUGUUGUGUCUCGUGUAUUUCGCUAUCAUGUGAUGGUUGGGUAACAUCAAGUUGGUCUGCACAGGUUGUAGGUGAAUGAGUAGUAGUGUGCAGUACUCUAUUUUGACUCAUUCCUCUUGUUGUUGUGGCUACAAAUUUACAAAGAAAACACAAAGCUAAAUAAGACAUAAUUAUUAGAGAAUUAGUUUCUUUUAACAUAUGACAAAGUUCAUUAAACAAUCAACAAAGACAAGAAAAUUAGAUGCCUAGUACCCGAAGAUAGAAAAAUGAAAAAAAUCCACAUAUAAAAUUACCUUGUAUUUUUGCAUGUUGGAUCUCUUGCAUUUCAUUGUCAUGUAGUUCAUUGGUGGUAUCAUAUUGGUUUAAAGAGAGUCUAGAUGAUAGAGGACGUGUGCUUGAUGAAUUUUUUUGGCUCCUUCCCUUUUUUGCCGUAUCUAACAAUCAUACAAAGACAAGAAAAUUAGAUGCCUAGUAUUGAAAGAUAGAAAAUGAAAUAAACGAAACCAUGAAAGCUAAACUAAAAUCAACUAGAAUUGGUGUUUCAAUGGCAGAAGGCAAAAUAUAUACAUAAACCCUAAAUGUUAGGAAAUCCCAGAAGCCAUGAAAAAUGAAUAAAAUUGAAAUUUAAUAUUUACAUAAACCCUAAACUUAAAAUUGGCACAAGGAGAACUAUUGGUGUUUCAAUGGCAGAAGGCAAAAUAUAUACAUUAAAAAAUAAAGAAACUAGAAUCUUUGCUUUGAAAAAUCAAAACCAAAUCUGGACGGAUUUGAUUUGAAGUUUGAACAAGAGAACAACAUGGUUGGGUUCGAGUUUGACCACUCCAAUUCUAAAAAGGCAACUGAACUAGGUCGGUAAUAUAUACAGAAACCUUAAUUGUAAGGCUAGUAAGCCAAUUCUUACCAACUCAAAUAGCGAAGAGGCACAAUGUUGUCAGUACUACGCUGGUUCACGAUCAUGCACUGGGUUUGAAACACGGUAAACAAUGUUGAGGAAUUGAUGUAGCCCUAAUCUAAUCAAGGUUAGAGGUGUUAAUAUAGAGAACAACAUAGAUGUAGCCCUAAUCUAAUCAAGAGUAUGAUAUCCUUUUUAGUUUCUCUCCUUUUUUUUUUUUUUUUGUUGUGGGUGGAACAAAUUCUACAAAACAUUUUUGGAAAUUGUGGGAGAAAAGGGAGGGACAUGCCAAAACCCUAAUUAAUUUGGAGAAAAAGCCAACCUGCUUAAAUUCCAUAAAAACAAGAGUUUGGGAAUUGUAGGAAAAAGAGGAGGGAAGCCAAACCCUUAUUUAUUUGGGGGAAACGGCCAACCACUAAAUUCUACAAACAGUUUUUUUAAAUAAAAAAUAAUAUUGUUUCUUUUGAGGAAAAGAGCCAAAACCCUAAACAUUAUCAGAAAUUAAUAUUUAAAGUCUGGAAAGUUAAUUUGAAUGAUCCGACCAUCAAAUUUGUUUUUAUAUACCUCGAGAUCGCAUAUGCCAAAAAUUGCAAAAAAACUGACAUUUAGAUAUUAGUUUAUGGGAUGAAACCCUUCAACGGUUAUAAAUGAAAACUCACGAUUUAACGGUUAACUCCGAUUUUGCAUAUUUUUUACAACUACACUCCUCAACCCUAUAAGAGUACAAUGAGAAUUCGAUAUUCAAUUUAAAUUUUUUGAACUAGUGGAUACCACAAAAUAUUAUGUUCUACUUAAUGGAAGUAUAAAAUAAACUUCAAAUGUUUGGUGAAUCUAUCGUUUUCAAGGAAUACACAUUUUACAAAACAGUUUCAACGAUCCAACCAUCAAACUUGUUUGUAUAUGCUCUAAGAUCACAUAUGUUAAAAAUCGAAAAAAAACAGAAAUUCAGAUAUUAGGUAACGGGAUGAAACCUUUCGACGGUUAUAAACAAAAACUUACGAUUUAACUGUUAUUUUAACUGCAAUUUUGCUAAUUUUUUACAACUACACUCCUCAACCCUAUAAGAGUACAAUGAACGAAUUCGAUCUUCAAUUUAUAAUAUUUGCACUAGUGGAUACCACAAAAUAUUAUGUUCUACUUAAUGGAAGUAUAAAAUAAACUCCAAGUGAUUGGUGAAUCUAUUGUUUUGAAGGAAUACACAUUCUACAAAACUAGUUUCAACGAUCCAACUGUCAAACUUGUUUGUAUAUGCUCCAAGAUCGCAUACGUAAAAAAUCGCAAAAAAACAUACAUUCAGAUAUUAGGUAACGGGACGAAACCUUUUUAUGGUUAUAAACGAAAACUCACGAUGUAACGGUUAUUUUAACUCCGAUUUUGCUGAUUUUGUUACAACCACACUCCUCAACCCUAUAAGAGCACGAUGAACAAAUUCGAUCUUCAAUUUAAAAUAUUUGCAUGUUCUACUUAAUGGAAGUGAUGUGGUUAUACUUUGUUCAAUAUGCAUGACAAAUGUUAUGAGUUAACAAAGGCAUGCAAAUUAUUUCUUUAUCAUAGAAUACUAUAUUAAGUUAUACAGCUUUUUCCUCAACAGUUUUAUUUUUAAUUUUAAGGUCCAAUCUUCUCCUUAUGUAUUCUAAGUUAUAUGAUCUAUUUAUUGUAAAAUUUAAAUUAAGCAUCAAACUUAUUUCAAGACUAUUCCUCAUAAAUAAUUGAUUCCAACAAAACCACAUGCCUUAAAAAUUUAUUCUGACAAAGAAAAAAUUUUGUCGGAAAAAAUAUGAUUACUUCCGACAACAACUAAUCACCCUCGAAAAUAUAAAAGUAUUACUGAGAAGACUUUUCCCCUCAAAAAUAUAAAAAUAUUACCGAGAGGACUUUUUUCCCUCGAAAAUACUAAACCAAUUUCGUCAACAUGAGUAAACCUUCGGAAAUAACCAUUCUAUUUCUGUGACAUCCCACAUCACCUAAGGGAGUUGUGACAUCCCACAUCGCCCAGGGGAGUGAUCCUUGAAUGUAUAUUCCCAUCCUUACCUAGCACGAGGCCUUUUGGGAGCUCACUGGCUUCAGGUUCCGUAGGAACUCCGAAGUUAAGCGAGAAGGAGGCCAGAGCACUCCCAGGAUAGGUGACCUACUGGGAAGUUGCUCGUGAGUUCCCAAAACAAAACCGUGAGGGAAUGGUAAGCCCAAAGCGGACAAUACCAUGCUACGGUGGUGAAACGGGCCUAUGAUGUGGUGGACCCAGGCGGGGAUGUGACAAUUUCCGAUAAGAACUUUACUCGUCGUUAAUACAACUGACGCCAAUUCUUCCCGCCAAACAAAAGUGCAUUUCCGACGAAACUUGAGACUUUUUUCGAGGACAUUAUGUGCGUUGGUAAUCAAAACUUGUUUCAUGCAAUGUUACCGACGACCCAUAUUUUAUGGUCGCAAAAUGUGCUUUUUAUGACGGUUUUCUUGGGCCCUCGAAAAAUCUUCGUCAAUAAGAACUAUUUUUUCUUGUAGUAUAAGAAAAUUUCAUCCCCGAAAUUUCAACACUACUAAAGAUCAAUCAAAGAACAAACGUGGAUAAAGAUUUCACAUACGCUCCUCUGUCUCCCAAGUAGCUUCCUCAACAGAGUGGUUUCGUCAUAAGACUUUCACCAUACAAAUGGUUUUGUUCAUGAGAAUUUAUCUUUCCAGUUGAGAUUCUUCAUUGGAACCUCAUCAUAAGUCAAACCUGGGUUAAUCUCUAAUGGCUGAGGAGGAAUCAUGUGGAACACAUUAUGCACUCUUGACAACUCUAGAGGUAGAUCAAGUCGGUAAGCAAAUUCACCAACCUGCUCAAUGAUUUGAUAUGGUCUGAUGUAACGACGACUUAGCUUUCCUUUCUUCCUGAAAUGUACAAUGCCUUUCCAUGGUGACAGCUUGAAGAAUACCCAAUCUCCAACCUUAUAUACUAUGUCUGUCGAAUGUCUGUCAACUAUACUCUUUUGUUGAUCCUGUGCUGCUUUUAGGUUAGCCUUUAUCACUUGAAUAUUCUGUGUCAUCUCAUCCACGAUUUCAGCGCCCACUAAAAUCUUUUGCCUACUUCGGACCAACACAGUGGAAAACGACAAGGUUUCUUAUAAAGCGCCUCAAAUGUCAACAUACCAAUGCUGGAGUGAAAGCUAUUACUGUAGGCGAAUUCUAUCAAAAGUAAACGCUUGUGCCAUGCGUCUCCGAACUGCAGGACUAAAGAUCUUAGCAUAUCUUCCAACGGUCUAAGGGUGAUAGGCGGUGCUGCAGAGUAAUUUCGAACCUAGAGUUUCUUGAAAAACUACCCAAAAUUUCGAAGUAAAUCUAAGAUCCCGAUCAUAAAUAAUAUUAACACCAGGAUACUUGACAAUUUCCAAGACAAAAAGUUCGGCCAACCGACUCAACGGGUAGUUUUCACGAAUAGGUAGGAAAUGUGCUGACUUGGUAAUCUAAUAUAUAAUCACCCAGAUACUGUCAUAGCCAUUACGUGUACGAGGUAGCUUGUACAUGAAAUCCAUUAUGAUAUCUUCCCAUUUCCACUAGGGUAUAACAAGUGGUUGUAGCAACCCGAAUGGUUUAUUUCUUUCCGCUUUUACUUGCUGACAGACUGGACAACGACUGACAGACUGGACAACGACUCAACGUACUCCGCAAUUUCUCUUUUCAUUCAUGUCCAGUAGUAGAAAGGUCAGAUAGUAUGACACAUUUUAGUACUCCCAGGAUGCAUCGCAUAAGCUGAAAUAUGCGCCUCAUCAAGUAUUUCUUUCUUUAGUUCUUCCACAUUCGGUACAUACAUUCGAUCGCCUUGCAUGAGCAUACCAUCAGGCCUUCGAAUCCUUAGAUCUCCUCUAUUACCUUUCAACACUGCUUGAUUUAACUCUUGGGAUUAUGAGUCAUUCAUCUGAGCCUCGAGAAUACGAUCCAAUAAAACUGGUCGGACUUGAAAGUUGGCAAGUAGAGUUCCCUGGUGAUCCACUCCCAAGCUAGCUCCAGUAGAUCUUAGGCCCAUGAGAAGAGGAACAUGACAUGCAUAAAGAGCAUUGAGUCGACCGUGAGAUUUCCUGCUGAGAGCAUUUGCUACAGUAUUUGCACAACCAGGGUGAUAUUCAAUAGUGUAGUCAUAAUCGCUGAUCAAUUCCAUCCAUCUACGCUGCCGGAGAUUAAGUUUUUUCUGAGUAAAUAUUGGUUUAAAUCACUUAAAAGUAUCUGAGUGCAUUCUGCCGAUAGAAAGUCUUUCAGGAGUCUAGUAUUCUGAAGCAAUCUCUGCCACCAUGAGUUCCAGUUCACCGUUGGUCUUAGAGCAGUUCCAGGCUUCUUAAAAUGUCGGGUAAUUAGGCACAAAAUUUCUCAUAAAUGGAGAGGGUUUUUAUCACAAAUGGUCUAUGAUAUUUACCCUCACCAGCAAGAUGGUCCCUGAAAUUGAAAAUCAAUCAAUCCAGUCCUUGAAAAUAGGUGUCGCAAAUCAAUGUGGUCAUUUCAUCACAAUUCUGUUAAAAAAAUCCGUUAAGUGCUGAUGUGGCACAUAAAUAGGUCCCACAAGUCUUUUUUUUUUUUUAUCACGAAUGGUCCUUGAAAUUGACAUGCGACAUCAAAAUGGUCCCUGAAAAUUGACCUGCAACAUCAAAUGGUCCCUGAAAUUGAAAAUCGAUCAAUGUUGCCCCCGCUUAUAAGUGUCCCAAAUCAAUAUAGUCAUUCCGUCACAAUUCUGUCAAAAAUUCUUAUGCGCAGAUGUGACACAUAAAUGGAUCACCCAAGUCUAAUUAAAUGUUAAAAAUUACAAAUAGGUUUAAUAAUUUAACAGUUAAUAAAAAGUUGUGCACCUAAAAACCCAGUCCUGCAAUCACCUUUGAUUUCAAUCCACAUUCCUUUACUUCAUUCGAUGUCUAUUAUAUAAAACAAAAUCUCAAUACACUCAUCUUUACACACUUCGACACCCUUCACCGAAUUGAACCUGGAUCGAGAUCACCUUUGGUGACGGUUUGGUUGAUUGGCAACGACUUUUGGGACAUCACGUUAACAUUUAGGUGAUCAACAUUCUUACAACCUUAAUCUUGGAGAGCUUGUUCGGCAGUUCCCAGGUGGUCUGGUGACUCAAAUAAUGGCGAGGUUUGCUUUAAGAUAAUGAGGUUAUAGCCUAGGUACUUCUAUUGUUGGUUGAAAAUUAUUUCCAAACCCCCUCUUAGGCCUUGGUUAAGCUUUAUGCCUUUGAAAAUUUAUAGAAGGGAUCCCUCUUCGGAGUCGGUCAUACUAUAAGAAAAAAAUUAUAUUGUGCAAAAAGGUAUUUAGACAACUUUUUUAAUUAAUUAUUAAACUCACAUCAGCACAUAACAAUUUUUUUUUUUUACAGAAUUGUGGCGGAAUGAUCAUAUUGAUUUGCGACACCUAUUUUCAAGGACUACAUUCAUCGAUUUUCAAUUUUAGAGACCAUCUUGAUGGUGUGGGUCAAUUUUAGGGACCAUCUUGAUGGUGUGAGUCAAUUUCAUGGACCAUUUGUGAUAAAACCCAUAAAUCUUGUGGGGCCCAUUUAUGUGCCACAUCAACACUUAACGGAAUUUUUAACAUAAUUGUAAUGGAAUGACCACAUUGAUUUGCAAUACAUAUUUUCAGGAACUACAUUGAUUGAUUUUUAAUUUCAGAGACCAUCUUGAUGGUGAGGGUAAAUUUCAAAAACCAUUUGUGAUAAAAACCCUCUCCAUUUAAGAGAAAUUUUGUGCCUGAUUGCCCGACAUUUUAAGAAGCCUAGAACUGCUACUCGCGGUGGCAGAGAUUGCUUCCGAAUACUACACUCCUGAAAGACUUUCUAUCGGGAGAAUCCACUCAAAUACUUUUAAGCAAUUUGAUGGCCCUGGUCAUCUUAAGUAAUUCCAUGACCAAAAAAAAUUGCAAUUAACUAUUUUAGGGUCGAGAAUUAGACCUGGUAAUUUUUUACAUGACCCGUUAAUACGACAUGUAAAUGAUACGAAAAUAACAGUUCCAGGUCGACACAAUAAAUAAUCGGGAUGUUAUCGGGUCACACGAUAAGAACCCGUUAAUAACGGGUCCUUAAUAGGUUUACACGAGACUGACAGACGGGUAACCCGUUUCAACACAUUAAGAAAAAAGUUAUUUUUGAUGAUUUUAAUGUUUUAAAUUACAUAAAAAAACUUAUUAUAAAAUACAAUAGCUAUAGUGUAUAUGUAUACACAAUACGGAUGUUACACGAUACGGUCCGUUAAGAUAUCGAGUAUGUUACGAAAAUGAUACGAACACGAAAAACACGACAUGAAUGCCUAGUCUAACAGAAUAGUGGAUUUGACUACAAUACUUCGUUUUUUGUGACAUAAAAAUUUAAUCAAUUUGUGGCCUCUACUACUGAGAAUUUUUUAGAACUGUUCGAAAAGAUUUUAAUUCGCGAACAAAAGCACCACAACUGCUUGAAAAUUCUAAAACUGCUUGAAAAUUUGUUUAAAUUAAAUAUUUAGCUCUUUGUUCUGCAAAUUUGAAUCAUUGAAUGUCUAAACCCUCCUCUUUGGGGAUAAUUGUUGUAUUGAGAUGUUUGUGCAUUUCUUAUAUGUAUUUGAUACGGGUAAUGUUAUGAAAAUUAAAAUUUUAAAUCAAAUGAUGUGUCACUAAUAAGAAAUAAGCACGUUAAUUAAUGUUUAAGUAUUAAUACUGUGACAGCCUGUCCCUAAAAAUUUUGGUUUUUAUAAUUUUAAUAAGUGAAAUUACGGUAAUGCCCUAUGGGCAAAGCGUGAUUUUUCGAGGACGUAUAUGAUUCCCGUAUAUUUUUUCAUGUUUAUUGACAUAUUCGGAUAGAGCUCGAUCUUACGGACGCGUAGGCAUGGGUAGAAGUGAUUUUGGAGUUACGGUUAAAGUUUUAUUGAGUUACGAACCCGAAGGUAUUUGGAAUGAAAUACUAUUUUAAUUAUUUCACACUAUGUUUUUAUUAUUACAAAAUGAUUUAUAUGCCAAGGGUGUGUGUGUGUGAGGGGAGGAAGAAACAGAAAAAGAAAGAGGGAACAGAGAAGGAAGGCUACUGCCUAAUUGGGGGAGAGGAAGAGAUGAGACUGACCAACCAGAGAGGAGAGAAAGGAGGGAAAGGAGGGAAGGUGAGAAGGAGGGGAAAUUGAGUCUCCUCCUUGACCCGCGUGACCCGGCCAAGCAUUAAGGCCAAAUUCGUUCAUUUUUCAGCCAAUUUUCGGUGAAUUGUGUUGAACCACUACCUGGAUAUACCACCCUCACCCUCCCUCUUCCAUUUCCAUCCAAAAUUAGAAAGAAUUUGGUGGUAUUUUAGAGGAAAAACGGACGGUGGUCCGUGUGGGUGUAUGGCGGCAAUCCGCAAAUAUUAAAGCUAACGCAACCAAUUACCACCACCCAUAGGCUCCCUUCAACCUCAGGAACAAAGCCCAAGAAAUGGUAGAGGCGUCAGAGAGAGUAUGGAGGUUGAAUUGAAGCACACCCUUUUCUAGGGUUUCCAGCGGUUCGUGGCCAGUUAGAGCGGCUUUCCAGCCAAAUUGGCCUUGGCCGCAUGUAUAAAGUUUGCUUUACUCUUUGAGAUCUUCAUUUCUGUAAUUUUUGAGAAUUUUUAGAAAUAGUUGAGUUUUCCAGCGAGCUAGGGCAGCUGGUGCGGCGGCGCACGGCCAGGGAGCUGAGUUGGUUUUAUUUUAUGAAAUUUGUUAUUCUAAUUAUGCUUUUGAGACCUAAUUGUUGUAGUUUGAAUAUUAGUACGAUUGUAGUAUAUGUUGGAUUAAAUGAAUAUAUUCGGAUUUGGUUUGAACUUUGGAAAUGUGAACUACGAAUAGCUUCAUCCCUUUUUAGGGUACGUAGGUAGUCUAACGAGACGUUAGAUGCAACCAUACAAUAUUUGAGACAAAAGCCUUGUUUGGGAAAUUGAGCAAUGUGAAGAAAAUUGGUGAAAAUAUGAGAUUUAACCUCAUGAUUUAGUGAUUGGAUGUUAGUCAUAAAUCAUUGAGUAAGGGAUCGAGAAGUUGAAGUAAAGAAUAGUAAGUAAUGAUAAUCAAUUAAACUAGUGUUUAGUUGGGUUUGUCACCGAUAAGUAUUCCCGAAAAUAAUUAGUUCAGGAGUAGGGUGUUAUAGAUUGUGCAUUUUAUGCCACAAUAUAUAUAUAUAUAUAUAUAUUUGGAAGCACUACGAUAUGGUUAAGUUUUAAAUGGCAUUAUGGUAUAUCCAUAUAUAUAUUACCUGCACAUAAUUAUUGUGAACGCUUUGAAGUGCAAAGGUGAAUGCAGGACACACAGGUAAGUUUAGGUGAGUUUAUGGUAUUAGUUGAAAUGAUGAAGUUAUGGCAUGACUACAUUUAUGUUUUAGGCAACUUCGACAUUAUUGUACAGGUUGCAAUAAUAGGCAACUCCGACCUUGUCGUACAGGUUGCAAUAAUAGGCAACUCCAACAUUGUUGUACAGGUUGCAAUAAUAGACAGCUCCAACACUGUCGUACAGGUUGUAUAUGAGUCGUACAUGCCAUAUUAGAUGUAUUUAGAGCUCAUAAACCUGCACCCCGGUGUUAGUGCUCCCGCCCAUGGCCAGGGCACAGUCCUUCACGUGAUGUUCACCUCCCGCACCUUACGCUCACCUUGGAUCCAAGGUAGGUGCACAGGCCUGUCGUACAGACCACUACAGAUGGUUCCGACUCGUAGGUGACCUGAGAUUAUUUGCACAAUCUUCACGUGAUCGUAGCACUUAAGCGUACUUAUUUACACCCAGUCCUAUCUUACAAACCACUAAAGGUGGUUCCGAUUCGUGUGCAGAGAUAUUUGAUGAGCUAUAGGUUCAACCGUACAUGCCACAAGAGGUGGAUUCGGCUGACAUGUUAUUUACCAUUGAUUUAUUUCACUUGGAUUACCUAUUCGUUAUACUGAGAUACUUGACAUGGCAUACUUAUAGAUAUGUUAUUCUGAGUAUGGUUUUGAGAUAGAGAUAUAAUCUAUCUUCUGGGAAAUUAUAUAGGUUUUACGGCGAGAGGUUAUUACUUUUGAUAAGUGGUUUUUGAAAAGUUUUGCUUUCACCCACUCACAUUUUCUAUUUUUGCACCCCUCCAAGUUUAGUAGCAAGUUUCUGUAUCGAAGAGAAUUCGUGGCACUUCCCAGUUCAGGUGGCCUCUUAUAAUGGUAUAAUCAUUAUCUUACCUUACUGUACCUUACUUAUGCUCUAUAUCACGUGUGAAUGGGUCCAUACCGCUCACCACGCACUCGUGUGUUUAGGCAUUUUUAGGUUUAAAUUUGUUCGUAGUUUAUACAUUAUCACACUUUUUGGCUUCGUCACCUUCCUGGUGUCGGCCAGCACGGCUCGAUUCGGAGUCCUAGUGGACAUUCCGGGUCGGGGUGUGUCAAAUACAAUCAUCAACAACACUAUCUUUUAAUUUGCAAAUUUGGUUUAAAAUUUUGGUGUCCCUCUCAUUAUCCUUUUUGUUAAUGAAACUCUAAAUAAAUAAUUUUAAUUCACGAGGUAAACAUAUAUUGCAGUUUUUUUUUUUUUUUUUUGUAUUUUCUUUUUAUAUUAAACAAACGAUAUAUAUACCCAGGGGAGGGGUUGGGCUUUGCCUCACAAUGGGCAAACAAUAAUGUAGUUCGAAUUCACCAUUACAAGUAAAGAAAAAUAACACCAAAUCAUAAUACCUCUCACUUACAAGUAAAUAAAAAUAUCAUUAGACCAUAAUACUAAGUGGCGUAUAUUGCAGUUUCUUAGUUGCCAGCUUCUUUGCCAAUUGGUUUUGAUGAAGCAUCUAGUGUGGAGUGGUCAUACCCUUGUGUGCAUUAAUGAUCAUCUUGAAGAUGUGAAGCAUUAAUAUCCUGCAUCAACUCACUCUUUCUCCUUAAGAAUACUGACUAUUGUAGCAAGAUAUUUGUGAGAUUUUCUUUUGAUACACACUCCUACUACAAAACUUGUGUUAUCAAUUAUUGUGCCUUCCGAGAACUCACGACAAUAACCGCUAUCUCCUAACCAUGAAAAACCUAAUGCGACACUUAAGGAGGAAUGUUUUGAAUAGAAUUAUUCAGUAGGAAACUUAAAGUAAAAUCCCAAUAGGAUUUGGAGAUCAAUCCUCAUAAGUUUGUAUUAUUUGCAAGGCAAGAAAACUCAUCAAGAUUAAUAUAAAUAAAGGUACAAGGCCAAGUGGUGAGGACUCAUACAGCUGACCUUUCUCUCUCACCCACUUUUAUAAUUAGUUUCACAACAUCUCUCAUUUAAAAAUAGGCUUGAUUGAGAGAUAUUCUAGCAACAAUAUAAAGAUUGACCAUGCUCUCACAAUACAUUCCUUAUACCAAUGCUAAACCAUAUUCACUAGCAAGAGCAUUUAAAUUGUAGGGAGUAGAAGACAAUUCUGAGAUCAAUUCCAAUCAUGUUUCGAAUUCAAGAGAUAAGUCAAUUUCUUUUGUAUCCAUUUGGUUUAUUCAAUCUGUGAUCCAAAUGUCUCAUUGUUGUGCUUUUCAGAAUAUGUCUUACAGAUUCACCUUCACCCCAAUCUCCUUGCUUUAUAUAUUGGGGAAAGAAGUAUAGAUUUAAAUUGAAGCCAAAAUGCUUGGUUCUAAUGAUUAACAGAUUAAUUUUGUUGGAAUAUUUAAUUACAUUUUUGCAAUUGAUUUACAAUUGAGUUGUAAGAAAAGAUAUGGACUGUUCUUCCAAGAAGAGGCCAAGUUCAGAUUCAUAAUUUGAAUUGAGAGCCCCAAUGCAAAGCGUGAGGAGACGGUAAGCAGAAAGGGAGUCGGAGAAUUGAUCCUGCCUUCCUCCUUGCGGUAUUUCAAAAUACAGUCUUGUGAUCCUCACAAUGGUAAAUUAUUUAUCCUGCCUUCGGACAUGGCAAAUUAUUGAUCCUCACAAUGGUGCACAACAAUGUAUUGCUACUUGAUCCUUGCCAUUAUUUUAUUUUGAUUAGUGCUUCAACGUGUAAUAAGUUUUAAUCUUCCAUAUGAGUCCCUUAACGGUCGUUGGUAACGUAGAGCCUGUCCUCUCCUCUCUUGACCCGUCAUUAGCUGGUAUAUCGUUUAAUUUCUAGGGCAAUUAGCACAAAUGAUCACUUUUUUGACAUUUGGUUGCAGAAAGGAUUAGGUGUCAUCAUCGUUGUGUCGUCUUUUUAUUUAUUUAUUUACUAAUCAAGAAAAAUAUAUUAAAGGGAAAACCCUCAAGUACAAUUGUUCCCUACAUAAUCAAACUGAAGAACAUGAAGAACAAAUGAAGGAAUACAAUGAUCCCAAAUAUGACAAUCAGUAAUAAGAAGGCCUUGGUGAGCGAAGGAAUCUACCACAAAGUUAGCCUCUUUAUCAAUAUGUUUCUAGUCAAUGCAAUCAAAAUUGGUCGCCAUCCACUUGAUAUCUUCAAUAAUAGGAACCACAUUCCAUGGUGUCGCACCUCGGUCCAACAUUGACUAAAUGACCAAUUUAGAGUCACCUUCAACCAUAAUCUUUGUAUAGCCCUUCCAUGUCAUCGUUGUGUCGUCGAUAUGCAAUCAAUCAUCAAUAUAUCGCUGAUAUUAAAGAAUGGUGAUUUCUACAACCAAUUGUCAAAAAGUGAUUAUUCUUGCUAAAUUUCCUAAUUUCUUUUACCAAAUGAAAGAAUAGUACUAUUAAUCAGACUCAAGUAUUGCAAGUGUACAAACAAAGGUCAAAGGUAGUACGUCAUAACCUUCAAGGAGACAUUAUUUUUUAGAGACGAAAUGUACUCUUAAGGAUAGUGUCUAAAUUGUCUCAACUUACAGUGUUGUUCUAAUUAAACAUCGGCAGAGAGCAAUUUCUACAUCCUAAAAGAUAAGUAUUCAUUAUAUUGUUGAUUUCAUUUAAUCGAUUGUGGCAAUGAAAGUUCUCAUUAACCGUAUUUAUCUUAUGUGAAUUGUUGUAGAAGAAGUAGCAUCAACGCCGCUAAGCUUUCCAACAACAAACACCACUUGUAAAGCAUCCCCUUCUGAAUGAAAAUACGAAAGCUCAAUAGGACGGCUAGUUGAACACUUCGUAACGUUACCAAUGCUUCUACGUGAAAAGGACAAUUAGUAGCCCUCUGAAGAGUAGCAACCGUAACAAGACAGGUCUCUUCCCCAUCCCUAACCACCCUAAUGCCACCACUACCACUGCACUCGCAAAAAGCAUAAUAAAAAAAUAAUAUUCACCCAACUGUGACCCAGAGGACUGCACCAUUGAUGCUGCACUGGCUGCUUACCUCGACUACCGGUUACACAUGUUGUCCUUGCCGCAGAAUAGUAUUCCUCGACUACCAGAAAUUAUGACCAUAUGAGCAUCAUGAAGGCGAGAAAACUACUCCUUGGACAAGUCAAUCGCCAUCUGGAAUAGCCUUUCUUUAAGGCUACGAGAUCGCAACAAACUUUUCUGAAAAGACAAGGGACUAACAAACUACAUGGAACUUUUUAUGUAGAGCAUCGAUGGGCAUGUACAUACCCUGUUUUCCCUCAGCCUGUUUACUUGCUUGAAAUUUCAUAUGCAAAAAUUGCUUUGCUUCCCUCUUUUUUUUUUUUUUUUUUUUUUUCUUCGAAUAAGUUAUUAAGAUGUUGGUUUCUUGCAUUCUGGAUUUGACGGCUUGGCUACAUGGAUUUUUUUUUUUCUUGGCAUGUGACUUUCUUGUUCUUCAAAUUUUUGGCUUUAUCUUGCUCAAAUGGUUUGCGUGAAACAUUGUAAUUUAUUUUACUAUGUUUUCGGUUUGGUAGGUCCACUAAGCUAUACUUGAACCAGUGAAAUCUGCUCGUAGAUGUGAGCUCGAAGUACCCAUAAAAUAGAUAAGCAAACCCAAUUUAAAUUUGCAAGUGCACAAGGCCAAUAGUAGUAUAGUAAGAGCAAGUAUGAAGUCAUUCCCACGAAUAUUGAUUUUUACUUUGAGUCUCAACUCAAUUCAAACUUUUAACACAAGUAGGGCUGCAAUUGAUUGAUUUUAACUAGAAUGAACGAGCCAAGGAGAUCUCAAAACCCUAAAUUAAGACUAGGUGGCAAGAAUAUUUGAGUGCUUGUAGUUGUUUCUCCAUAUGCUUCUACAGUGAGCAAGUUAUAGAAAAAGGAGAAAACUAGCAGAGAGAGAGAGCAACGGAAAGAAAUAAGUGCAGGAAGUUAAUGGCCUGUAAUUGGGAUAAUGGCUUAAUAGCUUGUUCAUUAUAUUCGUACAAUAUAUACACUUAGAGAUUUGACUCUGUACAAUACAGAAAGGGCAAGUAAUAACUAAUUGUUACAUGAUAGUAUGAUACAAUAUGGAGAGAUUGAUGAAAUCGGAGUGAUUUGAGGCUGGAUUGAUAUUCUUGUCACAAGUCUCCUAUCAUUGUGUGUGAUUAGAGUUUACUUUUGUGUUCUUGAUCGCAUAAAUAUCAUUUUGUACUUAGUGUUUUGAGGAAAUUAAGGCUUGGACUUCCUGAUAUUUUCAUGAUACUUUAAGAAAUCCAUCGAAAUCUUACUAAAUUGUCUACCAAAUGAGCAAUUUGAAUCGUCCUGUUGGAGGAAAGAUCAGCAGUUUUCAAUUAUAUUGCAGAAAAGAAGAAUACAAGAGAAUAUGGAGGAUAAGUUUUGAACGGGAACUGAAGUUAACAUACUUUGUUGCUUUCAAUUUUUAUUACAACACUAGGCCAUCUUGUUUUGGCUAUUUUUAAUAACAAUGAGACCUUUUCAUAACACCCAUAAGUCUUGGAUUAGUUCCAAAAGACACAACUCUACAUAACAACUGAUACAACUAACCAACAGAAAGUGCAUUACGUUUAACACUUACAUCAUUGACAUGAUCCUAGUUAAUCUAAGGUUGUUACAUAUAUCCUCCUUAGGUUCCAGAGUAAUCCUCUCUAGUUCCUGCUGAAAUCUCUCCAUGGCCGAGAAUGGCAAGCACAUUGGUACCAAUAUUCCAUCCUCAGAGUUGUUUUUGUGUUGAACGUAGAAGCUAAUCAAAUCCAAGGCCUUGGCAGGUCCAGCAAAUAUCGGUUGUCCCCAUCCAAAAUUGACAUCUCCAAAACCUGCACGCGUAUUAUCAGAAACUAUUAAAUAACUUCCUGUCGAUGAAUAUUGAGGUCGCCCUCUUAGUACCAAAAGAUCUGCCACUGAUCUUAAGUAUUCUUCAUUCAUGGUAGCUUUAGCCUUCUUCACCAACUCCAAAGCAUAUCCCAUUGGAUUUUUGCAUAGAGGUUCAGCCUUUGAAACUGCAGCUGGAAAUGCAAAUGCAUUGCCAUAGUAUCCCAAGGGAAGACGUACAUUGUGGUGCUUUCCCCGUGCAUUGACAAUGCAUGAAACGCGAACAACCUGUUUUGGAUUAAUUUUAAGUGCAAGAGUGCGACAUUUCCACAAACAAGCUGUGAUCAAGUCAAAUGUGGAGCAUGUGGAAAUUAGGUGGGGUGGAAUUUGUUUUCGAAGGAUUCUCAUCUCCUUGGCACCAAAAUAGAAAGAUCGUUGAACCAUGUUUGACGGGUUACUGGAUGCGUAUGAGCCAUCAGAAUGAUCAAUCACGUCUUCAUAUUCAUGAUGAACAC
rnacentral:lncRNA from 1 species